rnacentral:lncRNA from 1 species
GUUUUUUUUUUUUUUGGCCGGCCGUGGGAGAGCUUUGUGGUGCUCUAGCUCACCUUCUAUGCACAUGAGGUGUUCAAUGAAAUGCCCGAGCCAUACUUAAGCUUUCUCCUCUCAAAGCUCCUUGUCCAAGCUCCAUUUUCCUCAAGAUUUGUCUAAGUUUGGCGGUCCGUCCUAUCCCGUCCCCAUCCUCACCGCCAUCGAUUGCCCACGCUGAUCUCGUCGCCGGCACCACUGUGGUGAGCCUCUUGAUCUUAUCUUCUUUCUAAAAGCAAAAAAAGUUCUUACUUGUAUGAUUUAGAUAGAUACUUGUGUAAUUUUCUUACUUUUAUUAUUGUUUGUUAUUAUAUAGUGCGAUGGUUUUGGUAUCCGCCUCCGUCGGCCCUCGUCAUGUCUAUGAUUCGGAUGUGGUAUAUAUAUUAUCUUUUAUAACUAUUUGUUUCAUUUAGUGUUUAUGACAAUUAUGCCGACCAACGUGACAUAGAUUUUUUUAUCUAGAAGGUAUGUGAACCGGAAAUUCCAACCGACCCUAUUGUCGAGAGGUUAAAUUUAGUUGAAGAAGAAAACAAUUACUUGAAGAAAAAAUUGAAAAAAAAUUGAGGAGAAGAUGAUAUUGGAGUUGCGUGUUGCAGAUGUCGUCGAUGAUCACAAGAUCAAGAUGGAUGCAAUGCGCUUGAAGUUUGAAAGAUUAGAAAAUAUGCCAUUCAUACUGAGGCUUGGUAUCAUUAUGCCGUUGGAUCAAUUGUUACCUUAGUUGCGAUUAUGAUCGCAUUUCUUGUUGCAUUGAAAUGUUUUAGAUAGUUUCAAUGUAUGGUUUAUUUAGAUGCUCUGGACAGCUAUAUGUUGUUCAAUGAGAACUAUGUAUCUACUUUGGUUUUAAUGUGAUGAUGAACUUCUAUUUAAUUUGGUCACUUAUGUAUUCAUGAUGUUCUGUAAUGGUUUUUGACACACUUAAUUAUAUAUAAUACACGCAGAUGAACCGGCAAUGGAUGUACGGUAAUAGACGCACCUCCGAGUAUAUUAAGGGCGUGCGUAAUUUUCUCAAAGUGGCUGAGGCAAACAAGCAGAAUGGUUUUAUGUGUUGUCCAUGCCCUAUAUGUGGGAAUACGAAGUCUUACUCUAACUGAAAAAUCCUUCACACCCACCUUCUUUAUAAGGGUUUCAUGCCACACUAUAAUGUUUGGACCAAGCAUGGAGAAAGAGGGGUUAUGAUGGAAGAAUACACCAAAGAAGAAGAGGAUGAUGACAACUAUGUGCCCCCUGAAUACGGUGAUGCUGCAACGGGGGAAGCUGAAGAUCAAGAGGAACCAGACGAUGUGCCCGAUGAUGAUCUUCGCCGGGUCAUUGUUGAUGCAAAGAGACAAUGCGAAAGUGAAAAGGAGAAGUUGAAGUUCGAUCGCAUGUUAGAGGAUCACAAAAAAGGGUUGUAACCGAAUUGCAAAGAUGGCAACACAAAGCUCGGUACCACACUGGAAUUGCUGCAGUGGAAGGCAGAGAAUGUUGUACCUGACAAAGGAUUUGAGAAGCUACUGAAAAUAUUAAAGAAGAAGCUUCCAGAGGAUAACGAAUUGUAUGAAAGUACGUACGCAGCAAAGAAGGUUGUAUGCCGUCUAGGAUUGGAGGUUCAGAAGAUACAUGCAUGCCCUAAUGACGGCAUCCUCUACCGCAGUGCGUACGAGGAUUUGAACGUAUGCCCGGUAUGCGGUGCAUUGCGGUAUAAGAUCUGAAGAGAUGACCCUGGUGAUGUUGACGGCGAGCGCCCCAGGAAGAGGGUUCCUCCCAAGGUGAUGUGGUAUGCUCCUAUAAUACCACGGUUGAAAUGUCUGUUCAGAAACAAAGAGCAUGCCAAGUUGAUGCGAUGGCACAGAGAGGACCGUAAAAAAGACCGGAAGUUGAGAGCACCCGCUGACGGGUCGCAGUGGAGAAAAAUCGAGAGAAAGUGGGGGGACUUUGCAGGUAACGCAAGGAACGUAUGGUUUGGAAUAAGCGCGGAUGGCAUUAAUCCUUUUGGGGAGCAGAGCAGCAAUCAUAGCACCUGGCCCGUGACUCUAUGUAUCUAUAACCUUCCUCCUUGGUUGUGCAUGACGCGGAAGUUCAUUAUGAUGCCAGUUCUCAUCCAAGGCCCUAAGCAACCCUGCAACAACAUUGAUGUGUACCUAAGGCCAUUAGUUGAAGAACUUUUACAGCUGUGGAAUGGAAAAGGUGUACGUGUGUGGGAUGAGCACAAACAGCAACCUACAUGCAUUGCUGUUUGUAACCAUCAAUGAUUGGCCUGCUCUCAGUAACCUUUCACGAUAGACAAACAAGGGAUACCACGCAUGCACGCACUGCUUAGAUGACAUUGAAAGUAUAUAUCUAGACAAAAGCAGGAAGAAUGUGUACCUGGGGCAUCAUCAAUUUCUUCCGACCAACCAUCAAUGUCGAAAGAAAGGCAAGCAUUUCAAAGGCGAGGCAGAUCACCGGAAGAAGCCCGCCGUCCGUACUAGUGAUCACAUACUUUCUAUGGUCAAUGUUUUACAAGUAAUCUUUGGAAAGGGUCCCGGCGGACUAUCUGUUCCGAAUGACACUGAGGGACGCGUACCCAUGUGGAAGAAGAAAUAUAUAUAUUGGGGCCUAACCUAUUGGAAAGACCUAGAGGUCCUCUCUGCAAUCGACGUGAUGCACGUGACGAAGAAUCUUUGCAUGAACCUGCUAGGCUUCUUGGGCAUGUAUGGGAAGACAAAAGAUACACUGGAGGCACGGGAGGACAAGCAACGUGUGCACAAAAAAGACGGCAUGCCUCCAAAGCAGUAUGAAGGUCCUGCCAACUACGCUCUUACCAAAGAAGAGAAGGAAAUCUUCUUUGAAUGCCUGCUCAGUAAGAAGGUCCCGUCUGGCUUCUCGUCCAAUAUAAAGGGAAUAAUAAAUAUUCCAGAGAAAAAGUUUAACCUAAAGUCUCAUGACUGCCAUGUGAUUAUAACGCAACUGCUUCCGGUUGCAUUGAGGGGGCUUCGAUCGAAAAUGUUCGAUUAGCCAUUGUGAAGCUAUGUGCAUUCCUCAAUGCAAUCUCUCAGAAGGUGAUCGGUCCAGAAAUCCUACCAAGGUUAAGGAGUGAUGUGGCGCAAUGUCUUGUUAGUUUCGAGCUGGUGUUCCCACCAUCCUUCUUCAAUAUCAUGACUGAUACGUCUCCAACGUAUCUAUAAUUUUUGAUUGUUCCAUGCUAUUAUAUUAUCUGUUUUGGAUGUUCAAUGGGCUUUAUUAUACACUUUUAUAUUAUUUUUGGGACUAACCUAUUAACCGGAGGCCCAGCCCAAAUUGCUGUUUUUUUGCCUAUUUCAGUGUUUCGAAGGAAAGGAAUAUCAAACGGAGUCCAAACGGAAUAAAACCUUCAGAAACGUGAUUUUCUGAACAAACGUGAUCCACAGGACUUGGAGUGGAUGUCAAGCAAUCAACGAGGAGGCCACGAGGCAGGGGGCGUGCCUACCCCCCUGGGGGCGCCCUCCACCCUCGUGGGCCCCUCGUAGCUCCACCGACCUACUUCUUCCUCCUAUAUAUACCUACGUACCCCGAAAACAUCAGGGGAGGAGCAAAAACCCUAUUUCCACCGCCGCAACCUUCUGUACCCGUGAGAUCCCAUCUUGGGGCCUUUUCCGGCGCUCCGCCGGAGGGGGCAUCGAUCACGGAGGGCUUCUACAUCAACACCAUAGCCUCUCCGAUGAUGUGUGAGUAGUUUACCUCAGACCUUCGGGUCCAUAGUUAUUAGCUAGAUGGCUUCUUCUCUCUCUUUGGAUCUCAAUACAAAGUUCUCCUCAAUUCUCUUGGAGAUCUAUUUGAUGUAAUCUUCUUUUGCGGUGUGUUUGUCGAGAUCCGGUGAAUUGUGGGUUUAUGAUCAAGAUUAUCUAUGAACAAUAUUUGAAUCUCCUCUGAAUUCUUUUAUGUAUGAUUGGUUAUCUUUGCAAGUCUCUUCGAAUUAUCAGUUUGGUUUGGCCUACUAGAUUGAUCUUUCUUGCAAUGGGAGAAGUGCUUAGCUUUGGGUUCAAUCUUGCGGUGCUCGAUCCCAGUGACAGUAGGGGAAACGACACGUAUUGUAUUGUUGCCAUCGAGGAUAAAAAGAUGGGGUUUAUAUCAUAUUGCAUGAGUUUAUCCCUCUACAUCAUGUCAUCUUGAUUAAAGCGUUACUCCAUUCUUAUGAACUUAAUACUCUAGAUGCAUGCUGGAUAGCGGUCGACGUUGGAGUAAUAGUAGUAGAUGCAGGCAGGAGUCGGUCUACUUGUCACGGACGUGAUGCCUAUAUACAUGAUCAUACCUAGAUAUUCUCAUAACUAUGCUCAAUUCUAUCAAUUGCUCAACAGUAAUUUAUUCACCCACCGUAAUACUUAUGUUAUCUUGAGAGAAGCCACUAGUGAAAACUAUGGCCCCCGGGUCUAUUUUCCAUCAUAUUAAUCUCCCGUCAACAGGCUAUUUCUGGCGCCGUUUAUUUUGCUUUCUUUACUUUUAGUCUUUAUCAUAAAAAUACCAAAAAUAUUAUCUUAUCAUCUCUAUCAUAUCUCACUUUUGCAAGUGGCCGUGAAGGGAUUGACAACCCCUUUAUCGCGUUGGUUGCAAGGUUCUUAUUUGUUUGUGUAGGUGCGUGGGACUUGAGCGUGGUCUCCUACUGGAUUGAUACCUUGGUUCUCAAAAACUGAGGGAAAUACUUACACUACUUUACUGCAUCACCCUUUCCUCUUCAAGGGAAAACCAACGCAGUGCUCAAGAGGUAGCAAUGACGCACUUCCUAGUUCAUCUAGUCGACGAGAUUGUUGUUCUGGGCCCUGUGUUUCUACACAAUAUGUUCCCCUUUGAGAGGUUCAUGGGAGUCUUAAAGAAAUAUGUCCGUAACCGCGCUAGGCCAGAAGGAAGCAUCUCCAUGGGCCAUCAAACAGAGGAAGUCAUUGGGUUUUGUGUUGACUUCAUUCCUGACCUUAAGAAGAUUGGUCUCCCUCAAUCGCGGUAUGAGGGGAGACUGGCUGGAAAAGGCACGCUAGGAGCAGACUCAACAAUAUGUAGGGACGGGCAUUCUUGGUCUCAAGCACACUACACAGUUCUACAGAAUUCUACCUAGGUGACCCCGUAUGUCGAUGAACACAAGAAUAUUCUGCGCUCCAAACACCCGGAGCAGUGUGACGACUGGAUUACAUGUGAACACAUCAGGACUUUUGGUAGUUGGUUGCAAACACGUCUCAUGGGUGACAACACUAUUUCUGAUGAGCUGUACUCAUUGGCCAGGGGACCAUCUUCGACUGUAUUGAUUUACAAAGGGUACGAGAUAAAUGGGAAUACAUUUUACAUGAUCGCCCAAGAUCAAAAGAGCACCAACCAAAACAGUGGUGUCCGCUUUGAUGCAGCAACCAAGAGGGGAAAGGACACAUAUCAUGGUUACAUAGUGGACAUAUGGGAACUUGACUAUGGACAUGAUUUUAAGGUCUCUUUGUUUCAGUGCAAAUGGGUCAAUCUGUCAGGAGGCGGGGUACAGGUAGACCCACAGUACGGAAUGACAACAGUGAAUCUGAACAAUCUUGGGUACACAGACGAACCAUUUGUCCUAGCCAAUGAUGUGGCGCAGGUUUUCUAUGUGAAGGACAUGUCUACCAAACCGAGAAAAAGAAAAGAUAAGGAAUUCCUCCCUUCAAAGUCAAAGCGCCACAUAGUUCUUUCAGAAAAAAGAGACAUCGUGGGAUUGGAGGGCAAGACAGACAUGUCUGAAGAUUAUGAAAAGUUUCAUGAAAUUCCUCCCUUCAAAGUCAAGCUGACCCAAGCAACCUGUUAAACGAUGAAGAUUAUCCAUGGUUACGGCGCAAUAAGCAAAGGACACAAGCGAAGAAAAAGUGAAGACUUUCUCUCCACAGCUAUUAUGAUGAUGCCUUUGAUCUAGAAUAUCACUGCAGUUACAUGUGAAGAAAUGAAAUGCCUUUUGUAACAGAUGAGUUUCCGUCCGAAACCCUGAUACUUCGAAAGAGAUUGUCCGUUUUGUACACGAAGUGCAUCCAGUUUUUGCCGUAACCCUCUCAACUUUUUAGCACAUGCUAUGUGGGUGAAAUGACGAUACCAUGCCAACUUUCAACCUUUUCACAGUUCAUUUGAAGUGUUUUUCAAUUUCAGGGUCGUUUAGCUCAAAAAAUCAGGAAAUGCAUGAAAAAUACCAAAUGAUGUCAGAAAGGGUUGAAAAUUGAUGAUGUGGCUUUUAAUGGUGCAUUUUGAACAGACAAAAAGUCUGGAGUUCAAAUAAGUUCAAAAAAUGAAAUCCCUUUGUAACAGAUGAGUUUUCGUCCGAAACCCUGAUACUUCGAAAGAGAUUGUCCAUUUUGUACACGAAGUGCAUCCAGUUUUUGCCAUAACCCUCUCAACUUUUUAGCACAUGCUAUGUGGGUGAAAUGAUGAUACCAUCCAACUUUCAACCUUUUCACAGUUCAUUUGAAGUGCUUUUGAAUUUCAGGGUCAUUUAGCUCAAAGAACGAACUAAUAGCAAAAGGAAUCAACUAAAAACAUUUUAUAAACUUCUAGUAUUUUUGAAACUAAAAUUAUAAAAAAUUUAUGCAACUAAAAUUAUCAAAGUAUUUUUUGUUCAAAACAUUAAUAGCAAAAAGAAUUAUCAUAAAUAAUAUUUUUGUUUGAAACUUUAAUAGCAAAAAGAAUUGUCAUAAAGAUUUUUUUGUUAGAAACUAAAAUAACAAAAUAUGUUUUUGAAUAUAAUGAUAAAACACAGUAAUAUUAAAUAGCAGGAAAAAGAGUCACUCAAAAAUCUAUUUUUAUAGUAAAGUUAUUCACAAAAAUUUCAAAGAAUUCGAAUUUAAACUAUUCAAAUUUGAAAACUAAUGGCACUAACAGAAAGUUUAUAAUUUUUGUGACCUAACAGCAAAACGAAUUUAGAAAAUAAAGCAAAAAACAAAAGAAAAUAAAUAAUGCAAUAAACAAAACAAAAAAACUGGAAAAAAAUAUAAAAAAUGCCGCCUAGUGGGCCACCACGGCCUGAAUACAACUAGAAACCCAACCAGCCAGGUGGGCCAGGAUUCAGGCCCGCAGAAGGCCCAGUAGGCCCACAGGCAUAGCAGUGUGCGAUUAGGCCCGUAGGCCUGCAGUUCAGAGGAGUUCGAGAGAGAGGGCGGGGCAGAGCUUAUAAACAAAACCCGACGCGUCUCAGCUAGCGAGGUGGGACUAAACAUCCCAGCGCACCGCGCCAUUUACAGCACAAGGCCAUUGGUCCCGGUUGGUGCCAUGAACAGGGACCAAUGCACCCCUUUGGUCCCGGUUCGUCGCACCAACCGGGACCAAUGCCCACCUUUGGUCCCUGUUCGUGCCACCAACCGGGACCGAAGGUCUUUGCUUCCCGCCCUUUGGGCUGACGAAAAGAGACCAUUGGUCCCGGUUGGUGGCACGAACCGGGACCAAAGGGUAGCAUUGGUCCCGGUUAGUGCCACCAACCGGGACCAAAGGGUUGGGUAUAUAACCAACACUUAGNNNNNNNNNNNNNNNNNNNNNNNNNNNNNNNNNNNNNNNNNNNNNNNNNNNNNNNNNNNNNNNNNNNNNNNNNNNNNNNNNNNNNNNNNNNNNNNNNNNNNNNNNNNNNNNNNNNNNNNNNNNNNNNNNNNNNNNNNNNNNNNNNNNNNNNNNNNNNNNNNNNNNNNNNNNNNNNNNNNNNNNNNNNNNNNNNNNNNNNNNNNNNNNNNNNNNNNNNNNNNNNNNNNNNNNNNNNNNNNNNNNNNNNNNNNNNNNNNNNNNNNNNNNNNNNNNNNNNNNNNNNNNNNNNNNNNNNNNNNNNNNNNNNNNNNNNNNNNNNNNNNNNNNNNNNNNNNNNNNNNNNNNNNNNNNNNNNNNNNNNNNNNNNNNNNNNNNNNNNNNNNNNNNNNNNNNNNNNNNNNNNNNNNNNNNNNNNNNNNNNNNNNNNNNNNNNNNNNNNNNNNNNNNNNCGCCCACUGUGCCCCGCCGCCCCCUGUGAGCACCAUGCCCUGCUCCUGCGCCCCUCCCCUGCCCCGCGCCCCUGCGCCCCUGCCCUGCCCGCCGGCGCCGCCGUGCCCCUCCGCCAGCUUCCUUUUUUGUUAUAUAUACAUAUAUGCUAUUUUUAGAUGUUUUUACAUGUUUUUUUAGAUGUAUAUAUAUGAAAACUUGGUCUAUUUUUUUGUAGUAUAUAUAUGAAAACUUGGUCAAUUUUUUUUAUAGUAGAUGAUGAUGAUGAUAUGAUGAUAUAUGAAAACUUGGUCAAUUUUUUUGUACUAGAUGAUGAUGAUGAUGAUGAUGUGAUGAAAUAUGAAAACUUGGUAAAUUUUUUCUGUUGUAAUUUUGUUCGAUGAUAUAUGAUGAUGUAAUUUUGUCGAUAUACCCCCUCCUCAAUAACUUCGACAUGAGAGGGGGGUCGAUAUACCCCUCCCCGAUAACAUUUUUUUUAAGUUACUAAGGUAAAAUGUUCAUCCCCCUCUUGCUAUACCGGGCGACCAACUCUCGAGGCCAUCCAAACCCUAGAAAAAAAGUGUUGUCGAUAUUCUACCCCCUCCCGCCCCUACCCGACAAACUCUCGAGGCCACCCAAAACCCUAGAAGAAAACUCCGGUAACUUCGACAUGAGGGGGGACGUCGAUCAACCCCCUCUCGCCCGAACAAGUCUAUGUAUCAUUUUAUAUCGCGGUGGACAUAUAUCAAAGUUUGCUCAUAUGUCAAAGUUUGAAUUUUGACAUAUGCAACAUUUGAUCUAUGUCAAAGUUUGAUCAUAUGUCAAAGUUUGAAUUUUGACAUAUGCAACAAUAUUUGAUCAUAUGUCAAAGUUUGACUUUUGGCAUAGAUUUAUCAAGAAUGCCCCCAUUAUGGAUGNNNNNNNNNNNNNNNNNNNNNNNNNNNNNNNNNNNNNNNNNNNNNNNNNNNNNNNNNNNNNNNNNNNNNNNNNNNNNNNNNNNNNNNNNNNNNNNNNNNNNNNNNNNNNNNNNNNNNNNNNNNNNNNNNNNNNNNNNNNNNNNNNNNNNNNNNNNNNNNNNNNNNNNNNNNNNNNNNNNNNNNNNNNNNNNNNNNNNNNNNNNNNNNNNNNNNNNNNNNNNNNNNNNNNNNNNNNNNNNNNNNNNNNNNNNNNNNNNNNNNNNNNNNNNNNNNNNNNNNNNNNNNNNNNNNNNNNNNNNNNNNNNNNNNNNNNNNNNNNNNNNNNNNNNNNNNNNNNNNNNNNNNNNNNNNNNNNNNNNNNNNNNNNNNNNNNNNNNNNNNNNNNNNNNNNNNNNNNNNNNNNNNNNNNNNNNNNNNNNNNNNNNNNNNNNNNNNNNCUAUAUGUCACGUUGUCUGUCAAAGUAUUGAAGAAAUUCAUGGCUUCAUCAUUAGCCGGAAGUAACAGGCGUAUGAUGCUACGAAGCUCUUCAAAGUUGUUUUGGAACAGAGUUCCGGAUAGAAUAAUUCGAUUUUUGGUACGAAUUUCAGCAAAGGCCCUCCAAAUAGCGAUAUUCGGAAGGCUCUUGCUGAACUUCAUACCAAAUAGCUAAUUAUCCUAUCCAGGACUUCGUUCCAAAACAAUUUUGGAGAGCUUCGUACCAUUAUGCGCCUGUUACUUCCGGCUAAUGAUGAAGCCAUGGUUUUCUUGAAUCCUUUGACACUAGACACCCCAGCUUAGAGAAACCAGAACGCCCCGUAUUCCAGCCCAGAGAUCGAGGAGAAGUCUUCUGGAAUACGGCACUGCUUAGCAUAAAACAAAUCAGCUCUUUAUUACAAUCCAUAUUGGGUACAAGAGGAUUACAUCGGCAUGGCGACACUACGCCUACCACGGUUGCUCUAUGCAAGCAGCAGAACAACACGAAGCAGCGGAAUAACUUCUAACAGCGGAACAACGACGACGGUGGUGAACUCCACUCUGCAUGGACUCUGACUGGAACGCUUGUCCUAGCUCGCACACAAGGAAUCCACGGCAAACAAGCAAUCAAAUUCGGCAUGUCCUACAAACUGGCAUGACACGCCAGGUCAGUACAUUGAAUGUACUUGCAAGCUCACAACAACUAGAAGCAAUCAAGACAAACAACAGCAUGGCAAUUACAGGUUAACAAGGAUUAACAUGGUAAUAUCAGGAUAACAUGGCAUGAACAACAUGAACAUGAUACAGCGAGAACACUACGAACAUGGCAUGGACAUAUGAACAUGAUGAUACUAUUAUGCACCAACUUACUCUGCUCGGGUUACCUUGUAACCAUCACAUGCAUAAGCUUACCAUCACGGACACCACACGAUCAUCUCAGGAUCCAAUCAAGCUUGGUAUUACCAUACCGUAGUGAUCAUUACAUGACCACAAGGAGCUUGAUCUUUACCUGUGAUUCUCGCACAACAUCGCAAAUAACCAUCAACUCGGUAUCCACGAUACCACGGUGAUCCUCUCACGAUCACAUAACGAACUUCUUUCAUCAUCGAACCGGGGUUGUUAUUAAGCACAUUAUUAUUAUUACUGUUGACCCAUAAUGUGACCAACUAUGAACUAGGCCCUUAUCCGCAGGCGCGGCUAUCGAUAGAAUGAAAACACACUCUGCAGAGGUUAGCACGAUGUACCCACAUCACGGAACCCACGGCCUCGCACUCCCAUUCGGGUGGACCAACGGCGUUCCGACAAAACCGUCCUACUGCCAUGACACUCUCCCGGCCACUCCGACUAACUCCCCACUGGGCUAAGUCAUGGGUGGCCCCGUGCCUACCAAAGGCAUCAACGGCCACCGUCGUGGCAAAACAUAAACGGUCCCAAACGGGGACAAUGGUAUACCAAUCACAACAACGGGCACACAAGGCUUAUGUCCGCCUACCUGAUCAGGGUAGCGCGCGCCCAUAACCUUCCCUCGUUGGAGGCACCGGCGAGAGGCAUGACAAUAGACCUAGUUAGGACCCUCCCAUAAAAGGCAAAUGUGGUUGCACUAGUCAACUCGAUUUGGUGGCACCAUGACUCAGCCAACAGUUGUUCAAGUUCAUUUAAGUCCGGUUAAACUUGAAUGCAAUAAGCUGAGCCAUAUUAAAAUAACAUGAUGCAACUACAAUGCAUGAGCAUGAUAUCAAUAUAAGCAUGGGGGUGCAACAUAACUAUCAACCAUAUCAACAAAGAAUCAUAUCCAACUGAGCAUGGCAUAAUGACGAGCAUGAAUAUCACAAGUAUAACACUACUCAUAGCAUAACAUGACCACAAGCAUCAACAAUAAAUACCUUGCAAGAACACAUCAAUAACAUUACCGAGUAAGCACUUAACCAACUAACGGCAAAGGAACAAUGCAUACCAACGGUACUCGAUAACCGACAAUAGUCAUGCACCGAAGAACAUGACCAACCCAACAUGUACUACUGGCAAGCAUGAACAUAUGAAUGUAAUACUAGCAAGUAGAACAUGAUAACUAGGUGCAUAUGAACAUAGCAUGAAAGUAAACACAGAUCCAUAAGCAGCACCGAAACAACGAUAACCGUAUCAAAACAAGCAGACAUCUAUUAAAUAUUCAAGUUGAAAACCAUUCCUACUACAUGGCCAUCAUGCAAGUGGGUGUUGUGGCUUGCCUAGGGAUGAAGAAUACACCGGGGGAGAUGUGCGGUGUAGCCGCGGAAAGAUUCGCCGGAAACACUUCUCUCUCGAAGGGGGCUGUUUACGGGCAAGGGAAAAAUGGUCAUUUCCGGUAUGUCAAACCAUAGUGAAAAUGAUGAGAACAGAACGGGCUCGACAAGAUGAAGACAUAGGAGUUGGAAUCACCUCGAUCGGAGUUACGGCCGUUCGUUCGUUAGGCAGAAAAAUAAAUAAAAAGUAUUCUUUUUCUGCGCUAACGGGUGAACAUUCAUAACUUAGAGGUUACGGCCGGCGGCUGGAAAAACAGAAAGCGUAUUUUGAGAAAUACGAUUUCGCAGAAGAGAAAGCGUAAAGUGCAAUGAAGAAGCACAGAAGUACGCUUACUCGAAGGGAAAGCGUAUUUACAUAAAUACGUCUCCACUUAUCCCAGUCAGCAGUGGCGGGGCCGGCUCCUGUGUGGCUGACAGGUGGGACCGGGGUGACGCGGGGCCCACCCGCCCUGGCCUUCUUCCUCCUCCCGCGUACGCGCGCCUGGCCGAGGGAGGAGCUCACCCCGACGGUGAUUGCCGGCGGCACAGGUCACCUCAGUCGGCGCCCGGCCUACUGGUGUGUUCAAGAUGGCAAGGCGCACCCACUGGUGUACAACACGACCAGCAGAGAGGACGGUAGCGAGCAGAGGUGUGGCCAUGGCGGACGGCGAUGUCGGGUGAUGAGGGGCAGGGUGCUCCGGCGGCGAGAAUACGGAGCAAGGGCUCGAGAGAGCUUCGCCGGGGUUGGUGAGUUCCAAAGGUGAAGAAAAGAGGGAAGGAGGUGGUCGGAGCUGCGCCAAUUUAAGCGGAGCACCGCGGCGGCCAUGGCGGCGGUGAGAGGCUAGGAGAGCUUCCCGAGCUCGUUGGAGAGGCUGGGCGGGGUAUUGGGAGGUUGUGGAGGCGAGAGGUGAGCUCGGACGAGGUCGGGGAGGUCUAUUUAUAGCCGAGCCGAGGCGGUUGGCCGCGGACGCGUGGCCGUGGCUCGGGCGCCGCCGUGCACGUCCGGCCGAGGCUCUGUCGGCCGCAGAGGUCACGGGGAGGCCCGGGAAGAUGACGAGGGGGAAGAGGACGAGGGUCAGAGGCUCACGGAGACGAGUGGCGCUCGGGAACAUGAGGAGGAAGGGGACACGGCCGAGGAAGAUGACGCGGUCAUGGGCCGGAACUGUGCAGCGACGAUGAUGGCUCACCGGGGAAGCAAACAGAGGGGGAGAUGGCUCCAGGAGGACGGCGACGACGCGGGGAACACGCUAGACAUGCCCGUGCUCGCUAAGACACCAAGCAGAGGAGGGGGCUGAGCAAGAAUACGCUCUGUGCUCGGCCAGUGCGUGCCAAAACGAUGGUCACCACGCAGGCUGGCAAUAAGAAGACUCCACGGGCUGCCGUGAGAUGUCUGGUGAUUAGUCCCUGCAUCACCGAGCCUGAGGGAGGUGAUGUAUCAAGCAGAGGGGCUCUGGAUCGAUGGGAUUACUCCACUGAAGUUUGUUAUAUCAAACUGAAUCAGGUUACGGUGAUCAACAGCAAAGAGGUUGGAGCCAAAUGAGUUGUCUGGGGUGUUUAGGAUAGGAAGUACAAGAAUCCUAUGAAGUUUGGAAGGAAAUGGACAAAUAUAUAACAUAGUUGCUUUGCAACUGACCAAAAUGGUCCAGAAUAGAGAUUAUGAUGAUGCACUCAAAUGAAGAAGCCACUUGAGCUGAAAUUUGGCAUGGCAGUGUUAUCUGGCCAUAUGAAGAUGCUGUAAAAAUUUCAUACCAAGUGGAUAAACCAAAAUGGUACUUGCUUCACAAUCAUCUCCUUUAGACAGAAAGUUGCAAAAAUUCUAGAGGAAUAUUGGCUUGAUGAAUUGAUCCCAGAAUUGAUGGGGAUAGGUUAAAUGGAUAGAAGAAGGUUCUGGAAAAUUUUCAGCCAUAGUGUAGCAAAGUAAAAUAUACUUGCUUCACAAGCUGAAAAUUUUGACAGAAGCAAAGAUUUGAUCAUGGGCUCACAUAGAUCAAAGGAUGGAGCUAAACUUUUGAGGAGUGGGAUAAUAUGAGCACAUGAAUGAGUGUGCAAAAUUUCAACUCAUUUGGGUUAUCCUAGUUAGUACUUCCUUCACAAUGCAUUCCCUCAGACAGGAACUUUGAAAAAUUGCUCAGGAAUAUUCACAAGGCAAAUUGAGUUGAAUUUUGGCAUGAGGCAAUUAUUUGGACAUGAAAAGGAGUCCAAAAAGUUUUGGGUCAAUUAGGCAAAGGUAAAUGGCACUUGCUUCACAAACUGCCAUUCAGGACAGAAUAGGGAAGGAAUUAAUUGAGCAUGAUGGGAAACAUGGCCAAUGAAAUAUUUUUGCCAUAUUUGAGGAAGAUAUGACCCAAAUAAUUUAUGAGAAUUAUUUGGGAAUUUUAGGAGUGAUGGAAAUAUAGGUUGCUUCACAACCUAGGACAAAUUGGGUUAUUCCUUUAACAGAAAAAGGAAUAUUCCCAAGGAAAAGAUUAUUGGGGUUGGUCCAAGAUGGAAAUGGAAAGGUCUAGGGAUGGAUAAGAGGAUGACAAGCCACUCUGGAAAGAAAUAAGAGGUCAUCUUCUUCAAUUUCCAGACCACAUAGCCACGGAAAAAGAAAACUCAAGCAAAAAUCUCAGAAAAUAAAUGAAAAAGAAAAGGGCCAAAAAUCAGGCUGUGACACCCCACCCCCCACCCCCCUUCAAAAAAGCAAAAACCCCUGCUCCUGCCAGCUGCUGAAGCGUGGAUGCCUUUUGGUCCCGGUUGGUGUUACCAACCGGGACUAAAGGUGCUCCUGCCUGGGCGCCCCGCAGCGGCCACGUGGAGCCCCUUCUGUCCCGGUUCGUAAGCAAACCGAGACUAACGAUUUUGGGCUUUAGUCCCGACCCAUUAGUCCCGGUUCCAGAACCAGGGCUAAUGGGCCUCUAGAACCGGGACAAAUGGCCCGUUUUCUACUAGUGAAAAGUAGUACUCCAUUGCUUGUCAACACUUGGGUCAUAUAUCAACACAUCAGUGAACCGUUUACAAGCCUCCAGUACUAUCACCUGUAACGAUUCAUCCCAAAACAGCCCAAGACCACCACUUCUUCCCUCAGGGUCCACUCCUCUGAACCCUCGGAGACCGAUUCUCCAUCUUAGCUUUUCCACUUUCACAGCAGCCUGUCUCGCCUCGCAAAGAAAGACGAGCUUGGGGUGAUUGGCCCUUGAUAGGGCCAACAGGUCACGAACUGUCCAGCGGUUACCCACCCCCUGGCAGUUCCAAACUAGGUGAUUCAUUGCGUCUGGCGGUCCUCCUCGUGGGAGGCCGCCGAUGUCUCAUUCUCAUCAUUGCCCUUCAUAAUCUUUGCCCUCUUGCUGCCAUUACUACUCGUCUGCGAGUUACUCUUCUUUUGAUCCACACCACUGCCCUCCGUAAUGGCCAAUAGAACCUUAGGUUGGUUAGGAAGACUAGAAUUCGCUGCAUCAGCAGCAUCCAUGUGGAGCCUCUUCCUUGGAUCCUUAUCAACCUCCAUCCUCACUCCAAGAUGCUUAACCGGGCUUGAUGAUGUAUCUACAGUCUCAGGGUCAAUUUCCUCCUAUGACUUGGUCUGGGUGUCAGGGUCCGCCGCCUUCUUCCUCGCCUUAUCUUUCUGCUCAGUGUUCGGUUGCUGCUUCUGCUUCUCGCUCCCUCGGCCGAGGUUCUCAGCUCUUGGUCUAUUCGGUCCAUCCGCAUACAACCAGGGCCCAAACUUCAUGUUUUUCUCAUCAUGGAUACCUGAACCACACUCCUUGCAAUCAUGCCCGAUCAAACCACACAUGCUACAGAAUCUAGCCAACUUCUCAUACCGCACCAAGAACACCUGCCGUUCCUUCCCUCUGACAAUACUGACAAACUUCGUGAGGGGUUGGCGGAUGUCAUGGCGAACCCUAACCCUCACGUAGUCACCUCGGGUAUUCCCGUUCAACCUCAUCUCCUGAAUCUCCCCGGAGUUCCGCAACAGUGAUUCCACAAUAUUCCUCUUACAAAAGCCAUUCGGUAGCUUGUGAAUCUGAAGCCAGAUUGGCAUGAACAGCAUCGGUACCUCCUCCACCUUCGUGAAACCAUCAUACGGGCACAUAAGUACCAGCCAAUUCCUGAAGAGCCAAGGCCCCUGAUCCACCAUGCACUCCCAAUAUCCAAGGAAAGACGCCUGCACGACGAACAGGUUCGGUCCAACGGGCUUAAACCUAACAUGCUUCGUUGGGUUCCAGGUUGCACGCAUGUCCUUGUAGAACGCCGUCAGGCUGAAAGUUUUUUCAGUGUGAACCCUAGCUAGGGCUAACCAUCUAACUGCUUCAUUGAUCGCUGGAUCAUCCUCCUCGGUCACUAGGUCAUAGAAUUAUUCCUUGUCCAGGUUGAGUUGCUCCAUAAAAUCAUCCAGAUCCUGAUUCCUGGCGGCGCCGCCACCACCGCUGGUCCCUGACAGGGCGUCCGCCACCGUUUCCAUCGACUACUGCCGUGAAGGAGCGCGCGAGCCACCGGGGGGAGGUUCGCAGGCCACGAUCUCGCGAUCCCUAGCGGGGGCAGGCUGCGAUCGAACGUAGGUACUCUCUGGCGAUGGAGUCGCUAGGGAGGAGACAAAACCUGGCGUUAGCGUAGGGGAAACCAAUAUGUUUGAUCUUGCCAUGUAUAUUAUUAAUUACAUGAUGCAUGACAUUUAGUACAUGAUAAAAGAUAAUUACAUAAUGAACAUUUUGCUAUACACGAUGAAUAUUUUAUAAUUACAUGAUGAACAACUUUUUGAUUUGUGACAAUCAUUUUCUGAAAAUAGACAAUGUUUUGAAAAAAGAUAGGAGGAACCUAUUCCGAAAGAAAAAAAGAAAACAAUAUUAAACAAACAUUUGGAGCACAUGGAAAAACAUCACAUGAUAGACUUUGUGAAGUAGACGAAGAUUCUUUUAAAAUAUAAUGUGUUCUGAAAAUAGCUGGUGAAGAUUUUUUCAAUACAGUGAAUACAUUUUAAUGCGGAUACACAAAACAGUUGAAACAUACAUAACGAUUUUACAUCCAUGAACAUUUUCCUUUUUUUAAGGGGAAUAUAUUAAUAUCAUGCAGAUACCAAUUACACCCAGUCUCUGCACCUAUAAAAUGUCGCAAAGACAUCCAGGAUGCACACAACCAAAGAUAAAUAGAAAAGAAAUAAAAAAACAAAGGUCCCGCCACAGCGACCGAUUUCUCUCAGUAGCCGCACAUAAACCACCACCAAAUACAGCACGCGAAAACAUAAAAGGUCUCCAAAAGCAAUGCUUCCGAGAAGGAAACAGUGCACAAGCAUCAUCGUUGCCCUAUCCAAGAUCUUACAUUUUCACCAGGGAGAAGUCUGAGCUCUUAAAACAAUUCCUUCAGCAAGGCAAUUACCAGGCACAACUAAUGAAGGUCAUACCUUAGAUUUUUCACCCUGAAAGUCACAGCUCGGCACCCGAGGAGCACCCAAGGAAUAUUUUGUUGCAUGCAGAAAAAAUUUCUUUUUCUUAAAAAUCUAAAUUCCAUUACAAAGAAUGAAGAGUAAAAUCAAAAAUGUUAAAAGAACCCAAGAAAAGGGGAACCAUCACCACAGAAUGAGCAAUCCACGUAAAAUAAUUUUUAUUUUGACGAGGGCUAUGAAAAAUAUAGAUUGUCUUUAAGUUUAGGGAAAAUAUAAAUGCAAAGGCCACACGCUCGUCUCUGGGUGUCCUACUCGUUGGCCCACCACACCCUAUUCAUCGCCAUAAGCGCGAAAUCACUAAUUAAGGAGUACUCCUUCUAACUAUCACUUCCAUCUCCCCAGGUUGCGAUAAGUGGCGUGCUACAUAUGCGUCACUUAUCGCAACUUGGAAGUUGUCCCUUUUUUGUCGAUUCGUUUAUUCAAAAUGAUUAUCUCUUAAACCGUGUGUUCAAAUCUCGAACCGUUUUCACCAUUGGAUUUCUCGCAUCAAGAUCUUCAAAAUUAGAUCUCAUGUUGAUAGGUUUUGAAGAAAUUUUCUCACGAACAAAUCCAGACAAAAACGGGAUCGGGAACACUUUUCUUUCGUUUCCGAGAGGCACAGCCGUGCCUCUCGCGGAAGCAAAACCGUGCCACUCACGAAAGCAAAAUUUUGACUCUCACAAAAAAAAGAGAAACAUGUUUUUCCCCGUUUCCGAGAGGCACUGCCGUGCCUCUCGCGGAAGCAAAACCAUGCCUCUCGCAGAAGCAAAACCGUGCCUCUCACGGAAGGAAAAAAACAUGUUUUUUCAUUUCCGAGAGGCACAGCCGUGCCUCUCGCGGAGGAAAAACCGUGCCUCUCGCGGAAACAAAACCAUGCCGCUGGCAGAAGCAAAACCGUGCCUCUCGCUGAAGGAAAAGAAACGCGUUUUUUCGUUUUCGAGAGGCAUGGCCAUGCCUCUCGCGGAAGCAAAACCAUGCCUCUCACGGAAGCAAAACCGUGCUUCUCGCGGAAGAAAAAAAGAGAAAACUCAUUUUUUUUUCCGAGAGGCACGGUGAUGCCUCUCGCAGAAGCAAAACCAUGUCCCUCGCGCAAGCAAAACCGUGCCUAUCACGAAAAGGAAACGUAUUUUUCACCUAAAAAUCCAAAAUGAAAUUUGGUCCAAAAGCUAAGGAAGGCCGGUGAAAAACCGAAAACCCAAAAAAAUCUAAAAGGCAGCAAACCUAUGCGGAAAAAUAAAAUUAAAAAAAAUUCAGAGGAAGUGCCCAAAGCGCGACAUGUGGCGGCGGCUGAGAGUGGCGCGCUCUCAGCCCAUCCCCAAGUGACCUUUGGGGAGGCUGAAAACGAGCUCUCUUCAGUUAGUUGCUCUCCCAAAAGCAUCGGUUUCUACUUUUUUUUUAGAAAAAACAGACACUUCGUUCGACCUUGGGCCCGGGCCCAUUUGUUCUUCGUGCCGCACGUUUGUUUUUUCCCAUCAGUUUUCUCGACCUUUGUAUUUAUCUUUUAGGACCAUUCUUUAUUCUGUAUUUUUGGUUUUCGUAUUUCCUUUUUAUUUUUAUAAUUUUUUACCUUAAUUUCAUCUUUAUUUUUAAAAUUUUAUUUUUAUCUUCAUAUUUUCCCUUUUUAUAAUUUCGUUUUUCAAAUUCUGGUUUUUUCCUAAAUUGUGGUUUUUAUCUUUUUAUUUUUAUAAUAUUUUUAAAUUUAUGAAAAAAUAACUCGCGAACAAUACUCCAAAUUAGUAAACAUGUUUCCAACUCUGCAAACAUUAUUCAGAUCCAUGAACUUUUUGGAAAUGCGUGAACUUUUUGGGUCCGUGAGUUAUUUCCUAAAUUCACGAUCUUUUUAGAAUUCAUGGACACUUUCUAAAAUCAUUAAGUUUUUUCUCAAAGCAUGAACUUUUUUCAAAUUCACGAAAUAUUCAAAUUUCUAGGAUGUUUUUUCAAAUUCAGAGAAAGAAAUCAGGUUCGCAGACUUUUUCAAGUUUGUUAAAUUUUAGGAAAAUGGUGAAAAAGUAUUUAGCAAGUUUUUCAACAGACGUUUAAAAAACUAGCUACUUCGCACAGCAAGGAAUGCAAUUGGGUGGGCCACUCGGAUUUACUGUUCGACCACGAAAAACGUUAAAAAAACACUGUAGCACCCGGUACUGUAAAGUAUAUUAUAAUGUCCUUUUAUUUGCUCUGCUUUUAUUUUGAACAUUUUUUCAAUUAUUAAUAAAUAUACUGAACAAUUUUUUAAUACUUUUGUAAUAUAUGUUGAACAAUUUUUACGAAUACACAUUGAACAUUUGGGUAACAUACGCUGAACAAACUUCUAAUACACAGUGAAUAUUGUACUAUUUCUUGAACAAUUUCCUACUAUGCGGUGAACAUUUUCUUAAAACGUGAUGAAGUUUUUUUGUAAUAAACAGUGAACUUUUGUAUAAUACACAAAAACAAAAAAGGAAAAAGGAAAAGAAAAGAAAUAGAAACCGAAAAUACAAAAAUAGAAGAAACAGUGAAGCCAUCUGUGGCCCGGCCCAUCCUAGGCCGUGUGGAGGGACUCGCGUUAAGCGAGACAGGAGGGAACCUCAGGAGCAACUAGUUGACGAGCGCUCCUUCGGGUGCCUCGCAACGAUCACUUGCGGAUGGGCUGAGAGUGUGUCACUUGGCGCGCACUCAGCCGCCGUCACGUGUCGCGCUAUGGGCGCUCCCUCCGGAUUUUUUUUAUUUUUUCGCAGGCGUUUUCAGCUUUUUAAACGGGGUUUUUUGACUUUUGGGUUUUCCAUCGGUCUUUCUUAGCUUUUUGACAAAAAAACGAAAACAAAUUUUUGCGUGAAAAAAACAUGUUUUUUGUUGUUUCCGCAAAAGGCACGGUUUUGAUUUCCCGAGAGGCACGGCCGUGCCUCUCGGAAACAGAAAAAAAAACGUGUUUUCAGUUUUUUUUUCUUCCGCAAGAGGCACGGUUUUGCUUCCGUGAGAGCCACCAUUGUGCUUCUGCGAGAGGCACGUUGUGCCUCUCAGAGACGAAAAAAAACAUGCUUUUUUGUUUUUUUCCUUCCGCAAAAGCCACGGCUGUGCUUUCGCGGGAGGCUCGGAAACAGAAAAAAAAUGUGUUUUCUGUUUUCUCCUUCCGCGGGAGGCACGGUUUUGCUUCCGCAAGAGGCAUGGUUGUGCUUCCACGAGAUGCACGGCCGUGCCUCUCAGAAACGAAAAAAACAGUUUUUUUCUUCCGCGAGAGGCGCAUUUUUGCUUCCGUGAGAUGCAAGGUUGUGUUUUAGUGAGAGGGACGGUUGUGAUUUCGCGAGAGGCUCAGAAACAAAAUAAAUGUGUUUUCGUGCUGUCGGUACGGUUUUUUGUCCGAUUUUUUCUCCGGUUUUUUCGUAUAAAAAAAGUUCGUCAAAACCUACCAAGAUGGAUCUAGUUUUGAAAAUCUCGACACGAGGAAUCCAACGGUGAAAACUGUUCGAGAUUUAGACGCACGGUUUAAAAGAUAAAAUAUUUUUAAUAAACGGAUAUACGGAAAAAGGAAAACUUCUAGGUUGCGACAAGUGGCGCACAUGCAGCGCAUCAAUUGUCACAACCUGACAAGUUAGGAGUGAUCUUUGCAAGAAGUACUCCUCAAUUAGUGAUCUCGGGGAACCCUCGCUGAAGGGAACCGCCAAUCAGGUUGCCCAGGCGUGUGGGAAACAGCGGCCAUGUUUUCUGUUUUUUUUCAUGUUUUUUGUUUUCUUUUUUUCUUUCUUUUUUUUACUUUUAUUUAUACUUACAAAUAUUCUAAAUAAAUAUAUUACAAAAAUAAUUCUUCAUAAAAACAUUUGAAAAUGUUGACCAAGCAUUUGAAAAAUGUUAAAUGUGUAUAGAGAAAAUGUUUAUCAAAUAUAUGAAAAAUGUAUACAAAAAAGUUAUUCGGUCAUUUGAGAAAAUUUUGAACAAGUGAAAUGUUGACAAUGUAUUUCAAAAAUGAUGAAACAACUUUGAGCAUGCAUAUAAAAAUUGUUAAUCAACCAUUUGAAAAAAUGUUGAACAAGUAUUUAAAAAUUGUGAAAUACGUAUAGAAAAAAUGUUGACCGUGUAUUAAAAAAUGAUGAAAAAAUUUGAUCAUGAAUAGAAAAAUGUUAAUCAAGCAUUCGUAAAAAUGUUGAACAAUUAUAUAAAAAUGGUAAUCAAGCAUUUGAAAAAAUUUAAUAUGUAUAGAAAAAUGUUGACCAUGUAUUAAGAAAUGAUGAAUUUUUUUUAUCAUCAACAUCAAAAAAUUAACAAAGCAUUCGAAAAUAUGUUGAAAAAUUAUUUGGAAAUUUUGCUCAAGCAUUUCAAAAAUGUUAAAUUUGUAUAGAAAAAAUGUUGACCAUGUAAUUAAAAAUGAUAAUUUUUAUAAUAUAUAUAUCAAAAAUGUUAAUCAAGCAUUUGAAAAAAUGUUGAACAUGUAUUUGAAAAUUUUAAUCAAGCAUUUAGAAAAUGUAAAAUGUGUACAGAUAAUAUGUUGACCAUGUGUUCAAAAAAGUUAAUAUUGCAUUUUGAAAAAAGUAGUCAAGCAUUUUAUGAAAAUGUUAAUAUGUGCAUAGGAAAAAUGUUAAUCUUGUAUUUGAAAAAUGUUGAUGAAGCAUUUGAAAAUUGUUAAAAAUUUGUAUAGAAAAAAUGUUGACUAUGUAUUAAAAAAUGUUAAACUUAUAUUGAAAAAAUGAUAAAUGUGUAACAGAAAAAUGUUGUUUACAUAUACAAAAAUGUAGAAUGAAAANNNNNNNNNNNNNNNNNNNNNNNNNNNNNNNNNNNNNNNNNNNNNNNNNNNNNNNNNNNNNNNNNNNNNNNNNNNNNNNNNNNNNNNNNNNNNNNNNNNNNNNNNNNNNNNNNNNNNNNNNNNNNNNNNNNNNNNNNNNNNNNNNNNNNNNNNNNNNNNNNNNNNNNNNNNNNNNNNNNNNNNNNNNNNNNNNNNNNNNNNNNNNNNNNNNNNNNNNNNNNNNNNNNNNNNNNNNNNNNNNNNNNNNNNNNNNNNNNNNNNNNNNNNNNNNNNNNNNNNNNNNNNNNNNNNNNNNNNNNNNNNNNNNNNNNNNNNNNNNNNNNNNNNNNNNNNNNNNNNNNNNNNNNNNNNNNNNNNNNNNNNAAACAUGUAGAAAGAAUAAAAAAGAAUGAAAGCAAAACAAAAAACGGAGAAGUAAAAAGAAAAGAAACAAAAAACGAAAAUAGCAUUGAAACCCGAAGAAACAAAUGAAAAAAAAAUAAUAGCCCCUAGUAUACGUCGAAUCCUCGGGAUAUCCGAGGUCGAACAAGGAACAAUUCGGCUUUUUUGAAAAAGGAAAGCCCUUCGUUCUACACGGACAACCGCUACCGGUCGUAUAGAGUUUGACGUUGCGGUCGGUUCGCCGAAUAGUUUACGCUUGUUGUGACAGUCAACUUUCGGCUUUCUCCAACUGAGGUACUUGACCGGUUAAACCUGAAGUUACAAUCAUAGCGGUGCUCCCUUUACCUCCUAGUCAAACAAAGCGGAACGUAAGAGGUAAGCACAGGAGCCGAGCAACCCAGCUAUUAACCAAAGACACAACUCAAAACUGAUGCAUAUAAUGCGAAAUACCGAGGAUGUGGGGCCGAGGUCUUCUCUAUAGUACCUCGGAUGUUACAGGGUGUCGGCUUGAUUCUACAGCCCCCCAUAAGGUUCGAUGGCGCCUUAAAGGCAUCCAUCACCUGCAUCGUUUACAGUUGUGUUUCAAGAGAAGGAUAAAAGGAUGUGACAUCGGGCCCUCUCUUAUAAAAAGGAUCGAACCAAUCUGAACUAUAACAUAAAGGAUACAAGAUAUCUAUAUGAAAGAUAGGCGAGAAGGGCAGCGCGGCUAGUUAUCGGAUGGUGGGCUUGACGUCCUUUAUUGUCCUGCUGGCGUGCAUCCUCCAUCAUGUUAAACAGCAGUUCCUCAUCGAGUCCGAGGAAAGACAUCUCACUUGUGAAGGGACCCGUCGUUUCUUGAAUUCAUUUGAAAUGGUGAUGUAGCUGAGGUUUAUUGAAUUCGGAUCAAAUGCCAUUCGUAGUCACCCCCGGCCGAGUCUUCCCUAUGAUUAAGAGCAGGGCGUGAAUUUACCGCCGGGGGUGCAGGAAAACAUGUCAGAUUACCUGACCCGUUACCCAGGAUGCUGUGAUCCACCACCUCCCAUGGGAUUUUCAACAUAAAGUUGUGUAUCUGAGGGACACAAACCUCGGUCAUGGAAAUGGGCCAGUGGAGCGCACGGCCUUAUUUGGGGUCACCCUUUUUGUGCGCCGAGGUGAAGUGUAGGUGAAGUUUACACUUCUUGAACACUUCAUGUGGCUCUGGCCGCUUGACACUGCUCGCGCUCUUGAUGCUUCCUCAGUCGCGAAGGCCACUGUAUGUUCCGCGAUUCGGACGGAGCGUUCCGUAUUUCCAUUGACUGUAAUGACGGCGUUCAGCCCUGGCAUCUUAAGCUUUCGAUAAGCAUAGUGAGGGACAGCAUGGAAUCGAGCGAAGGCGGUCUGUCUGAGGAGUGCGUGAUAACCACUUCCAAAGGGUACGUUGUCGAAGAUUAAUUCUUCGCUGCGGAAAUUAUCGGGUGUGCCAAAUACAACAUCCAAAGUGACACUACCCGAGCAUUGUGUCUCAAUUCCCGGUAUGAUACCUUUAAAGUUCGUACUACUGGGCUUGAUUCUGGCCGGAUCUGUAUGCAUAUUCUUAAUGGUAUCAGCGUAUAUCAAGUUGAGACUGCUACGCCCAUCCAUAAGGACUCGGGUCAUAUGAAAGCCGUCCACUAUGGGGUCGAGUACCAGAGCUGCAGUGCCUCCAUGACGGAUACUUGUCGAAUUGUGUCUUUGGUCAAAGGUGAUCGGAAUUUCCGACCAUGGGUUGUAAGUUGGCGCUCCUGGCUCUACGGCAUAGACAUCGUGAAGCGCGUGUUUUCUCUCCUUCCUGGUGACGUGAGUAGCGUAAAUCAUGUUCACGUCCUUGACUUCGGGAGGGAAUUCAUGUUCACGUCCUUGACUUCGGAAGGGAAUUGCUUCUCGCCACCAUUACCUGGCCCAGGCUGGUUACCAUCCCCGUUAUGAGGCUGGUUCAUGCCCUGAUUCUUGGUCGCUAUCUUGAUGGCUUGCUUGAUUACCCAGCAGUCCCGGUUCGAAUGAGUGGCAGGCUUGUCUAGGGUGCCGUUUACGGCACAUGCUUUAUCCAAUAUUUUGCCCAACAUCGAUACGUUAUCUUUAUUCCCUUGAAAGAGUUUCCACUUGUUCCCACCACGUUGGUUGCUGAAUCCGGCAUUUACUACUCCCUCCUCGGUGUCGCUACUAUGUCCUCUAUUGUGGCGUGAUACGUCUCCAACGUAUCUAUAAUUUUUUAUUGUUCCAUGUUGUUAUAUUAUCAAUCUUGGAUGUUUUAUAUACAUUUACUAGCAACUUUAUAUCAUUUUUGGGACUAACCUAUUAACCUAGUGCUAGUUGUUGUUUUUUGCUUGUUUUUUACUUUGUAGAAUAUCAAUACAAACGAAGUCCAGAUGCUACGAAACUUUUUGGAGAUUUUUUUCUGGUGAUAAGAGACCCUGGAAGCUUCCGGAGGAAGCCAGAGGUGGAAGGGGGCCCACUAGGCACCAGGGUGCGCCAGAGGCCCAAGGCGCGCCCUUAUGGGUAGUGGGGCCCACGGGCACCGACUUGACCUACCUCCGGCUCUAUAGAUACUCUAAAAUCCCAAAAAACCUAAGGGAGUCGACGAAUUACAAGGCUAUAAGAGAUCGUGUGGUGGGCCCGCUCCGAGAUUGAAUCUAGUGCGUGGGCGAUGAUAUCUGCGGGAAUCUCGGGCCGAUCUAAUGUUACUUCUUGAGUUUGCGUUGGUUUUUCCCUUGAAGAGGAAAGGGUGAUGCAGCAAAGUAGAGAUAAGUAUUUCCCUCAGUUAAGAACCAAGGUAUCAAUCUAGUAGGAGGAACACACAGGUCUCCAAUAGUUAUACCUGCACAAACAAACAAAUACUUGCAUCCAAUGUGAUAAAGAGGCUGUCAAUCCCUUCACGGUUACUUGCAAGGAUGAGAUCUGAUAGUGAUGGAUAUAAAAGAUAAAUAAAAUUGCAAAAUAAAAUGAAAGUAAAUAAAUUACAACAAGGUAUUUUUGUGUUUUUGAUUUUGUAGAUCUGAAAAUAAUAUGAAAAAGAUAGACCCUGGGGCCACAGUUUUCACUAGAGGCUUCUCUCUUGAAAGAAAGCAUACGAUGGGUAAACAAAUUACUGUUGAGCAAUUGAUAGAAAAGCGCAUAGUUAUGACGAUAUCCAAGGCAAUGAUCAUGUAUAUAGGCAUCACGUCCGAGACAAGUAGACUGACUCCUGCCUGCAUCUACUACUAUUACUCCACACAUCAACUGCUAUCCAGCAUGCAUCUAGUGUAUUAAAUUAAUAAGAAUGGAGUAACACAUUAAGAAAGAUGACAUGAUGUAGAGGGAUAGAUCCAAUCAGUAUGAACAAACCCCAUCUUUUUAUCCUUAAUGGCAACAAUACAAAUAUGUGUCAUGUCCCCUUCUAUCACGGAUAUUGAGCACCGCAAGAUUAAACCCAUUACAAAGCACCUCUCCCAUUGUAAGAAGAAUCAAUCUAGUUGGUCAAACCAAAUCAGUAGAUCGGAGAGAACUACAAAGCUAUAUAAUCAUGCAUAAAAGAGUUCAGAGAAGACUCAAAUAAUAUCCAUAGAUAAUCUGAUCAUAAACCCACAAUUCAUAGGAUCUCAACAAACACACCGCAAAACAAGAUUACAUCGAAUAGAUCUCCAAGAACAUCGAGGAGAACAUUGUAUUGAAGAUCAAAGAGAGAGAGAAGAAGCCAUCUAGCUACUAGCUAUGGACCCGUAGGUCUGUGGUAAACUACUCACACAUCAUCGUAAAGGCAGCAAGGUUGAAGUAGAAGCCCUCCGUGAUCGAAACCCCCUCCGGCGGAGUACCAAAAAGGUCCCCGGAUGGGAUCUCAUGAAGACGGAAUUGCGGCGGCGGAAAAGUAUUUUUGGUGUGCCCUCUGGUCUACGGGGAAUAUUUGGGUAUUUAUAGAAGAAGAAUUUGAAGGAAAUAUGCCCUAGAGGCAAUAAUAAAGUUGUUAUUUUAUUUUUCCUUAUUCAUGAUAAAGGUUUAUUAUUCAUGCUAGAAUUUUAUUGAUCGGAAACUUAAAUACAUGUGUGAAUACAUAAACAAAUACCGUGUCCCUAGUAAGCCUCUACUAGACUAGCCCGUUGAUCAAAGAUGGUUAAGGUUUCCUAACCAUGGACAUGUGUUGUCAUUUGAUAACGGGAUCACAUCAUUAGGGGAAUGAUGUGAUGGACAAGACCCACCCGUUAGCUUAGCAUAAUGAUCGUUCAGUUUAUUGCUAUUACUUUCUUCAUGUCAAAUACUUAUUCCUUCGACUAUCAGAUUAUGCAACUCCCGGAUACCGGAGGAAUACCUUGUGUGUUAUCAAACGUCACAACGUAAAUGGGUGAUCAUAAAGAUGCUCUAUAGGUAUCUCUGAAGGUGUUUGUUGAGUUGGGAUAGAUCGAGAUUAGGAUUUGUCACUCCGAGUAUCGGAGAGGUAUCUCUGGGCCCUCUCGGUAAUACACAUCAUAAGCUUGCAAGCAUAUGACUAAGGAGUUAGCGCGAGGUGAUGUAUUACGGAACGAGUAAAGAGACUUGCCGGUAACGAGAUUGAACUAGGUAUGAAGAUACCGACGAUCGCAUCUCGGGCAAGUAACAUACCGAUAAACAAAGGGAGUUACGUAUGUUAUCAUAACGGUUCGACCGAUAAAGAUCUUCGUAGAAUAUGUAGGAGCCAAUAUGGGCAUCCAGGUUCCGCUAUUGGUUAUUGACCGGAGAGGUGUCUCGGUCAUGUCUACAUAUUUCUUGAACCCGUAGGGUCCACACGCUUAACGUUCGUUGACGAUAUAGUAUUAUAUGAGUUAUGUGAUUUGGUCGCCGAAUGUUGUUCAGAGUCCCGGAUGAGAUCACAGACAUGACGAGGAGUCUCGAAAUGGUCGAGAGGUAAAGAUCGAUAUAUAGGACGAUGGUAUUCGGACACCGGAAGUGUUCCGGAGGGUACCGGGUACUUAUCGUCACCGAAAAGGAGUUUCGGGCACCCCCGGCAAAGAUAUGGGCCUUAUGGGCCAAGAGAGGGAACACACCAGCCCACAAGGGGCUGGUGCACCCCUAUACAGGCCGGCCCUAUGAGGAGGAGAAGGAAAGAGGGGAGGGCAAGGAAAGUGUGGAGUAGGACUCCCCCUUCCUUCCCUCCCCCCCCCCUCUUUCCUUCCCCCUUGUUUAUACAAGGAAAGGGGGCGCAGGGCAAGGCAGGAGCCCUAGGGCGUGCCUGGCUGCCUCCCCUCCCCUCCCACCUAUAUAUAUGUGGGGAGGGGGCGCCACACAAGGACACACAAUAUUGUCUUAGCCGUGUGCGGCGCCACACAAGGACACACAAUAUUGUCUUAGCCAUGUGCGGCGCCCCCGUCCACCGUUUACUCCCUCGGUCAUAUUUCCGUAGUGCUUAGACGAAGCCCUGCGGAGAUCACAUCACCAUCACCGUCACCAUGCCGUCAUGCUGACGGAACUCAUCUACUACCUCAACGUCUUGCUAGAUCAAGAAGGUGAGGGACGUCACCGAGCUGAACGUGUGCAGAACGCGGAGGUGCCGUGCGUUCGGUACUUGAUCGGUUGAAGCGCGAAGAAGUUCGACUACAUCAACUGUGUUGUGAAACGCUUCUGCUUACGGUCUACGAGGGUACAUAGACACACUCUCCCCCUCGUUUCUAUGCAUCUCCAUGGAUAGAUCAUUGCAUGUGCGUAGAAAUUUUUUUGUUUUCCAUGCAACGAUUCCCAACAGAAUUAGGGUUGGAAGUGCCACGAGGGGCCCACAAGCUUGCCCCCCCCCCCCGGGCGCGCCCCCUGAGCUUGUCGCCGCCUCGUGGCCCUUCUGGCCUCCUCCCGAAGCUUCCAGGGUGUCUUGUGGUCCAAGAAAAAUCAUCAAAAAGUUUCGUUCCAUUUGGACUCCGUUUGAUAUUGAUUUUCUAUGAAGACAAAAAACAAGGGGGGAAAUAGCAACUAGCACUAGGCACUAGGUUAACAAGUUAGUCCCAAAAAAUGAUAUAAAAUAGCAUAAUAAUGCAUAUAAAACAUUUAAGAUUGAUAAUAUAAUAGCAUGAAACAAUAAAAAUUUAUAGAUACAUUAGAGACGUAUCAUCUAACACCCAACCUGAGAAAGCAAGCUCCCCGCGUGAAUCUGCGGUGUAUUCCAGAUUGCCAAACCGGAUGGCUUGUCCUGGAGAGACAUUCUCUACUUGGCUGAGAUGGCCAGUCGAGUCGGCGUGCAACACGAUGCUGCCGAAGGCAAAAAGCGGGCCGGGGGAAAAGAUAUCCCUGCAGCCAACGCUGUCGUUGAUCCAAAGAUUCGCCAUCGAGCUCUUACGACCACACAGCGGGACCUGUAUGGGCCACCAAGGUGCUAAAACCGGCAGAUCUCUAGUAGGGGUUUUGAAGCUUGGUGAUCUGAGAUAGAUGAUAACAGGAGAAAGUAGGGACAUGAUGCUUACCCAGGUUCGGGCCCUCUUGAGAAGGCAAAACCCUACGUCAUGCUUCUGAUAUAUCGAUUGUGAUGGGGUACAGAGUACAGUAUGAUCUACCUCAAGAUCGUAUGAAGGAGUUCUAAGCUCCAAACCUUGCAAUCGUGCCUCAACAGACUAAACCUCACGGAUUAUAUAGACACUGAGGGUAUCUACGGUUUAGACAUCGUCAGUUACAAUAUAGGGAUAAGCAUGUCGAUCAUUCAAAUAUGCCUUGAAGUGUAUGCCUGAUACGUCUCCAACGUAUCUAUAAUUUUUUAUUGUUCCAUGCUAUUAUAUUAUCUGUUUUGGAUGUUUAAUGGGAUUUAUUAUGCACUUCUAUAUUAUUUUUGGGACUAACCUACUAACCGGUGGCCCAGUGCAAAUUGCUGGGGGGGGUUUUGCCUAUUUUAGUGUUUCGCAGAAAAGGAAUAUCAAACGGAGUCCAAACGGAAUGAAACCUUCGCGAGGAUCGUUUUUGGAACAAACGCAACCCAGGAGACUUGGAGUGGACGUCAAGGAAGCAACGAGGCGGCCACGAGGUAGGGAGGCGCGCCCAGGGGGUAGGCGCCCCUCCCCCACCCUCGUGGCUCCACCGACCUACUUCCUUCGCCUAUAUAUACUCUUAUACCCUGAAAACAUCCAGCAGCACCACGAAACCCUAUUUCCACCGCCGCAACCUUCUGUACCCGUGAUAUCCCAUCUUGGGGCCUUUUCCGGCGCUCCGCCGGAGGGGGAAUCGAUCACGGAGGGCUUCUACAUCAACACCAUAGCCUCUCCGAUGAUGUGUGAGUAGUUACCACAGACCUUCGGGUCCAUAGUUAUUAGCUAGAUGGCUUCUUCUCUCUCUUUGGAUCUCAAUACAAAGUUCUCCUCGAUUCUCUUGGAGAUCUAUUCGAUGUAAUACUUUUUGCGGUGUGUUUGUCGAGAUCCGAUGAAUUGUGGGUUUAUGAUCAAGAUUAUCUAUGAACAAUAUUUGAUUCUUCUCUGAAUUCUUAUAUGUAUGAUUUGAUAUCUUUGCAAGUCUCUUCGAAUUAUCAGUUUGGUUUGGCCUACUAGAUUGAUCUUUUCUUGCAAUGGGAGAAGUACUUAGCUUUGGGUUCAAUCUUGCGGUGUCCUUUCCUAGUAAUAGCAGGGGCAGCAAGGCACGUAUUGAAUUGUUGCCAUCGAGGAUAAAAAAGAUGGGGUUUAUAUCAUAUUGCUUGAGUUUAUCCCUCUACAUCAUGUCAUCUUGCCUAAUGCGUUACUCUGUUCUUAUGAACUUAAUACUCUAGAUGCAUGCUGGAUAGCGGUCGAUGUAGUAGAUGCAGAAUUGUUUCGGUCUACUUGUCGCGGACGUGAUGCCUAUAUACAUGAUCAUGCCUAGAUAUUCUCAUAACUAUGCACUUUUCUAUCAAUUGCUCGACAGUAAUUCGUUCACCCACCGUAGAAUUUGCUAUCUUGAGAGAAGCCACUAGUGAAACCUAUGGCCCCGGGGUCUAUCUUCCAUCAUAUAAGUUUCCGAUCUGUUUUAUUUUGCGAUCUUUACUUUUCAACCUAUACCAUAAAAAUACCAAAAAUAUUUAUCUUAUUAUCUCUAUCAGAUCUCACUUUUGCAAGUGGCGGUGAAGGGAUUGACAACCCCUUUAUCGCGUUGGUUGCAAGGUUCUUAUUUGUUUGUGCAGGUACGAGGGAUUUUCAUGUAAUCUCCUACUGGAUUGAUACCUUGGUUCUCAAAAACUGGGGGAAAUACUUACGCUACUUUGCUGCAUCACCCUUUCCUCUUCAAGGGAAAACCAACGCAUGCUCAAGAGGUAGCAAGAAGGAUUUCUGGCGCCGUUGCCGGGGAGAUUUGCACCAAGUCAAGUCAAUAUUUGAUCUCCCGUCAACUAGCCAUUUCUGGUGUCGUUGCCGGGGAGAUCUACGCACAAGUCAAGACAUACCAGGUACCCAUCACAAACUCUUAUCCCUCGCAUUACAUUAUUUUCCAUUUGCCUCUCGUUUUCCUCUUCCCCACUUCACCUUUGCCUUUUCUUCGCCCUCCUUCCGUCCGAUCUUGUGUUACCAUGUGCCUUCUUUUUGCUUGCAUCUUUGCUUGCUAAAAGUUUAUGGAUCCUCAUCCCCUUGCUAAUCUUUUUAAGAGAUCCAAUUAUGAUGAACCAAUUUCUAGUGAUUUGAGUGCACUAGAUUAUCUUUAUGAGGUUUUGCUUGAAAUUCGUGAAUCUAAAAAUUCUGAUGAAGAAAUUUAUGAAGAGAUUCACGAUAGCUCCUUGAAUAAAAAGCAUGAUUGCAAUGAUUUUACUAUAAAUUCUCUUGAUGUCAAUUGUGCUAAUAAUAUGCAAAACCCUGAGCUUGGGGAUGCUAGUUUUGCUAUGUCUACUACUUGUUGCAACGAUCAUGAUUGGGGUGAUUCUUCUUAUGAUCUUGAAAAUUUAUUUAAGCCCCAUGAUGAAUAUGAGAUUGAUAAUAAUGUUUGCAAUAAUACUGAAAGUGGGUUUGGAAGAGUGUCAACUUUAGAUCCCACAUAUUUGGAGAAUGCUCAAUCUUGAAGUUUUUGAUAAAAAUGGGUUUGGAGAGGUCAUGACUUUAGUUAAUGUUAAUCCCACUAUUUUGGAAGAGUGUGAACUUUGCAUACAUGUGGAUCGUGUUAAGAAUAUGUUUUCUGAUAACUAUAUUGUUGAGUUUUCUUAUGAUCCUACAUGUAAUUAUUAUGAGAGAGGAAAAUAUGGUUGUAGAAAUUUUCAUGUUACUAAAUUACCUCUCGUUAUGUUGAGAUUGCUAUUGUUUCUUUCCGCUUCCUUGCAUAUGCUAGUUUUUGCUUGCCUUGAUAAUUUGUUUGCCUAUAAGAUGCCUAUGCAUAGGAAGUAUGUUAGACUUAGAUGUGUUUGUCACAUGUUUCAUGAUUCUCUCUUCGUGUUUCAAUUAUUAUCUUUCGUGUGAGCAUCGUUGAAAUCUUAUGCCUAGCUAGGGGCGUUAAACGAUAGCGCUUGUUGGGAGGCAACCCAAUUUUAUUUUUGUUCCUUGCUUUUUGUUCCUGUUUAGUAAUAAAUAUUUCAUCUAGCUUCUGGUUAUAUGUGGUUUUAUGUUUUAAUUAGUGUUUGUGCCAAGUAAAACCUAUAGGAUCUUCUUGGGUGAUAAUUAUUUGAUCUUGCUGAAAAAGUCAGAAACUUUCUGCCCACAAAAACAAUUGUUAAAAAUCACCAGAAAGUGAUAAAAUACUGAUUCCAAUUGCAGUAUAUCAAUAAUAAAAUUAUCUAGGUCUUCCUAUUUUGGUAUAUUUUUCUGAGUUACAGAAGUUUGCGUUUGAUACAUAUUACUACAGACUGUUCUGUUUUUGACAGAUUCUGUUUUUCGUGUGUUGUUUGCUUAUUUUGAUGAAUCUAUGGCUAGUAUCGGGGGGGUAUGAACCAUAGAGAAGUUGGAAUACAGUAGGUUUAACACCAAUAUAAAUAAAUAAUGAGUUCAUUACAGUACCUUAAAGUGGUGGUUUGUUUUAUUUCGCUAACGGAGCUCAUGAGAUUUUCUGUUGAGUUUUGUGUUGUGAAGUUUUCAAGUUUUUGGGUAAAGAUUUGAUGGAUUAUGGAACAAGGAGUGGCAAGAGCCUAAGCUUGGGGAUUCCCAAGGCACCCCAAGGUAAAAUUCAAGGACAACCAAAAGCCUAAGCUUGGGGAUGCCCCGGAAGGCAUCCCCUCUUGCGUCUUCGUCUAUCGGUAACUUUACUUGAUGCUAUAUUUUUAUUCACCACAUGAUAUGUGUUUUGCUUGGAGCAUCUUGUAUGAUUUGAGUCUUUGCUUUUUAGUUUACCACAAUCAUCCUUGCUGUACACACCUUUUGGAGAGACACACAUGAAUCGGAAUUUAUUAGAAUACUCUAUGUGCUUCACUUAUAUCUUUUGAGCUAGAUAAUUUUGCUCUAGUGCUUCGCUUAUAUCUUUUUAGAGCACGGUGGUGGUUUAUUUUAUAGAAAUUAUUGAUAUCUCAUGCUUCACUUAUAUUAUUUUGAGAGUCUUUUAGAACAGCAUGGUAAUUUUUUGGUUAAAAUUUUAGUCCUAAAGUGAUGAGCAUCCAAGAUAGGUAUAAUAAAAACUAUCAUAUAAAGUGCAUUGUAUACGAUGAGAAGUUUGAUUCUUUAUGAUUGUUUUGAGAUAUGAAGAUGGUGAUAUUAGAGUCAUGGCAGUUGAGUAGUUGUGAAUUUGAGAAAUACUUGUGUUAAAGUUUAUGAUUCCCGUAGCAUGCACGUAUGGUGAACCGUUAUGUGAUGAAGUCGGAGCAUGAUUAUUUAUUGAUUGUCUUCCUUAUGAGUGGCGGUCGGGGAUGAGCGAUGGUCUUUUCCUACCAAUUUAUCCCCCUAGGAGCAUGCGUGUAGUACUUCGUUUCAAUAACUAAUAGAUUUUUGCAAUAAGUAUGUGAGUUCUUUAUGACUAAUGUUGAGUCCAUGGAUUAUACGCACUCUCACCCUCCCACCAUUGCUAGCCUCCUAAUAUCGUGCAACUUUCGCCGGUAUCAUACACCCACCAUAUACCUUCCUCAAAACAGCCACCAUACCUACCUAUUAUGGCAUUUCCAUAGCCAUUCCGAGAUAUAUUGCCAUGCAACUUUCCACCGUUCCGUUUAUUAUGACACGCUCCAUCAUUGUCAUAUUGCUUUGCAUGAUCAUGUAGUUGACAUCGUAUUUGUGGCAAAGCCACCGUUCAUGAUUUUCGUACAUGUCACUCUUGAUUCAUUGCAUAUCCCGGUACACCGCCGGAGGCAUUCACAUAGAGUCAUAUUUUGUUCUAAGUAUUGAGUUGUAAUUUUUGAGUUGUAAGUAAAUAAAAGUGUGAUGAUCAUCAUUAUUAGAGCAUUGUCCCAAGUGAGGAAAGGAUGAUGGAGACUAUGAUUCCCCACAAGUCGGGAUGAGACUCUGGACUAAAAUUAAAAAAAAAGGAAAGAAAAGAGGCCAUAAAAAAAGAGAGAAAGGCCCAAACAAAAAAAGGAGAAAAAGAGAGAAGGGACAAUGUUACUAUCCUUUUACCACACUUGUGCUUCAAAGUAGCACCAUGAUCUUCAUGAUAGAGAGUCUCCUAUGUUGUCACUUUCAUAUACUAGUGGGAAUUUUACAUUAUAGAACUUGGCUUGUAUAUACCAAUGAUGGGCUUCUUCAAAAUGCCCUAGGUCUUCGUGAGCAAGCGAGUUGGAUGCACACCCACUUAGUUUCUUUUGUUGAGCUUUCAUACACUUAUAGAUCUAGUGCAUCCGUUGUAUGGCAAUCUCUACUCACUCACAUUGAUAUCUAUUGAUGGGCAUCUCCAUAGCCCAUUGAUAUGCCUAGUUGAUGUGAGACUAUCUUCUCCUUUUUUUUGUCUUCUCCACAACCACCAUUCUAUUCCACAUAUGGUGCUAUGUCCAUGGCUCACGCUCAUGUAUUGCGUGAAGAUUGAAAAAGUUUGAGAACAUCAAAAGUAUGAAACAAUUGCUUGGCUUGUCAUCGGGGUUGUGCAUGAUUUAAAUAUUUUGUGUGAUGAAGAUAGAGCAUAGCCAGACUAUAUGAUUUUGUAGGAAUAACUUUCUUUGGCCAUGUUAUUUUGAGAAGACAUGGUUGCUUUAUUAGUAUGCUUGAAGUAUUAUUAUUUUUAUGUCAAUAUUAAACUUUUGUCUUGAAUCUUUCGGAUCUGAAAUUCAUGCCACAGUAAAGAAAAUUACAUUGAGAUUAUGCUAGGUAGCAUUCCACAUCAAAAAUUCUGUUUUUAUCAUUUACCUACUCGAGGACGAGCAGGAAUUAAGCUCGGGAUGCCUGAUACGUCUCCAACGUAUCUAUAAUUUUUGAUUGUUCCAUGCUAUUAUAUUAUCUGUUUUGGAUGUUUAAUGGGCUUUAUUAUGCACUUUUAUAUUAUUUUUGGGACUAACCUACUAACCGGAGGCCCAGUGCAAAUUGCUGUUUUUUUGCCUAUUUCAGUGUUUCGCAGAAAAGGAAUAUCAAACGGAGUCCAAACGGAAUGAAACCUUCGCGAGGAUCGUUUUUGGAACAAACGCAAUCCAGGAGACUUGGCGUGGACGUCAAGGAAGCAACGAGACGGCCACGAGGUAGGGAGGCGCGCCCAGGGGGGUAAGCGCGCCCCCCACCCUUGUGGGCCCCUCGUGGCUCCACCGACCUACUUCCUUCGCCUAUAUAUACUCUUAUACCCUAAAAACAUCCAGGAGCACCACGAACCCUAUUUCCACCGCCGCAACCUUCUAUACCCGUGAUAUCCCAUCUUGGGGCCUUUUCCGGCGCUCCGCCGGAGGGGGAAUCGAUCACGGAGGGCUUCUACAUCAACACCAUAGCCUCUCCGAUGAUGUGUGAGUAGUUUACCACAGACCUUCGGGUCCAUAGUUAUUAGCUAGAUGGCUUCUUCUCUCUCUUUGGAUCUCAAUACAAAGUUCUCCUCGAUUCUCUUGGAGAUCUAUUCGAUGUAAUACUUUUUGCGGUGUGUUUGUCGAGAUCUGAUGAAUUGCGGGUUUAUGAUCAAGAUUAUCUAUGAACAAUAUUUGAUUCUUCUCUGAAUUCUUAUAUGUAUGAUUUGAUAUCUUUGCAAGUCUCUUCGAAUUAUCAGUUUGGUUUGGCCUACUAGAUUGAUCUUUCUUGCAAUGGGAGAAGUGCUUAGCUUUGGGUUCAAUCUUGUGGUGUCCUUUCCCAGUGACAGCGGGGGCAGCAAGACACGUAUUAAAUUGUUGCCAUCGAGGAUAAAAAGAUGGGGUUUAUAUCAUAUUGCUUGAGUUUAUCCCUCUACAUCAUGUCAUCCUGCCUAAUGCGUUACUCUGUUCUUAUGAACUUAAUACUCUAGAUGCAUGCUGGAUAGCGGUCGAUGUGUGGAGUAAUAGUAGUAGAUGCAGAAUCGUUUCGGUCUACUUGUCGCGAACGUGAUGCCUAUAUACAUGAUCAUGCCUUGAUAUUCUCAUAACUAUGCACUUUUCUAUCAAUUGCUCGACAGUAAUUCGUUCACCCACCGUAGAAUUUGCUAUCUUGAGAGAAGCCACUAGUGAAACCUAUGGCCCCCGGGUCUAUCUUCCAUCAUAUAAGUUUUCGAUCUGUUUUAUUUUGCAAUCUUUACUUUUCAAUCUAUACCAUAAAAAUACCAAAAAUAUUUAUCUUAUUAUCUCUAUCAGAUCUCACUUUUGCAAGUGGCUGUGAAGGGAUUGACAACCCCUUUAUCGCGUUGGUUGCAAGGUUCUUAUUUGUUUGUGCAAGUACGAGGGAUUUGCGUGUAAUCUCCUACUGAAUUGAUACCUUGGUUCUCAAAAACUAGGGGAAAUACUUACGCUAUUUUGCUGCAUCACCCUUUCCUCUUCAAGAGAAAACCAGCGCAUGCUCAAGAGGUAGCAAUGCCAAGCCUUCGGAGAUCUUCAUCUUGAUUACACAGAGGGCCAGGGCCUGCAUGGCCCAUUCAUCAGUCUUUGUUGGGUCCUCGACCCGGCCCAUAACCGGCGGGCCGUCGUGGUAAGCAUCCCCUAGUCCAGGACUCCAACAGGGUGGUUCUAAAGUUUAGUCUCAUACCGCUAGUGGAGGAGGUAUGAGACAUGUUUACAUAGUGGGUUCUCCCCACCACACUAUGCGGUGAGUAUGACGAGAGAAAGAGAACACCACAAGCGUGCGCGUUCGCCUCACCUGGCCUGGUCUGGACAGGGAGGGGUGUGGUUGUGCGACAUGCGUGUGAAUGGUUCACAAGUUGACUUGUCUGGUAAGUUACGACUUGAAAACCAAGUCGGUUUGAGAUCGUGAUCACGACACGCUACCACCUUGGUCCUCCUAUAAAUAUGACUUACCAGCUACGACUAAAGAUACACCGAAACAAGCUAGGGUUUUGCCUUAUCUCACAACUUGCGACAUCAUCGUAGUCUACUCCAUUCCAAACGUGUGUGUGUGCACCAGCGAGCGGGAGAGCAGGUCACUAGAACCCUUCGUUCUUGUGAUCCUGCAUAGGGAGAGGACGAAUUAGAUUUUUGGUAAGCAUUUCGUGCGACUGCUCAACUUCGUCACCACGGGUGUCUUCCAUCCAAGUCGGGUCGCAUCGCGUACCGACAUCUCCAACGUCAUUUGCUUCGACCUGUCUUCAUGAAUGCAUCAUCAACAACAUCACUCCUGCAGCAGCUACGGCUACCGAUAAAUAGUACGUGCGUCGUGAUCUAUUCAUGUCUCUAAUUAUGGUUGCCAUUAUUUGUGCAAUGUUGUGGUACAUGUUUCCAUGUUCAUCUAGUAUGCUAGAUUGUUGCAUGCUAAUAAUAAUUUUAAUCAUGAUUUAUAUUCUCUAAAGUUUAGUCUCAUACCACUAGUGGAGGAGGUGUGGUGUACAUGAUCUUAACCUUGCUCUGCCUUAAAUGAGUCAAAUUUCCUUCAUCAGUUGCGUUUGUAGCACGGUCGAUUGAAAGGUGAGGACAACUUAUGGCUAAAAGGAAAAGCUGAUACGUUAGCACGCAUCAAAGCGAGACUAUGACAGCAAAGCUCUUGAUCUGUAUGCCCUUCUUAUUCAAGGUACUUAAAGGUUAAAAAAACUAAAGAUAUUUUUAUGCACGGUUCUCUCUCUCUUCUUCUUCUUUUUUUCUUUGCUUUUUGUCUUCAGUACAUUGGCGUGUACACUCAUGAGUCAUGAAUACGGAAUUAAUAGUAUAUACAGCGAUUUGGCUCCCGAGAACAGUAUCGUGAUUCAAAAUAGAAAAUAAGUUCAAAAAAUCCAUUUUUUUUGUGGUGCAAGAUGCUUCUGUGCGUGAACUCUGUGCAAAAUUUUGUAAAGUUUGGACAUUCGAGGAGCUCGUGGCAAAAAAGAUAAAUUUCGGAUGUCUGAGAAACUUUUGAAAAUCGCAGUGUUCAUGCCUGAUUUUGUCUUUUUUUUCACGAGCUCCUUGAAUGUCCAACCUUCAUAAAAUUUUGUAUGGAGUUCACGCAUAGGAGCAUCUUGCACCAAAAAAAUUGGAAAUUUUUGAACUUUUUUUCUAUUUUAAACUGUGGUAUGUUCACCGGGCUCAUCUGAACCGCGGGCACCGAAAGGGAUUUUCCUAGUACUACUGUGAGCAUGGUUCCAUACAAUCCCGCUUUUAAAACUUAGCAAGAAAAUCACAUCGGUCAAGCUUUUCUAAAAAAAUAGACAAACAGUUUAUGCAUGUAGAAAAUGGACACAAAGCAUGACCAUAUAUUUUUAUUGUGUUCAAUGCGAUCAUUUGUGAGUUGUGCAAAAUAAAAAUAAAAAUACUUUGCUAAUUUCCAUCCAUUGCGUUAGUUGCUUUAGCAUCUCCAAGAAAGGUCCUCGAAGGGUCAUUUGAGGGCACCCCCUACUUUCUCAGCCCUAAAAACUCUAACAAUACCCUUCAUUUCUCAGCUUUGUAGAAAAAAUCUUCUUGUUGCACAUUUGCUCUAUGUGACACCAAAUUUGACACCACAAUAAUUUGAAAUAUAAUAUGUCUACGCAUAAAACUCAACAAUGUUCAAAUUCAUAAUUUUAAGCGCCACAAUUCAAAAUAUUGAACACAAAAAAAUCAAAUAAUACUAGGAAAUGUUCAUUGAACUACAUGGUUCAUCCAACGUAGUCGGUGUUUUAAACAAAAAUAUAGUAAAUAAACUACUUGGACCCAUAUCAUUCUCGCGAGUGCUGAAAAAAGAUCAUCUUUGAGUUGAUCGCUUGUGUCGGCCAUGGUCUGAGCCAAGGCUCAUGUUUGAUAUAUAUUACCUACCGUUGUUUAUCAUUUUCAUGGUUAAUUAAAAUUGGAGAGGGGCUCCUUCGUCGGAAAAAAAAGGUCAUUUCAAAGUUGAUCGUGCGCUUAUAGGGCUUUCCAUCCUUCUCUAGACAUCAAGGAAUUCACUAGCAGUAAUGUGAUGCAGAUCCUCCAAAGCCACAUAGACUCCCAUAUCAUUUCACUCGAAGUCUUCAUGUUGACCCACACUCGCUCUCAAUGAUAACACAAACAACAGUGCGGGCAGGGAGGCGAUGUCGUAGCGACUUGCACCUUGUAAGGUUGGGGCAUGGUGCGGGAAAACAUGGAGAGGCGGAACGGCGAGAGGGUGGCAGCCUCGAUGGUGCUGGUGGAGGGAGACGAUCGGCACCGCCCGGAUUGAUAGGCGGGGUGGCGAAAUCGGGCAGAGGAGAGGGGUGGGAUCCUGGAGGGAGGAGUUUAGGAGGAUGGAGCAGGGCGGCCUUGAACUGAGGGCUUGGAGGGUUAUUAUUUUUGGAUCCUCUGUUAUGAAUGUUGUAGGGGUUGAUUUGCAAAAAAAAAUGUAGUAGGGGUUAUUGGAGUUGAUUUUUUGUCCUUAGCCCUCAAAAAGUGAUUUGAGGGGUGGAGUAGGGGCCUCUUGGAGAUAUGCUCUUAUCUUCUGCUUAACAUGGCAAAACUGAGAUAGAGCCAUUGACCGCCUAUGAAUCAAGGGUAUGAUUAGUAAUAUGGUAGGAAAUUCUAAGCUAAACAUUGUUCACGUGAUCCUGAUAUUGAAACUUAGCAAGAAAAAAAUCACAUGUUUUAACUUUCAAAAAUGUGCAUGGCAAGGGAUAUAUUCUCUUACCUUUUUGUAGGACAGCCGAUGCUCCAUGUGUAUUGUCUUCUUUUAUGCUGCACCGGCUAAUUGAUAGAGUGCUCUACACUGUGUACAUAUAGAUAUAGUGAUGCGGCGCAAAUGUAACAUGGGGUGAUAUAUGCACGAGCUACAAUUAAUUGAUCACUUAUGAAUGAAGACAUCUUAAUUAUCCUGGAAUUAAAAGGAAUGGCCAUAAGUGAUAAGCAUAUUCAAAUUUAAAUGCUAAUAUGAAUGUCUCGGUUAUGCAAAUGUGCUCCUUAUAUUGACCUUUUUAAGCUACAGGAGACAGUGGCAGAGCUACUCUGCACGGUGAUUACCUUGUUUGAUAUUUAUGAGUUGUUUCCCUUUUUUGGUUCUUUUCAUAUUUUAACAAACUAAUUUGUGUGCAUGGUAUGGUGUAGAGGGCGGGACAGUGUGUCUAGUUUCCAGUACCUAAAAGAUGACAUGCAUGUAGAAACCAUAAUGUGGCAGCGUAGAUGGUAGUAGGGGUACUGUUUAGAUAAACCAUCAUUCAUCACUGAACAAAAACGUGAUAUUCCUACACAAGAUCGCACACACAUAUAUAGCCAGAGUCCACAUGAUACAGCUGAUUCGGUGUUGCUUUGUACAUUCUCUCUUCCUUCCUCUUCCUUUUUGUAUGUAGAAGCUACCGGUGUACCCACAUUCUUGAUCCAACUCAGCUCACUACAACCAGUGUUGCUGCAUUUCGUCCAUGGAAAUUAAUAUGCCUCAAUAGCUAUGGAUGUCGUUAUUUGAACGCUAUAGUUGUGUUAUAUUAAGUUAUUAUAUGUACUAAGAGCAUCUGCAUCCCUAGGUGUUAAGCAGAGGCUAAAGGUGAGAGAAAUUGUUUAGCACUAGUGCUAAAGGAUGCAUGUGAGGGUAGAUGCUAAGAUCAAAAGCUUAGCACUAACGCUAAGCUUAGCAUCCAAUGCUAAGCUUAGCAAAGUAUGUUAAACUAAUAGCUUGUGUGCCAAUCUUUAAUUUGGAUGAUAAAUUUAAUAUAUUUAGUACCUUCAAGUGGUGCUAGAGGAUAUGGUAAAAAAAACACUUAUCAAGGUGAAUGAGAGAGAAAGUUGACACACUUAUCGAGGCUGGAAACUAUAAUUAUUUAUGGGGAUGCGGAUGAUCUAAGAAAUCGACCAAUGGCUCCACAAUGCACAUAUAUAUUUUAAAAAAUAAAAUGUGUGUAAGUGGCAUCUAAAAUAACGGGGGCAUGCUCAGCUUUUAACUCUCGGAUCAAGAGAAAGAUGGUGUGUAUACCGAGGCUAUAGGUGUUUAUAGGGUGUGGAUGCUCAAACAAUGUAGCAAUGGCUUCACAUUGUACAUGUAUAAACAUGUGCUCAGCUUUCUAACUGUUGGACCGAGAUUAUGUAAUAUAAUUAUAUAAACCAUUUAUUAAGGACUUGGUUUUUUGAAACCUCAAUAAAGACAUGACAUAUAGUGGACACUGUCUUAGUAGUUUUAUUUCAGCAAUGGAGUAAUCUAGUCACUCGCAAAAAAAUUGAUCCAUUCACUUGCCAGGAUGAGAGAGAGAGAGAGAGAGAGAGAGUGUUACACGUCUAGAGAGAGAAAUGAGGGGCGGUCGGCCGUGUAAGGAAAAGGAUGAAGCUUGCGAGGGAAUCUGCAAAAGAGGAGGUAGCUAGCUAAAGGUGGCCCCCAUCCGAUCGAUGAAAAUCUCGAGGGGAGGACGACUACUGUGCCUCCUACCCCAGCCGACGACGAUCGACCCAGAGGAAGAGAAAACCUACUUAUAAGGGCAGCUGGCCGCCCGGUAAAGGCAGCAGCAGCAGCCUCCUCCAACCAGCAGGAGCAGAGAAGAAGAAGCAAAGUGCGCGUCUUGCUCCUCCGCCGAAGCAGCUACCUACCAACCUAGCUGCUGCUGCUGCCGCCGUCGAUCGCCGGGGUAUGGCGCCGGUGGGUCUGCCGCCGGGUUUCCGGUUCCACCCGACGGACGAGGAGCUGGUGAACUACUACCUGAAGCGCAAGAUCCACGGGCUCCACAUCGAGCUCGACAUCAUCCCGGAGGUGGACCUCUACAAGUGCGAGCCCUGGGACCUCGCAGGUACAGUACGCACCACCGAUCUCAGUUCGCAUGUGAUCUCGAUCGCGUAUGUGUUGUGAACUGAUGCGAAUUACAACGUACGUCCUCAUGGCGUGCAGAGAAGUCGUUUUUGCCGAGCCGUGACCCGGAGUGGUACUUCUUCGGGCCGAGGGACCGCAAGUACCCCAACGGCUUCCGGACCAACCGGGCGACGCGGGCAGGGUACUGGAAGUCCACCGGCAAGGACCGGCGCGUCAUGACGCAGCAGCACCACGGCGGCGGAGGAGCCGGCGGGGGCGCGCGGGCAAUCGGGAUGAAGAAGACGCUGGUGUACUACCGCGGACGCGCGCCGCAGGGGGUGCGCACCGACUGGGUGAUGCACGAGUACCGCCUCGACGACAAGGACUCCGAGGACACCAUCGCCAUCCAGGUAUGUAUAAUCACCUUCAUUCUCUGAGUGACCUAUCCCGUCAUGCAAGGUGAUCAUGCAUGCAUGUCUAAUCUUCUCCUUCCAUGGAUGCAAUGGAAAGCUAUUUAGCUAGGGCUUUGAGAAAAAAUUGAUCCUUUUCUUUUGUGCUGGCCGGGCAAAGAAAAUUUUCUGCUUGCGUCUAAAAUGAAAGGAAGACGUAAAAUUUUCUGAGAGGAUUACAACAUGGCUUUUCUCCCGUCUGUAAAACGGUGUGGUAGUAGUAUGGGUCACUUUGCUUUGCUCCAGCUACUACUCUGAUGAGAGAGACAAACAUGUAGGCCUCGCCUUGCUGUCCAAAAAAUUUAACUAACAAAAGUAAAAGCCGGGGCCUUAGCAUUAGUAGUAUUUGUUCGUUCUCCAGCUACGUUCUUUGUUCUAAGAUAAGAGUAGUACGUACUCUGCGUGUUAACCAUGCAUGCUACGCUACGUUCUCUCUUUUUUUGGGGUGAGAUUAGAGCAGUCUGCACUGAUCAUGAGACGCUAAAGGGCCUUAACCAAAGCUAGAGAGCAAAGCAAAGCAAGCCCUCAUGCAUCUUGGCGCGAGAUAGCAGCUCGUGUCGAGUCAUGGCCAUAUGCAUGUCGGCGUCCUCCCGCGCUUUCCGCUUUAUUCCGUGCUGAAUCCCAUCAUCAUCCUCACACCCUUCUGAUUUUUCCAUGGCCGGCUAGUCUUCUUAUUUCUUCUCCCGCUUUGCUUUGAUAAUCGAUCGGCCUCUUUUUCUGAUUAACAAUCAACAAGAAUGUAUACAACACUAUGAUGGCACUCUGAUGGAUCAAAUUGCCCAAAACCCAAGGCCUGUUGACUACUAAUUGGCAGAAGUAACUGCACAUGAGAUAAUCAUGCAUCAGUGUGUGCAUAAACUUUCAAGAAAGUCUCGAGAAACCACAAUAGCAGAUGGAUCUUGUUUUUGCUUUUUCCUGUCAUGAGUUAAUAUACCAUGCAUGGUGGAUGGAUCAGGACACCUACGCGCUGUGCCGGGUCUUCAAGAAGAACGCCAUCUGCGCCGAGGUGGAGGAGCUGCAGGAGGGGCAGUGCAGCAUGGCACUGCUCGAGGGCGCCUGCCAGCAGCUGCUCGCCAGCAGCCGCACUGCCGGACAGGAGUACUACCAGACCCCGUCGCCCGACGUGCCCGCAGGGUCCACCUCCUGCGGUGCUGACGCCGACGCAGACGACGACGCUGACAAGGACGACUCCUGGAUGCAGUUCAUCUCCGAGGACGCCUGGUGCUCCAGCACCGCCGCCGAGGAGAGCACCUCCUGCGCCGGCUGAUCAUGCAUGCGGCCGGAGAGCUUCUUCUGUCGGUGGAAAUAAUCCUCCUGAUAUAUAUACCUAUAUAUUUUUCCUUUUUCUUUUUGUGAUCGGUGCUGCUGGCAAUUUAUCAAUAAUCACCGAGUGUUGAAGGUGAAAGAUCAAGCAGUAAUAAGGUAUAUAUAAUCCUUUUGGGUUCCAUCUUCCAGCGUAUUGCUGGGAGUUUGGGUAACCGAUCGAUCGAUGCUGGCCUCAAGGUGAAGGCUGUAAUCCUUCCUGGAGUUGAGCUCAUAAGGAGGAUUUAUAUUUAUAUGAUGAUGAUAGGAACAAUCAGACUACAUUUGUGUUUUUCUUCUUCUGUUCAUGCUUUCCUUGGUGUUCAUAUGUAUUAUUAAGCUUCUCGAUUGGAGGCUUUUUUUUCUCCUCUUCCUGUGAAAAAAGAAAGAGUGAGGCUAUGCCAUUCCAUAGCAUAUAUAGUUGUUGUGUGCCUCCCUAUAUGUCAAUAGAAUUGAACAAAAAUGUAACUGCUUGUACCUGACUGCUCAAUUUGCAUCAAUCUGCUCCAAACCUGGCACCUGGUUCUUAUUGCCUCAGUAAAUCCAUUAUUCGUAUGUUUAUCAAUAAAUAAGAAAAUAAAAUUGCAACUAAAUUAUGAUUUUUGGCAACCACAUUUGUGCCGUAAUUGUUUACAUGUAUUACUUUAGUAAAUAGGCCAAGCAUAUAGAUAUGAAAAAACAUUCUUUAUACUUCAUGACUCAUAAAAUAGAAAUCUCACAGUAAACCAUUUUACUUUUUUUAAAUAUAUAUCUUCAAAUGCUGAAAAUCUACCUUUUUUAGUAUAUCACAUGCAAAGCACUAUAUCCUGUAAACAUGGAAAAUCCUAUGCAACAGGUUCCGUUACAUGCUUGGAUUGCAAGGCAUGCAUCAGUACUGACGAAGAAGCUUAAUUGAACACUUCUGUGCACCAAAGCGUUGAAGGAAUACUAUUCUAGAUCAGAGGCUACCACAUGCUGUUGCCAGUAGCCCUAGAAUGUCAAUUAGAAUCCAUCUCAAGUCAAUAAAUAUAAGCCCAGAGCAGCUUUGUACUCUCAGUAAACAUACAGGUCUAUGACUGUAUUUUUCACAAAACCGUGUACUGCAACAAAGUAUUACCCGAGUGGUGCUCCAAUAACAUCUCUUUUUACCACAUGGCCAGGAAAGCUUCUAUGCAGAUCUCAGGCGAAAACAGUAAUGAUUUAUCAUCUUUCUGGGCAUCGUUCCGGCCUCACUGGUACCAGAGAAGACAGAACUAAAGUUCUGCAGUCUACCUUAUCGUGUCUUCACCGUGAAUCUUCGCUGCAAGCGUGUUGCCUCUGAAUCUUUUUCAGAAUGGCCCAGCAGGUCAAUAGUACCCUUGAACCGUUUCGCCGUUUGGAUAGUCACACCAACUGCAAAGUAAUUUGCAAAUCUACAUUUAGAAACAGAAUUUGCUUUAGACCACAUGCAUCUGAAGGCGAUGCCCUUCUUUUCAUGUAGAGAAUUGGGUAAGGCCACUCGCUGGCCUCUUUACAUGAGAUGCCAUCUGCUUCGUUGGCAUUGUAGUGUUGGAGGAGUUUAGGAGAAAAUAACAGCCAGUUUUUUAACGGAUCAUUUAUCCCCUUCAAAAUAAGGUUGCAGUACACAUAAAUAUUUCUUGCGUUAAGACUGAUCAUUUGAUCUUACUAAUCGAACGGCUUCCAUUCAAGAAAGAGAGGAUCUAGAUCAUUGCCGUUAAUUUCUUUGAACACAAGGAGCUUUCUAAUCAACUUAUGCUUCUGGAGGCAUUUGUAUGCUCAACUAGAAAUGUGAUGAUCGAAUGCACUCAAUUACUCCUUUGUCAGAAUCUAAAGCUAAAAGUUUUGUCUGAUCUAGAUGGCUGAAUGGCUAGCAAUGCAAGCUCAUUGACACUAUAGGGCCUCAUGGCUACAUGAACCUUUCCUUUUCCUUUCUGAAACUUUCUGUUUUACAAUGCUGAUCCCAAGACAGAUGCAUGUGGCAUAGCUCCCUACCCUUGUCUUUAGUCCUCUUCUUCUCUACGACACUUCAAAGAGGCUAAGCUUGUGAGGCACAAAAACAAGUUCAGUGGGCAAAAGAACAUGAUCUAAUGCAAGGUCCAGGCAGGCGGCAUCGUGACAACUUUCUCAUGCUGGUACAGCGCCCCUCCACGACCUACCAGCAUUGGAGAUCAUAAAAGUGUGUUAUCCAGAUAAAAAACAGAACAAAAGUCGGCUCCGUUAAAAGAAAUGAAAAGAAGAUCCUUCGGUGCUGUAAGACGUCCAGAGCCUGCUUGUGUGAGAAUCCUGGAAAGAGAGACACGGCUACUUGUAGGGCAGGCUUUGAAUCAUUUCACGAAGGGGCUAAAGAGCGCAGCAGCUGGACACGGUAGGGAAAGACAAAGGGGAAAGACAAAGAGAAAGAUCGGCAACAAAGGAGGAGGCGAACCAGGAGAUCAUGGCGCCGGUUGGUCUCCCCCCAGGCUUUAGGUUUCAUCCAACUGAUGAGGAGCUUGUGAACUAUUACCUCAAGAGGAAGGUCCAUGGCCAGAGCAUCGAACUCGACAUCAUCCCAGAGGUAGACCUCUACAAGUGUGAGCCUUGGGAGCUAGCAGGUAACCUGAAAAAUUAAACUCUGUUGUGUUGUUCAUCCUGUUGUCUAACUACUGCUGAGUCCUGAUUGAACUUGGGAUAUGUUCUUUGUUUCGGAAGAGAAAUCGUUCCUGCCCAGUAGAGACCCUGAGUGGUACUUCUUUGGGCCAAGGGAUAGGAAGUAUCCAAAUGGAUGCCGGACGAACCGAGCAACUCGGGCAGGAUACUGGAAAUCGACCGGCAAAGAUCGAUCCAUCAACUACCAGAAGAGGUCAAUCGGUAUGAAGAAGACAUUAGUCUUCUACCAAGGCCGAGCUCCUCAGGGGAUCAGGAGCAACUGGGUCAUGCAUGAGUACCGCAUCGAGGAAAGCGAAUGCAACAACACCAUGGGGGUUCAGGUUACUCCUUCAUUCUCCUCUCCUCACUUUCAGUAUCAGUUAAAUCAUUGUGUUUCUGCUACAUUUAGUGAGCUCAGGAUGCAGUUCAUAGUACUAAAAUCCAGCCAAUCUUGUAGUAAUCAUACCUUGGAAAUAUGCAGGAUUUUAGAGAUAUUGUCUUGCUAAAAUAAUUUUGUUUUUAUUAUAAACAGCAAAAAUAAAAUUGACAAUAAAAGAGGGAAAAAUUAGCUAGGGCAUACGCAAUUCAGGAAAACUACGUUGUUUAUGCAUGGAGUGCAUGAAAAGCUAGGGUUCUUAUCUCUUUUUCCCCGGCCCAUAUCCAUCAGCAUAAAGUAUUCCUUGCUUCCAUAGACCAUAGAUACUUUACAAAGUACAGCAGAAGUUCUUCUAAUGGGGUCACACAUGGUGCACUUUUUUUGGUACACUUGAUAAGACAAAUGUAACAUCCAAUCCUUGGUUUCUGAAUUGAAACCAUACUGUGUGACUGCAUAAGGGGUGCCACCACCGCCUCAUGAUGCAGGGUACACAUAAUCUAGGUCUUUUGCAUGUUGAUGCUACCUUAAAGCUUAGACAUCCUUCGGUGUGGCCCAGUGCUGUGUCGGUGGCUUUGCACUUUAUUCUCCAUGUCCCACUCCUACUUUACUUGGUAGUAAAACUGAACAUAAACUUCUGAUCCCAUGUAAACUGUAGAUUAGAUGGGAGAGCAGAGCACAGCAAACUUGCUAGCUAAAAAUUGUGCAUACUGGGCCAUCCUUUUCACAUUUCUGUGACUGUUUAUACAGUAAUAGUGUAGUACUAUUCAGAGUUUGUGCAUCGCUUCAUGUGACAACUAAAUUUGGUUACAUUUGGUCCAAACGUAACACACCAAAUACCCCACAAAAAACUCUUCAUAAGUGUGGAUGGUUGAUCAUAUUCUAAUAGACUAUUGGGUAGCAGCAUACUACAGUCAGCACUGAACUUGCAUAUCAUUUCCUGCUGCACAUAAUGCUGAAUUCUCUGGAGAUUCAUUUCCAAAGAUUGGUAAUAAACAAGGUUUAUUUAGCUAGAAACCCAGAAUUCUAUCAUGAAAAGCCAAGAGUAGCUAAUGAUAAGCCCUACAAAAGAGAACAAGAAAAAAAGCAGGAUGCGAACCCCGAUCCAGCACAUGUAUGAACAUAGAACGUUAUUUGAACGUAUAGAUAUAGCACAUGUACCAGAGCAGCAAAGUCCCCAACACAAUGAAGCAGCAGCAUCUACACGGUUUAUAAGUUUGAAGAUGCAAGUGUAAAACAGAUAUUCUAUUAUUAGAACGCAAAUAACUAAUUGUGAGUCUUAUAGAAAAAAAUUAAGAAAAAUAGAAAACAGACCCCAAUCCACCGCACAUAAACAUAGAAGGGCAUUCAAAUGUAUAGAUAUAGCACAUUAGCACAUGUAACAAAGCAGGAAAAGUCCCCAAAAUAAUGAAGCAGCGUCAUCGACACAGUUUAAGUUUGCAGCUGUAAAUUGUUCAGUAAAGCAGAAAGGUUAGAAUGGCAUUAAUUUUACAUCCAUAUGAUUCAAAUUAUAAGGGCAUAACGUUAUUUGAGCAGCAAAAUGCCCUGGCAUAAUGAAGAAGCAUAACUGACACAGUUUAAGUAUACAGUUGUAUAUCAUUCAGUAAAGCAGAAAGGUUAGCAUGGCAUUAAUUUUACAUCCAUAUGAUUCAAAUUAUAAAGAUAUAACGUUAGUUCAGCUUUUAGAUAUAGCACAGCAAAAUUCCCCGGCAUAAGAAAGAAGCAUCAUUGACACAGUUUAAGUAUGCAGCUGUGUAUUGUUCAAUAAAGCAGAAAGGUUAGCAUGGAAUUAAUUUUCCAUCCAUGUGGAACAUAAGAGACAGUUUGUUCCAUGUGAAAGCAAAAAAAAGGGGAAUGAGGUUUUGUUGUUCAUCUUUCUUGUUCUUUUACAGGACUCCUAUGCGCUAUGUCGGGUUUUCAAGAAAAAUGUGCCGGCUGGUGAAUUUGAAAAACAAGGGGAAUGCAGCUCAUCACAGGCUAAAGCAAAUCAAGAACAGGUUACAGACUUCGAGGAUGCUGGAGAGUCCUCAACUGCAAACGAGAAUGACAAAGACAAUUCUUGGAUGCAGUUCAUAGUGGAAGACCUGUGGUGCAGCAACAAAACCAAGUAAUGAACUAGAGAAUGCAGCUUGCUCAACAUGAUCUAACCAGAAAAUCCAGCACUAGUUACACUGUGUAUCUUUGUAUAUGUUUGAUAAAAACACUUCUCACUUUGGACAGUAUGAACACUUAAGUUUGGACUCUGAUUCUUGAUGUAGGCUUAUACUUCUCUUCUUUUGGUAAUGUAAUAUACAAAUGGGCUACUUUGUACUUGAAGUCUUCUUUUACCUGUAUCUACCAUCCAAUGCAAUGAUUUGUAGUGAAAGCACUAAUACAAAAGGCAGAAACUUAGUUCAAUGUAUCUUAUUCUGUGAACAGUUUUCAUGUUCCUAAAUUUUUUUGUAAUAUCAGUUUAUAAUGAUUUUAAGGGUAUCAGUCUCAAAUGUAAAGAGACCAAAGCUACUAAUACCAUUAGCAAUCACCAUUACCGACUAAUAAAAUUCAACUCAGAAAUGUAAGGUGCCAAUAUGGUAGUUAAUCGUUCUUAUUAAUGUUCAAAGGUUCCUGAGUUGCAAAAUGUAUACAAGUGGUGCUAUUGUCAUGUUCGUCAAUAGCCUAAGCUCGAUACGUGUGAAAUAAAGAAUAGCGUAAGCUACAUACAGUUUUCAGACUGUUUUCCAGAUGUAGGUUCUAACUAAAGCUGUUUAGAUAUCAUUAUACUCGCUUGGCCAUUUCAAGGCUGAAAGCCUGAAAUCUCCGCACUCAGGUUAUCAUAAAAUCCUUGGAUACAUGGCUGCAUGGGUUGCUGAAAACCAAACACAGAACCCGUCAACCUUUAUUUAUGCGCCUUUAGCACCAUAAUGUGUCGUAUAUUUUCCUAUCAUCUGCCUCUGAACAUGUUCAGUUCAUAUGCAUUUUCAGCCAAAGAAACAAGAUGGUUAAAUGGUUAUUGCAAUUCAAGAAGGUGUCAGGUAGUCAAAAUCUACUUUUAGCCGAAGAAAUUAGCUGCCUCUUACCACAAUUAAAAAAGAUGUUUCACAUAGUCAACAUCUAUUUUCAAAAUCAGGCAAAGAAAUCAGUUGCUUCCCAUCCCAAUCCAAGGCUAGCUAGUAUAAUUGUUUAUAUACUGUAUCAUAGUACUGGUUUGAUCAUUUCAAGGCUGUGAAAGCCAGAAAUCUCAGCACCCAGACAAUAACAAAUUCCUGGGAUAUAUGGCAACAUGGGUAUCUGUAAACCAAACCCAGACCCCAUCAACCUAAUCCACACUGGUUCAUGUUUCUCCAUGAUGCAUUCAGUUCAUAUAUCUUAUGAUCUUAUCAGCCAAGGAAAUCAACUGUGUUCUUGCCAGUUACCAACAUCAAAAAAGUUGGGUCAGGUAGUCAAAAUAUAAUUUCAGCCAAAGAAACCAGCUGCUCCUUACCAUAAUUCAAAAGGUAGUCCGUUGGCCGAUGUCCAUUUUCAAGAACAAGCAAAGAAAUCAGCUGGUUCUUAUCACAUUCAGAAUGUUGUCAGACAGGCAACACCUAUUUUAAAUAACAAAGUAAGGAAAUUCCCAUCACAGUUCAAAUGUUAUGAGGAGUCCUGAUUGGUAGCGCGUCCAAAUUGCAACCAAUAAAGCUGGUAGUAUGAACUACCAAAUCGAAGCUGUGGCUGAUCAUGACAGCUUUUGCAAAGACAUCGAGAUGGUAAAGCAGAUCUGUACCGAGAGGUCGCGGGAGCAGCAAAGUGGGUCGAUUCGGGGCAGAGGCGAGCACGCGAUCCCAACUCAAGGCCCCCCAUGGCGGCGGCCGCGUUCCACCGCCGCGGCACGACAGCCCUCAUCCCCGCGGUCAGCGGCGACCUCGGCUCCAAUCUGUUUCGGAAGCAAGAGUCAUGGGCCGUGAACGAAAACGAAGGGGGAAAGGAGAACAGAAUGCACCUCGGGUGUUCGACGAAAUGGCUGUAUGGAAACAGGUUUUGGGCUUACCUGCGCCGCCGCUUUGCCGGUGCAGACGAGCCGUUCCGUUCUCCUCGGUUCUCCGGCUGCUGGGUGGAUCGGUGUCAAUCGAUGGAUUUGGAAUUGGAAUUUGAAUCAGCUCGAAGUGGGCGUUUCACGAUUCGGGGACGGAAAUGCAGGGAUGGUUCAGAAUAGCACUGAAAUUCAGAGACGGGCAAUGGGGAAAAGUUAGCAUGCCGCGCACAUCCACAGCAACAGAGCAAGAGAUUGAAGGAAGAAUUCAGGGAUAAAACAGCUCAAAUGCCUUUCACAGUUCAGAGACUUCAGAUGGGGAAUCAGACCAGGCGAUGGAUGGGGGGCAGAGAAUGCAAAAUCAGCGAACGCACUGGAAGGCAUUCACAUCAGAAGAAUUUCAGGGAUAAACUGCUGCAAUUUCCAUUCCAAACUUCUUCCAGUACAUCUCUACAACAGCAACAUCAGCUCACAAGACGGGAGCAAACACCAAGGAGAUACCACUGCUCUUGCACGGAGAACCACGAACCCUAGACAGCAACUAGAUAGAUAGCACUACUACUCUCGGUCGGACGGCGGCGUCGCGAGCUGGAUCGAUGAACCCUCGGCCUAGCCUCCGAAGCCGUAGAGGGUGCGGCCCUGGCGCUUGAGCGCGUAGACGACGUCCAUGGCGGUGACGGUCUUGCGGCGGGCGUGCUCGGUGUAGGUGACGGCGUCGCGGAUGACGUUCUCGAGGAAGAUCUUGAGCACGCCGCGGGUCUCCUCGUAGAUGAGCCCCGAGAUGCGCUUCACGCCGCCCCUGCGCGCCAGCCGCCGGAUCGCCGGCUUGGUGAUGCCCUGGAUGUUGUCGCGGAGCACCUUCCGGUGGCGCUUCGCGCCGCCCUUGCCCAGCCCCUUGCCUCCCUUGCCGCGGCCCGACAUCCUCCGCGCUUCUCCCCUCUCUACGGUGGGAUUGGAUUGGAUUGUUUUGGUGGUGGGCGAUGAGAUUGAUGGUGGUGGAGUGCGGGGCGAGGUGGGAUUUAUAGCCGCGGGGUUUGGGGAGAGGGGAGCGGCCAGGAUCCGCGUGAUGCGGCGCGCGGGCCGUCGGAUGGGAGGUGGACGGCGAGGAGUGGGGGUGGAGUGGUGGCGCGGAUCGGUGACGUGGCGGGGAGGUGUGCUUUUUCUGUGAGGACGAGGCGGGCUGCUGGGACGCGGGGAGGGCGCGAGUCUCGUCUGGGUGGAUGGCGGGUGGGACCGCGUGGUUUUCGGAUGGAUUUUUGCGCGGGGUGUUCGCUGCCGCGAAGUUUUGGAUGCGUUUUUGCGGAGACUGUCGGUGUGGGCGUGGCCAGUGAGCUGUGUGCAGGCCACGAAACUGGUUUUUUUUUAACUGGAAUACACAUUCCAUUAACUUAACCGUGCACAGCAGAAUCGCCGGCAACCAAGUCGCAUACAAAUUCUGAUGCUUGGUCCUUCCACCAGGAGCACACCACACCUGCCCGAUAGCCAAAAGCAGCAAGGCUAUGGGCUACAGAAUUACAAGAACGCUUACAGAAGGUAAAUUCAAAAGCAUCAAAAGAUGCGUAACAAAGGCUACGAGCUUCACGGAUUAGGACGUCAAUUGAAGACAGAUCCCUCUCGCCAGAGUUUAUGGCAUUCACCAGACUCAACGAGUCUGAUUCAAAAAUAGCCUGAUUGAUUCCCAUUUCGCUCGCCGCUUCGAUGGCCCUGUUACAAGCAGUAGCUUCAGCUUGUAAAGCCGACGUGAGAUGAUCCAUCCUCCCUGCACAUGCAGCAAUGACGUCCCCUUGAUCUGAUCUCAUAACACAGCCCCAGGCUCCCCCUCCUUGCUCCACAUGGAAGGCUGCGUCAAAGUUAAUAUUGACAAAACCUUCCUUUGGUUUACUCCACCCUGCUAUUGUAUGCAUUGUGUCAUGCUUUUCAGUCUGCAAAGAUCCAUUCUGAAAAUCAUCAAGUAUUCUGCGGAUGUUAUAGGCCACUCCUUCGGUGGGCUUCAUCUUGCCGCCAUGGUUUGCUUUAUUGCGUAUAUUCCACCACUCCCAUAGAAGAAUCAGGACCAGAUCACGGCGAACCCGCGUUAGCGACCACAGGAAAUCAAACAUGGCUACUGGAUCAGCACACUUCAGCAACUCUAGUCUAACAUCCUCCAGCUGCAAUUCUCUCCAAAGAUGCUUCACUAGCUUGCACUUGAGAAAUAAAUGGCCACCAUCCUCAUCCAGCCUCAUACAUAUCGGGCAUCUAGUAUCUAGCUCCACCUGCUUUCGCUUGACAUUCAUCCGUAGCGGCAAAGAGUUAUGUGCCAGACGCCACAGAAACAUCUCACUUUGGGGGGCAAAUCAAGAGUCCAGAACCUAUUCCAUUUCUUCGAGUAGCUUGGCGUGGCCGUCGACGAGCUAGCAUCUCUAUUCUUGCUCGCGUCCCUAAUGCUGGUUCCCAAAUGGUAGGCGGAUUUCACUGAGAACACUCCCCUUGGAUCCAGAUGCCAAGCCGGCUGAUCAUCCAUGCCACUCCUGACUGGUAUCGCUAGUAUCUCCUUCACAUCCUCUUCGCAGAACAGAUCUUUCACCAGUUCUUCAUCCCAGUUCUCCGUAUACGGAUCAAACAGGUCACUGACUUUGUCGAUGAGCACGCUGCCUCUAGCAGUGCGCGGCCGUCUCGUCGUUCCAUUUGGUAUCCACGGGUCUUCCCAGAUACGCACAUGUUCUCCUGUCCCAAUCCUCCAAACAAUUCCUUCUUUCAGCAGCUCCACCCCUUUCAAGAUACUCCUCCAGGUGUACGACAUAUCCCCAAUCGCUUCUGCUUCUAGGACCGAGCAGUUUGGAAAAUACCUUGCUUUUAACACCCUCGCACACAAAGUAUCCGGUUCCUGCAGUAUUCGCCACCCCUGUCUAGCAAGCAUGGCCAGAUUGAAAAUGUGCAGGUCCCGAAAGCCCAAUCCCCCAUCUUUCUUUGACUUAGUGAGUUUCUCCCACCCUAUCCAAUGGCAUUGGUCCCACUUGUCCUGUUGGCUCCACCAAUACCGAUUAAUCAGAGUGUCAAUCUCUUCACACAAUUUCUUAGUUAGAUCGAAGCAGGACAUGGCAUAUGCCGGGAUUGCUUGUGCCACUGCUUUCACCAACGUCUCCUUGCCCGGCAAAGCCAACAGUUUUUCCAUCCAUCCCUGCAUCCUUUGCCAAAUGCUUUGUUUAAUGUAUUCAAACUCCUUGCUUCUUGCUGCUCCGACGUGCACUGGCAGACCGAGAUACCGCUUUCCUACAGACUCAUGCGCGAUUCCAAGAAUCUGCAACACUUCUGCUCUUCUAGCAUUGCUGGUACCCUUACUGAAAGUGACAACUGACUUGUUCUUAUUAAUCAUUUGGCUAGACUGGGCCUCAUAAAGUGCAAGAAUAUCCUGCAACCUGUGGGCCCCUUGAGCAUUUGCCUUCAUCACAAUCAGCGAGUCGUCUGCGAAGAACAGAUGGUUGAUCUUAGGGGCACCUUGGCAAAUCUGUACUCCUUGAAUCGAUCCCUCAAUCUCAGCUCGGUGCAAGAGCGCCGAGAAUCCCUCUGCACACAAUAGAAAUAGGUACGGCGAGAGGGGAUCCCCCUGGCGCAGUCCUCUUUCGGGCACAAUAGUUUCAGUGAGGUUUCUGUUUACUUUCACCCUAUACCUUACACUUGAGACGCAUUUCAUUAUGGUUCCAAUCCACUGUUCAGCGAAACCCAUCUUGCGCGUAAUGCAUUCGAGGAAUUUCCACUCAACUCGAUCGUAGGCCUUACUCAUAUCCAGUUUGAUAGCAACCAAUCCAUCACGACCACCCUUCUUCUUGUGCAUUAAAUGAUUUAUCUCAUAGGCCAACAACACGUUAUCCGUGAUCAUCCUCCCUGGGACAAACGCUGAUUGUGUUGGUGAUAUGAUCUCUGGAAGUAUUUCCUUCAAUCUGUUUGCCACUGCCUUCGAAUCAACUUGUACAGCACGUUGCAGAGGCUUAUGGGUCUGAACUCUGUCACUCUUUCAGGGUUUUUAUUCUUUGGAAUCAACACAAUGAUGGUAUCAUUCCAUGUCUCAGGCAUAGCGCCCCCAUUUAGGACAGCAAGCACUUCAGCUUGUACCUUCUGUCCCACCAACUCCCAGAACCUUUUAUAGAACACAGCCGGCAUUCCGUCCGGUCCCGGAGCUUUAAGGUCACCAAUGGCCUCAAGAGCUUUCCUCACUUCCUCCGCCUCGUAUGGCCGUGUCAGCCUAUCAUUCAUUUCUCGGGUGACAGAAGCAGGGACACAAGAGAGGAGUUCAUCGUUGAUUAAACCUGCAUGAGAAGUGAACAAACUUUUGUAGUGGUUAGUGACAAAAAGCCCUAUCUCCUCUUCUCCCUCCACUACACUCCCAUCCUCCUUUCUUAACUUUCUUAUGACAUUCUUCCUCUUCCGCUCUGAAGCCUGGGCAUGAAAAAAUUUCGUAUUGCGAUCACCAUACUUUAGCCAAUGUGCAUGUGCUCGCUGCCUCCAGUACAUGUUAUGUUGGUCUUCCAGCCUACCCAACUUAUAUCGCAGCAAAUGCUCUUUGUUCACUUGUUCUUGGCUCAAAGGGCUUCGCCUACACUUCUCCAGCUCUCUCCUUGCUUUCCUAAUCCGACCCCGCAGCUCCCCCAACACUUCCCUGUCCCACCUAGACAGCUCCCCUCCCACCUGCUUGAUGCCCUCCAUCACUGAGACCUCUCCAUCCGCGAAAGCAUCAUUCCAUGCCUUCUCCACCACAUGUGCACACUCCUCUUCUUGCAACCAGCGUGCCUCAAAACAGAAUAGAUUUGGCCCCGCCCUCUCCUGUGGCAUACAUGUUCUUCCAUUGAGCUCCACAAUAAGUGGUUUGUGGUCCGAGUGUCGCUGGUCCCCAUUUAUGAUCUUAUGCAAUGGGAAAAGACACCUCCACUCCAUGUUAGCCACCGCACGAUCAAGUCUUUCCCUAGUGUAUCCAUCCACCGAAUGCCAGUUGUUUCUCCACGUGUACGGGUCCCCAACAAAACCCAAGUCUUCCAAACCACAAGCCUCCAACGCACUCCGAAACGCAUCCAUGCACCCUUGGGCCCGAAGCGGCCCCCCUUCCUUCUCAUUUGCGAACAGGAUCUCAUUAAAAUCCCCAAGGCAGAUCCAUGGCAGAUCGGACUGAGCACGCAAGGUUCUCAUAGCCUGCCAAGUGUUCUCCUUCUCCCCCCAUCUCGACUCACCGUACAUGCCCGUCAGUCUCCACCUCGUGCCAUCUUCUUCCCUAACUUCUGCGUCAAUGUAGUACUUGUCCUUCCACCUCAGCUGUACAUCCACUCCUCUCUUCCAGAGCAGUGCAAGACCACCGCUCCGGCCAACCGCGUCCUUUACCACCAUGUUUGGCAUACCCAAUCGCCACCUCAGACUGUCCAACUCCCUUUCUAUCAGUCUUGUUUCUGAUAAGAAGAGAAUGUCAGGCUCUUCAACCCCCUGAAGCUCCAGGAGGCUACGAACUGCCGUCGGGUUCCCAAGCCCGCGACAGUUCCAUGCCACUAGUUUCAUUGGUUUAUGUAGGGCUGUUCCGACAGCCCCGCGUUCACCUCACCGGUGUUUUUGUUCUCCUCAUUCACCUUGGCUUUCUUUGUUCUCUCCCCUUCCUUGCCAUCAACAUCCAUCAGCACCACUCCUCUUUUUCCUCCCACCUGGACAUCUAGCUUCUCCUGGUACCCCUGCCACGAAACUGGUUUGAAGGCGUAAACUUGGUUAUGACGAGCACGGAUGGAAGGCGUAUUGUACGUUUUCCAGGACCCUGAUCUGGUAGGCAAAACUGUGAAACCAAGGACGUGUUUGGCUGCCCGUAUUAAAGAAUCUCCAGCCAUUCGUCCCCCAGGGCGCCGAAAAAGAGCCGCCUAGGGGCGAGCCGGCGCUAGAUUGGCCCCUGGGGGCGACCUAGCUCCCAGUCGUCGGCCCACAGGUCACCCCGGGUUCGGCGACGUCCGUACAAAAUAUAUGAAAACUCGGCGUUUUUUGCACAAACUCGCGAAACUUCAUUGAAUUUGUACAAAAAACACACAACACAUGCAAACUACGCCUAAUAACGCCUAAACUACGCCUAGCCGUCGCCGUCGUCUACAUGUCGAGGAGCCUGUAGAAAUGGGUGUAGUCGCCGCCGUCGUCGUCGUCGCGCGGCUGGCUUGGGUCGGCGCCGUCCCUGCUGCAGCCCUGGCCCGGGUCGCCGAGGCGCGGUGGUGCGCUGGAUAGCCCGGCCUCGCCCUCCUCGUCGUUGUCGAGGACGAUGACGCCGCCUUCCUCGCGGCCGCGGCGGGUACUCGAGGCACGGCAUGUUGCCAGUCUCGAUGUGGUCGAGGACGACCUCGAGCGUGCGGCCCGGAACGCCCCACCACUCGCGCCGCCCGUUGGCGUUGUGGCGGCCCCGCGGGAUGACGCCGUUGGUGGAGGCGAUCUGCUCCUCGCGGCGGCGCUCGAAGUACAUCGUCCAGAGGGUGUGGCUGUCGGCGGCGUAGCACGGCUCGUUCCGCCUUUCCUCCGACAGGGAGGAGCGAAUGCGGGCGAUCUCGGCGCGCCGCGCCGCCCCUUCGGGCACCGGUGGCACCGGGACGCCGCCGGCGCUCAGCCUCCACGUCCCCGGCACCCGCAUGUCCGGGGGCGCCGGGUACUCCGCCUCGUACAGCAGCCGCGCCUCCGCCUCUUGGAGGUGGCCGCGGCCGAAUCCGUUCGCCGCCGCGCCGUCGCCUGGGAACCUCUCGGCCAUCUUUCUUUGUCGGCGGGAAGAGGGGAGAGUGCUGCUUUCUAGGCCGGGAAGGGGGGAAAUGAGAGUUGUGGCGUCCACCGGCGGGGAGGCCGCCUUUUAUAGCCGUGGCUGGGUGGCGUUGGGCUGCAUGCCGGGCGACGCGUGGCUGGACGCGCGUCGCGGCGCGUUUACUGCGCCGCCCGUGAGGCAUCAAUGGAGGCUGACCGACGCGGCAGCGUGGCAGCCUUCGCACUGAUUCCCGCGGGAACCGAGACGAUGAGGGCGAUGAAGCGGCGUGUCGCGGACUCGGCGGGCCCAUCCGCUUUCGCGCCAAAAUGUCUUGCCCCGGCGCCCCCCAGCGCGCCGGGUUCGGCCUGGAUCCGCCGGCGCCAAUUUCGGCCCAAGCCGGCGAAAAAUGGGCUCCUGGGGCGCGACUGGGCCGAUUUUUGGGCGCCGGCGCGGGAAAAACGCCUGGGAAGGGCCUGUUGGGGGCGCGGCUGGAGAUGCUCUUAGGGCCAACCAGACCGAGUUGGGUCAUGAAAUGUGUAUUUGGUUUCAUACAGGUGGGCUGACUUGCAUGGGCACGAAGCUUAAAGCAGCCCAGAGCCUGGUUUGCUGGAAACCCUCGAAUCAGGAGUUUCUAGCAAGCUAGGCUUAGUGCGGCGCAAGGUCGCACGCGCGGAAGCAACCCGGAAACGGGAGGGGUGGUGGGAGAUGGAAAUCGGGUGCGGCGGCACGGCGCCAAAUCUAGCCCCCCCUCCCCAAUUACUCGGUCACCAUUACCUCUAGGACAGCUACUUCCUCUAGCCUCACAACCGCCGCCGGCGGCGGCGGACGCGGCAGCAGCACUAUCCGGCUGUAGGAGCUGGUGCUCUCCUUCUGUUGGCCACCGUCGGGUUGUCCUUGCCUCAGCCAUGCCCCCCCUUCAUCCUCCUCGUCUCCGAUGCCGGUAAGCAACACCCCCUCUCUCGUAUGUUAGGUAGGUUGUUAGGAUCGAUUUCCCUAUGCUCAAUGAACCCUCAAUGCCGACUAGGUUAUGGACGCACGGAUGAGGCUGGGAGUUCAGGCAGCAGCACUAAUUGUUGUGAUUCAGGCAUGGGUCAUGUUCAUGCACAAGAGUGUUGUUCGUUGUGGUGAGAGACAUGUCAUCUGUUAUGCUCGAAUGCUUAUGCAGGAGCGGGAGAGGAUCGUCAAUCUGAACUAUAUCUACAACUGCAAUGACACAAAGGCCAUGUGGAUGCUUCGAAUGAAAAGAGCACCAUUUGCCAAACUUGUCCAGACCUUCAGGGCUAGGGGCUGCUACAAGAUAGCAUCCACACCAGUGUGGAAGAGCAAGUGGUCAUGUUCCUCCAUGUUGUUGGUCGUAAUCAGAGGUUCAGGGUUAUACAUAACACGUUGAGAAGAUCAAUGGAGACCAUCUUGAGGUACUUCAAGCAAGUACUCUAUGCUGUUGGGGAGCACAGGGGAGAGAUGAUCAAGUCACCAACCGGCCGGACUCCUACCAAGAUUCGCACUAGUCCAAGAUGGUAUCCAUGCUUCAAGGUGAGCACUGACAGUAUAUGCUUCAUGGCUUGAUAUGCUUGUAUUGUUCAAGGUGAGCACUGACAGUAUGUGCUUCAUGGCUUGAUAUACUUGUAUUGUUCAAGGUGAGCACCAACACAAUCUUCAUUUGCCAUUCCAAGUUUGCAUUCAGGCAAUAUAUUGUAGUCAUAUCACUGCUAGAGUGCCUCGGUCACAAUCUGCAACAUACUAAGAGAGGAAGCACUACACAAGCCAGAAUGUGCUUGCUGUUGUUUACUUUGAUAUGAUGUUCACCUAUGUGUUGGCUGGCUGGGAAGGGUCAGCACAUGAUGCUAACAUUCCAGGUGACAACACACUACUAGGAGAAAGCUUAUAGAUAGGAUUUUAGCAGUAGCGUGUUACAACUGCCCUGCGCUACUGCUAGUUAGUGGUGGCGUUGUACAUAUACCAACGCUACAGGUGGUGAAGUAGCAGUAGCGCUGAGCCGAGGGGCAGCGCUACUGCUAAGUGUGUGCACGGGCCAGCAGGUGGGCCCCCGUUAGCAGUAGCGCUUGUCAUCGGACCACGCUACUGCUAUUGGGCUUAGCAGUAGCGCCCUCCUGGGACAAGCGCUACUGCUAUGGGUGCCUUAUCGAAUUUUCUCCCGACGUGGCCUGACCUUAUUCCUCCCAUCACUCCCUCCCCUCACUCCCCAUUGCGCCACUGUGCCUCCGCCGCCGCCGUCCUCCCUCCUCCUUCUCGGUAUGCGGCGACCCUCCUCCUCCCACCGCCCCCCUCCUGAAGGAAAUAUGCCCUAGAGGCAAUAGUAAAGUUGUUAUUUUAUAUUUCCUUAUUCAUGAUAAAUGUUUAUUAUUCAUGCUAGAAUUGUAUUGAUCGGAAACCUUAAUACAUGUGUGAAUACAUAGACAAACACUAUGUCCCUAGUGAGCCUCUACUUGACUAGCUCGUUGAUCAAAGAUGGUUAAGGUUUCCUAACCAUGGACAUGAGUUGUCAUUUGGUAACAGGAUCACAUCAUUAGGAGAAUGAUGUGAUGGACAAGACCCAUCCGUUAGCUUAGCAUAUUGAUCGUUCAGUUUUAUUGCUAUUGCUUUCUUCAUGUCAAAUACAUAUUCCUUCGACUAUGAGAUUAUGCAACUCCCGGAUACCAGAGGAAUACCUUGUGUGCAAUCAAACGUCACAAACGUAACUGGGUGAUUAUAAAGAUGCUCUACAGGUAUCUCCGAAGGUGUUUGUUGGGUUGGCACAGAUUGAGAUGAGGAUUUGUCACUCCGAGUAUCGGAGAGGUAUCUCUAGGCCCUCUCGGUAAUACACAUCAUAAGAAGCCUUGCAAGCAAAGUGAUUAAUGAGUUAAUUGUGGGAUGAUGUAUUACGGAACGGGUAAAGAGACUUUCCGGUAACGAGAUUGAACUAGGUAUGAAGAUACCGACGAUCGAAUCUCGGGCAAGUAACAUACCGAUGACAAAGGGAAUAACGUAUGUUGUCAUUACGGUUCGACCGAUAAAGAUCUUCGUAGAAUAUGUAGGAACCAAUAUGAGCAUCCAGGUUCCGUUGUUUUUUAUUGACCGGAGAGGUGUCUCGGUCAUGUCUACAUAGUUCUCGAACCCGUAGGGUCCGCACGCUUAACGUUCGAUGACGAUUUAGUAUUAUAUGAGUUAUGUGAUUUGGUGACUGAAUGUUGUUCGGAGUCCCGGAUGAGAUCACAGACAUGACGAGGAGUCUCGAAAUGGUCUAGAGGUAAAGAUUGAUAUAUAGGAUGAUAGUAUUCGGACACCGGAAGUGUUUCGGAUAGUAUCGGGUAUUUAUCGGAGUACCAGGGGGUUACCGGAACCCCCGGGGGGACAAUGGGCCUUAUGGGCCAUAAGAGGGGAGCACACCAGCCCACAAGGGGUGGCGCCCCCCCCUUAGGCAGGAGGCCGAAUAGGAGAAUGAAGAGGGGGUUCGGCCCCCCCUUUCCUUCCUCCCUUCCCUUCCUCCCUUCCCUCUUCCCCUUUUCCCCAUUCCGAUAAUUAGGAAAGGGGGGCGAAUUGGGAUAGGACCCCAAGUAGGAUUCCUCCUACUUGGGGCACCCCAUGGCUGCUCCCCUCCCCCUCCCACCUAUAUAUACGUGGGGAGGGGGCGCCUAGCACACACACCAACAACUGUUAGCCGUGUGCGGCGCCCCCCUCCACAGUUUACGCCUCCGGUCAUAUCUUCGUAGUGCUUAGGCGAAGCCCUGCGCGGAUCACUUCAACGUCACCGUCACCAUGCCGUCGUGCUGACGGAACUCAUCUUCUUCCUCGACACCUUUGCUAGAUCAAGAGGACGAGGGAUGUCAUCGAGCUGAACAUGUGCAGAACUCGGAGGUGCCGUACGUUCGGUGCUUGAUCGGUCGGAUCUAGAAGAAGUUUGACUACAUCAACCGCGCUGUCAAACACUUCCGCUUUCGGUCUACAAGGGUACGUGGACACACUCUCCCCCUCUCGUUGCUAUGCAUCUACUAGAUAGAUCAUGCGUGAGCGUAGGAAACUUUUUGAAAUUGCAUGGUGCGUUACCCAACAUUGGCAUCCGAGCCAGGUCUAUGCGUAGAUGAUAUGCACGAGUAGAACACAAAGAGUUGUGGGCGGUGAUCGUCAUACUGCUUACCACCAAUGUCUUAUUUUGAUUCGGCGGUAUUGUUGGAUGAAGCGGCCCGGACCAACCUUACAUGACCACGUUCAUGAGACCGGAUCACCCGACAGACAUGCAACUAGUUUUGCAUAAAGGUGACUGGCGGGUGUCUAUUUCUCCUACUUUAGUUGAAUCGAAUUUGACUGUGGCCGGUCCUUGUUGAAGGUUAAAACAACAAACUUGAUAAAUCACCAUUGUGGUUUUGAUGCGUAGGUAAGAACGGUUCUUGCUAGAAGCCCGUAGCAGCCACGUAAAACUUGCAACAACAAAGUAGAGGACGUCUAACUUGUUUUUGCAGGGCAUGUUGUGAUGUGAUAUGGUCAAGACAUGAUGUGAUAUACAUUGUUGUAUGAGAUGAUCAUGUUUUGUAAAAGUUAUCGGCAACCGGCAGGAGCCUUAUGGUUGUCUCUUUAUUGUAUGAAAUGCAAACGCCAUGUAAUUGAUUUACUUUAUCACUAUGCGUAAGCGAUAGUUGUAGAAGCAAUAGUUGGCGAGACGACCACGACGCUGCGAUGGAGAUCGAGGUGUCGAGCCGGUGACGAUGGAGAUCAUGACGAUGCUUUGGAGAUGGUGAUCAAAAGCACAAGAUGAUGAUGGCCAUAUCAUGUCACAUAUUUUGAUUGCAUGUGAUGUUUAUCUUUUAUGCAUCUUAUUUUGCUUAGUACGGUGGUAGCAUUAUAAGAUGAUCCCUCAACUAAAUUUCAAGGUAUAAGUGUUAUCCCUAAGUAUGCACCGUUGCGACAGUUCGUCGUGUUGAGACACCACGUGAUGAUCGGGUGUGAUAGACUCUACGUUCACAUAUGCUACCUCUUGAGCUUGCGUUGGUUUUUCCCUUGAAGAGGAAAGGGUGAUGCAGCAAAGUAGAGUAAGUAUUUCCCUCAGUUUUGAGAACCAAGGUAUCAAUCCAGUAGGAGACAACGCAGCAAGCCACCGAAUACCUGCACAAACCACUACAAAAAAAAGACACAUCCGUGACAUUUUGGGCCGAACGAAUUUUUUUUCUGUCAUACUUAUGACACUUCUAUGACGAUAAUUGUGACAAAACCCGGUAUCAUCAUAGAUGUGGUGGGGUCCUACUUCUAUGAGUAAAAAAUCAUGACAGAAAAUGGGCUUUUCAUCCUGGGCGGGCCGGAGACGCAGCUGCAUGACAUUCUUUGGGCCGUCCAUGAUGGAAAAAACCGUGGUAGAAGCGAGGGCGAGGAAAAUAUCGGGGUGUUCCCGGUUACGGUGGGUGGUCGGGGCCGAGUGAUGCGCGUUUCUCUCGUACACGCACGCGCGUGGGUGCGAGGCAUUGGGCUCUAACUGAACCCGAGCGAGGUGUUGGGCUCUAACUGAACCCGAGCGAUUGCACUGCAGGCUACGCGUUACUGAACCCGAGUGAUCGAUCGAUGGCUGUUAACUGAACCUGAUCGAGCGAUUCCUUCGCUACUGCUGCUAACUGAAGCCGAUCGAUGCUGCCUCUGGAUGAACAGUGAGCGUUGCUAGGGGGGUUUGGAUGAACAGUUCCUGGUGGGGUGGAUGAACAGGACCCCGUGGUGUUGCCUCUGGAUGAACAGGACCCUGAUCGAUCGAGCCGGUUGGGGCUGGAUGAACAGGACCCCGUGGAGGGCUGGAUGAACAGGACCACCCCGUGGAGGGCUGGAUGAAUAGUAGACGGUGGAGGGCUGGAUGAACAGUAGCCUCGUGGAGGGGUGGUUGAACAGUAGCCCGUGGAGAGGGCUGGUUGAACAGUAGCCGGUGGAGUAGCGCGCGGUGGAGGCUGGAUGAACAGGAGCCCGUGGAUGAACAGUCGCAGGUGGAGGCUGGAGGAGGUCGACGGUGGAUGAACAGUAGCCCGUGGAGGCUGGAGGGGGUCGACGGUGGAGAUGAAUAAUAUCCCGUGGAGUCCCGUUUUGCGGUACGCCACACCCCUCCCGAUGAACAGGACCCCCGUUUCUACCAUAGCGCUCCAACACAAGUCCGUUUCCUCCGUUUUGCGAUACGCCACACCCCUCCCGAUCAACAGGACCCCGUUUCGACCAUAGGAGGUCCGUUUCCUCCGUUUUGCGGUACGCAAGACCCCUCCCGAUGAACAGGAUCCCGUUUCAAACACAAGGCCGUUUCCUCCGUUCUGCGGUACGCCAGGCCUCGUUUCCAUCUGCUGUUCCGUCCAAGCCCUCCCGAUGAACACGACGAUGCAUUCCGUUCCGACCCAACUGGUUGGCUCCCCAUGAACACAAUGACGCUGUUUCUCCGUUCCGACCCAACCAUGUACACGAGCCCUGGCCGUACGUAUGCACGAGUAGGCGUUCGAGACCCUGCCCGUAUGUACGUACAUGGCCGUAUUUUCUUUCUUGCACACUAGCCGCUGUACGUACGUGUACAUGCUACGUGCGCGCCUCUACUACGACACGUGCGCGUCUCUACAUCGACCAGUAUGUACAUACACGUUCGCGACCAGAAUGACAAUGCUACGUACGCUUCGACCAGGUGGGUCCCGACUGUCAGACACUUCCUUGCCUGUGAAGAUGUAGCUGGUGGGUCCCAGCAGUCAGGGGGCGAAUCGUUGUUUUUGCCCGGACGCACUUCCUUGCAUGCGAAGAUGUAGCUGGUGGGUCCCAGCAGUCAGGGGGAAACGUUUUUUUUGCGAAAUACGGUGGCCCAUCCGGUGGGUCCUCGCUGUCAGGUGGAGGAAUAAUUAUUUUGCGCGUAAUAAGGAGACACUUCCUUGGUGCGGCCGUGGACCCAGCUGUCAGCCUCUCCACGUACAGUCCACGUCCGAUGGAAGCCAUUCCUUGACCACGUUGACCACGCCGCACCGAGAGCACCAGGGCGGUGGACGACGGCGAGGCCUAGGAAGGGGACGACGUGGAGCUGGGGAAGAUGCGGCAGUGGAUGCCCACACGUAGAGGAGUAUGAGGGUUCACUGGUUCGCUGCGGUGUGAGGCUGCCGUCGCCGUAGAAUAACAGGGGGUGUGGGUGAGUAGAGGGAUGGCCUGGCCAGCGGUGGGAGUAGUAGGGGGCGGUGAGGCCACCACCGCAUCGCAGCCGGCCACGGGAGGCAGGAGCUCGAGGCACGACCGGCGCUGGUUUGGGCGGCUGGAGCAAGAAGGCCAGAGGUUGAAGAAGCACUACGGCCGUUGGAUGGACAUCGUACGGUCACUGGAGCUAGAAUCAUGCAUAUUGACUAAGUUGACAAAGCCCUCCGUCCCCGUCAACUUAGUAGGCCCACAAGUCAGCCUGCCACUAUACUGGGUCCCAACUAGCAGGGGGAGUAUUCAUUUUUUUGUGCGUAAUAAGGAGGCACUUCCUUGCGUGCGAAGAUAUAGCUGGUGGGUCCAAGCUGUCAGCGGUGGUAACGUUUUUUUCGCAAAAUACAGAGGCCCUUUCGGUGGGUCCCAGAUGUCAGGUGGAGGAAUCAUUAUUUUGCGCGUAAUAAGGAGGCAUUUCCUUGCGUGCGGCCGUGGACCCAGCUGUCAGCAUCUCCAUGUACAGUCCACUUCAGAUGCAUGUCGGUUGUUGACCAUGUUGACCAGGCCGCACCGAGAGGCCUAGGAAGGGAACGACACGGAGGCAGGGAAGACUCGGUAGUUGUUUCCCACACGGAGGGGAGUACGACUGUACGAGGGUUUACUGGUUCGUCUGCCGUCGCCGGAGAAUAACAACAUGUGUGGGUGAGUAGAGGGAUGGCUAGGCCAGUGAUGGGAGUACGGUGGGGCGGUGAAGCCUGCACGAUAGAACAGCCGGCCGCGGGGAGGAGAGAGCAAGCAGUCCCGCCGACACUUGUUUGAGCGGCUGGAGCAGGAAGAGCAGAGAUUGAAGAAGCACGGCGGCCGUUGGAUGGACAUCCAACAGUCACUGCUUGUGCGUCAACCUUUUUUUAGGAAAGCCUCAAAUCUGUGGAAAACAUCAUACAACCCAUCUGCCAUUACUUCUAAUAAUUUACAACCCAUUUGCUAAUUCUUAAGGUUUUUUUGGAGCCCAUAUUCUUUUUGUUAGCAUUACAGCCCAUAUUGUGGCCACGGUUAAAAAAUUAUACGAAAUUUUGCAUAUUUCGGUGCGGUCCGAACUAUUUUUAAUCCCAAAAUUUCGAGUCACAUUGAAACUAAUUUUAAAAAUAAAUGUAUAUCAAUAUAAAAUCCAACAAAUUGUCCACGCAUAAAAAUCAAUGCAAUUUAAAAUCUCAAAAUGAAAAAAAUAAAUUUGAAACUAAUUGCCGGUUUGAUGUGUUCUAAAAAUGUACAGCCCAUUUCUCAUUACUGAUAGGCCAUUUUCUCGGCCAGCCAAAUGAAGCUCUCCUCGUCUUGAAAGAUUUGUAGCCCAACAGGCCUGACAAAGCGACUUACUUGGCAAAUCACAAAAAAACUGGGCUGUGGCCGUGGACCCAGCUGUCAGCCUCUCCACGUACAGUACUCUUCCGAUGGAAGUCGGUCGUUGACCACAUUGACCACGCCGCGCCGAGAGCACCAAGGCGGUGGACGACGGCGAGGCCUAGGAAGGAGACGACGCGGAGCCGGGGAAGACGCGGCAGUGGAUGCCCACACGGAGAGGAGUACGAGGGUUCACUGGUUCAGCUGCGGUGUGAGGCUGCCGUCGCCGCAGAAUAACAGGGGGUGUGGGUGAGUGGAGGGAUGGCCUGGCCAGCGGUGGGAGUAGUAUGGGGCGGUGAGGCCUCCACGGCAGCACAGCCGGCCACGGGAGGCAGGAGCAGGCGGCACGACCGGCGCUGCUUUGGGCGGCUAGAGCAAGAAGACCAGAGGUUGAAGAAGCACUAAGGCCGUUGGAUGGACAUCGUACGAUCACUGGAGCUAGAAUCGUUCAUAUUGACUAAGUUGACAAAGCCCUCCGUCCCCGUCAACUUAGUAGGCCCACAAGUCAGCCUCCCACUGUGGUGGGUCCCAGCUGGCAGGGGGUAUUCAUUUUUUGUGCGCAAUAAGGAGGCACUUCCUUGCGUGCGAAGAUAUAGUUGGUGGGUCCGACCUGUUAGCGGAGGGAACGUUUUUUCGCGAAAUACAGAGGCCCUUCCGGCGUGUCCCUGAUGUCAGGUGGAGGAAUCAUUAUUUUGCACGUAAUAAGGAGGCAUUUCCUUGUGUGCGGCCGUGGACCCAACUGCCAGCUUCUCCACGUACAGUCCACUUCCGAUGGAUGUCGUUCGUUGACCAUGUUGACCACGUCGCGCCGAGAGCACCAGGGCGGUGGACGACGGUGAGGCCUCUGAAGGGAACGACAUGGAGCCGGGGAAGACACGACAGUGGCUGCCCACGCGGUGGAGAGUACGAGGGUUGACUGGUUCGGCUGCCGUCACCGGAAAAUAACAGGAUGUGUGGGUGAGUAGAGGGUUAGACAGGCCAGGGAUGCGAGUAUAUGAUGGGGCCGUGAGGCCUGCCCGGCAGCACAGCCGGCCACGGGAGGCGGGAGCAGGCGGUUCCGACGGCACUGGUUUGGGCGGCUGGGGCAGGAAGAUCACAGACUGAAGAAGCACGAUUGCCGUUAGAUUGACAUCUAACGGUCUGACGCUGGUAGAGUCGAUUGUUGACUAAGUUUCUUUUUUGAUAAACCUUGUGUACGCAUGAACUUAGUAGGCCCACAAGUCAUCCUCCAAAUCUGUGGAAGAUAACAUAGAGCCCAUUUUCUAAUUUUUAAUAAUUUGCAGCCCAUUUGCUAAUUCUUAAGUAAUUUAUUACAGUCCAUUUUCUGCUCAGGACCACGGUCAAAAAGUUCAACCUUAUUUUGCAUAUUUCGGUGGAGCCCAAACUUUUGUAAUCCCAAAAUGAUAAACAUUUUUGUAAGAACUUAUUGAUUUGCCAAAAAAAUCGCUUUGUUUUUGUAAGCAAAUAAGACGUGGGACAAUUGAGUUGGUUUAAGGGAAAACCAGUGGUAAAAAAAAUCAACGCUGGGAGGGAAAACAACAACAAAAAUAAGGAUGUAAAUAUGAAAAGGGAAUUUUAUGCAUUUUCAAUAUAAUGAUACGUGUAUAUGAACUAGUAAAACUAUAGGUGGAGAUUAGAAAAUGGAUGUAGGACAUGCGUUUCAAGGGGAAAAUAGAACUGGGCUAUGUGUUUGAUUCAGUAAAAAAACUGCCUGCGGAUGUUGUAAUACAAAAUAUAACUAACGCUGGCGGGCCAGAGGCCAGUAGAUACCUGCUAGAUCUUCGUGCCCCAUUGUCGUCAUGGGCUGGGCCUGUUAAAAACAAAACCAAGCCUGGGCAGUCGACAGCCCAGUUGAAACUUGCUCGACCUGAAAAACAAUAUAUGUGCUCAAUAAACGAGAGAAUUCUGCAAGUACAGACUGAUAACUGGGAUGCAGCAGGGAUAUUGUUUUUUCAUCGUGAUAAUAAGAGCAUGCACUUGUUUCGAAAAAUUUGGAGAACUGGGAAUUCGAACGGCAGGUGCUUAUGCUACCCAUCGAAUAAAAAUCAGGUGCUUGAAAAUUUGUUUUGAAACAAAUGAUUCAGCUUUAUAUCCACGUCGACCCUCGGCAUGAUGGUUGGAAGCAAAUGCCAAGUUCAUACCAAAAGAUCGUUAACAACAAUACCAACUUGCGGACGACAAGGUAGUACAAGUACCAAUACCAAACUAACUUAUAAUCUUUUUACUCCUGGCCCUAGUGUUCGUCUGGUAGAAAAUCUUGCAGAGGACCAGCUCCCGCUCCUUCUCUUGCUCCAGGUCCCCGAGGUGGUACUGGUGCAUCACCCAGUUGGUCCUCUGCUGGUCGAAGUUCUUGUUGGUGUGCAGCACCAGAAUCUUUUUGCUGCCCAUCUGCCGGCCGUUGACCAUCACCGGCAAGGUAUUGCCGGAGUUGUGCCACAUCACGUGCAUGCCGCACUCCGACUGUAUCUUGCGACGCGUCCACGUGCCCCUUUUGUACGCCCUGGAAUUGCGCUAGAAGAAAUGCUUGCUUAGGCCACUCAGUGUGAUACCUGCAGUAUUGUCGAAUACAGGUUUUAGUGUACGUAGUUGGCAUUUUCAUAACAUCUUUGGCAUGUUGCAGUCACUUGUUUCACUUUUUAUUAACUGUCAAAUUGUAAUUGCUUCACCAGGUCUGCGUCUAAAAAGAAAAAUAGAGCUAUAAACAAAGGAAUAUGUUUGUGCAAGUAGACGGCCGAUCGGUGUCUUACCUGGAAGUUUCUCAGGUUGGGUGUAGCAUAUGCCAUGCUCGCUAUCGAUGGUUGGUAUGAACAAAUCGAUGAGAGGGUGAGAUCUCGCGCUGUCAGCACUCACUUUGGCCUCAAGGUGCUCGAUCAGCUCCUGAUCCGUGGGAUCGAACUUGAUGCCAGCCGGCAGCACCGGCCAAUCCUUCUUUGACUUGCAUGGGUUAAUUCCAGUUAUAUGGUACUCAAUGUAUGAUCAAUCGACUAUUUUAAGUGAAUGAUGAAAGAUUUCGACAGAUAAGUGGUAAUCCAAAUCUGAAGUCCAGAAUACCCGAACACGCCUGCGGGAUUCUUGUGUCACCUCACGCGCGGCGUGUUGUCACGUCAAUUCAAUGUGUGGACAUGAUGAAUAAUUUGACCGACGUAUACUAGUACUGCUACUGUACUACUUACUAGUCGUAUUUAGUGUCACAUUUUAACCAUAGGUUUAACUAACAAGUACGCACUUGAAGCCUAAGUGAUAUAUAUAUAUACCGCACAUCAUCUCCAUCAUCAUUAUCAGUACAUCCUGCGCAGGUGAGUUAGGAUGCACUUGAUCCCAGAAAGGUAUCUAUCCUUCAAACCAGAUGAGUGCUUCAAACUAACAACAAUACAUAAUAUCCAACAAAAGAGGGUCGUGCUACAGCAGCAUAAUCCAUGGCUCAGUCUACAUAUCAGUACGAAUCAAGUUGUGCAUAUUUGCUGUUGCCAUGAACCACAUCGCCGCAUGUCGGGUUUGCAAAAGCCAUCCAUCGCAUGGAAGCUUGAUGCCUUUCACACAUUGAAGAUUAUCUGGCAACAAGCUGUGUCGGCGAAUCUCUAGAUAUGGUGAUUCAUGAAACCCAUGGUAUGAUGUGUAAACACAGUCCCCCCUGGCGAAUGGAAGUUGCAUAGCACGGUAAUCAUCGCCAGUGAUAUGAUCGAUGAUUGGUUGGAUGAUCGGAUAAUUGAGCCCAAGGAACAUGGAGUGGUUGCCGAGGCUGUAAACCCUCCUCCAGUUGAAUACGCCUGGCCCAACGGAGCUGGGAUCUUUCUCGAACACGAAGCAGCCAUAGCCAUCAAUGUCACGAACGCCCCAGGCAUUGUACUGCAUGUGGUUUGAUGAAAUGGUUUGGUCAAUUUUGUACGUGCAAAUGAGCAUCAAAUGACCACCGUCAGCUGAACGAGCGAUAAACCACCACCCAUCGGCUGGUAUGGUUCCAGGUCCUGGAAUCAUGAAGGCCAGCACAUUUGCGUCAGCUGCAACAAUUCAAAUUGGAGACCAAAAGGACAAAAAUAAACAAUCAUGUUCAGAGUAUGUGUGGAAUUAAGAUUAUUAUAACAGUAACACAUAUCAUAGACAGAGAAUUGCAAUGCCGUGGUCAUAAUCAUACCCCAAGUUAAAAAAAAGAAGCCAACAGCUUUCAUAUUCUAGCAAUAUAUCAUGGUUCAAACAUCAUGUAACAAUGAGAGGAAAACAGAUAUGAUAGGGCCUACUCAUAUUCUACCAUAGCACUUACUACGGUUAUCAUAUCAACUCUAAGCAAUAACAUGCGUUGUUAUAAAAAUCCUGGAAAUGAGAGUAACAUAUAGCAAUUAUGAGGUUAUACUCAUAAUAUCUAUUCUAACAAUCAUUAGAUACCAAUUGUUCUCAUAUCAACUCUAACAAUAAUAUGUGUGGUCAUAAAAAUCUAGGAAAUGAGAGGAACAUAUAGCAAUGAUGUGGUUAUAGACAUACUAUAUAUUCUAAAUUUGUAACAAUGAACAGGCAGUCGUAUUCUUAAGGUAAAGAUGAGAUGAGAUAGAACAAUUACACGACGAUAGAUUCCACCAGUAUAGGCAGCCAAUCUGUGCGCCGACUGCAUAAACGAUGCCAUCGUGCACUAUAGCAUCAGACAGAAGUGUUGGGUAAAGAGGAUCGACGAUGAGCCAUAACCAUGUAUGGUGACCGGAUUCCAGAUAGACUAAUCCCAUGUUGAACACGGCAAUGAGCUUGUAAUCCAUGUAGUCUUCUGAUGGUAUGGGCACUUCGCAGAUUACAACCUUCAGCAAAUAGAGGUCGAGCCAAAAGCUCGACGCGUCUCGUGCGUAGUAGGCAGGAGUGUCCGGCGGGCCGCGAGGCUCGAUGGCAGCGGUAUCCAAAGAUGGAAGGGUGAUCUCUCGUUGGGUGUAGAUAUCCACGAGACGCCACGGACUACCGGAUUGGUGGAUGAGGACGAUCCAGUUGGCCUUCAUGCCCGCCCAGUAGUGGCUGCGCAUGAAAGACAGGUGGACGGGUAGUGGUAGCAUGUCGAGGGGCACCACGACAACCUCCGUAGGAUCGUCAAGUCGUUGUCUGGGCCACCUGCGAGGAUCGGGCAUCAGCAAGCAGGGUGUCUUGAAAAGAGCCGGCCGAUUGCAGACGAGUAGAUGGUACAGAGACACCGAGCAUGCGGCCAGACGGACGAUGCUGAGUAGGUCCAUACGAUUACAGAUCUGCUCCAAGAGAACAUCGGGGAGGGAAUUCCAAUCGUGGCUCUGUGUGUCAGUCGGUUCUGCCAUUGGGGUUUUUGGUGCCUGCGAGCCAGCGGGGAAGUGGAUUCGGGCGGGCGAGCAAAGAAGCUUCUCCUCGUGUGGCCGAGCAGUGAGCGGGGGGAUAUGGUACGCGCGAGCUACCAAGGAAGAUAGCGUGGGAGGGCGAGCAGUGAGCGGGGGGAAAUGGUGUGCGGCCGGCGAUGGGGAAGAGAGGAGGAAGAAGAGUGGAAGACGGGGAAGAAAGUGCAUUAAAUCUCAAUUCUACUACUACUACCAGGAUAUACCGUCCUUCGGAGUGUAAAUAGUUACACCGAUGACAUGUGGGUCUACCACAAGAGGGCCCAUAUGUCAGUUAAUGGAGGACAGAAGCGUGCUCUACUGGCAAACAUGAUGGCAGUACUGGGUAAGGCUGAUUUAGUAACACCAACACGCUGGUUCAACUUAUUAAUUAAGUGUCCCAUCUGCUGCAGCGUGUAUUGUCACUUCACUGCGAAGACUAGUUGAAUAGUUCUCUCUGACCGAGAUGGGGAAUAAUGGAUCGCGAAGACUUCCUUUCUACAUUAUCCCUAUGCCUCUACGCUCACUUCACUCAUUUUGCUCCGUACGUAGUCACUUGUUGAAAUCUCUAGAAAGACAAAUACUCCGUAUUUGGGAACAGAGGGAGGAUUUUACUCCAUAUUUGGGAACAAAGGGAGGAUUUUACUCCGUAUUUGGGAACAGAGGGAGUAUCACCAUAUGGAGGGAACAGAGGAAGCUUGAAAUAUGAACAUGUCAAUGGGAGGGAGUAAGCCCCAUGCAUGCAUGCACGCAACAUGCAACACUCACACGUACACAUGGACGCAUGCAACACUCACGCACCCAUGCGGCACACAGCACACAACGCAACACACACGCUCACUCUCAAGUGCUCAACCUACUCCCUACAUCCGUGAAAGACUAUACAUAUAGAGAUUUACACAUUGACCAGGGCAUAAUUAACGCCCAAAAGUAGCAGACUUAUGUGUGCAUGCGACCAUUGAGAGAAGAAGAUUAAAUGAAGGUCGUUGCAUGCUGUAAUUAAGGAUAGACAUAGCCUAUACCUAGAGCACAAGUUGGUGCAUUAGUCAAUCAAUAUCGAUUUAGAUUAAAGGCUAAAUGCAUUGGAAGUGUAGAUGUACUACACUCUUUGUUUUUUAGCUGAUUUCUUUGCUCUGCCAACUGACAAGUGGGACCCAGAAACCAGGUGACAAUUUAACCAGUCAACAAAGUGCCACGUCGACUAUGUGGCCGGUCAGUAGGGUGCAAUACGGUUCUCUACGAUGAGCUAGUGAUCAUAUAAUCACCGCAAAACUAUAUAUAGUGACCGUAAAGAGCGUAUUGUUACAUACGUUGACCGCCAGUGUAUUUUUCUCGUUUCAAAUUAAGCCAUAUUAACCGGAAAGGACGCAGUAUGGACUAGUACUAGUACUGCUUUGAUGUGUCCUGUCAACUCGCCGAACAAGGAGAAGCUUGCUUACUAUGCCUCUCCCUCGCCCACGCGUGCGGUGGUUCGCAGGACGAGGAGAGGGUUUUGACUAUAUCGCCCUCUCCCUCACCCUCGCCCUCGCGGUGGACGUGCAGCAGUUCAAUCGGUGUCAGAUUGCCAAAAGCAUAAUGUGUACUGUAGUAUCAUCAUUGUUGGACCUUCCGAAGAGGCGAAGAGCCAAGUGCAAGGUUCACACGAGUACGAACUGUUGAACCUCCCGAAGAGGCAAAGAGCCAAGCGCAAGGUUUUAUAGGAUUUGUCGUCCUAGUAGGAGCGUACUACAACUAUAGCGAACGAUGCUACUGUAUGAUGCCGCCACAUCACGUAUAUCCAAAGCUGUGCCACCUUUUUUUCUCAAAGAGCGCGUUGGAGCCCGUGCAACAACCACACAAGUUGCACGUACACAUAACACAUUUGCUAGUUAUAAAUUCUAAAGGAUAAAUGCCAGUAUGCCACACAAGUUCAUCUCCAAUUCAUGUGAUAAAUUUGUGCACGACUAGUCUACAUAUAUUCACAGCGCUACCGUUCACAAUUUACCGUACUCCACUUACACGUUAUAGAUGGGCUACAUGUCCUCCUCCAGGUUCUAGUCCCAGGUGUUCUUCAUGGAUGGCACGAUCCAUAGCGGUGGGCAACGGGAAUCAUUGUCGCAGCUUUCUAGUCCGGUUCCACACGAUGGAGACUCAUCCAAGCUGAAGCGGCAUAAAUCAGGGAUAGCGUGUCCCAGCAUGUCGUUCAUCCGGCGGUGCACACUGAAGACACAACCAUGCUUCAUGAACGACCAACCUACUCAGCCGCUCCUCUCACGCACACACUAGCAGCCUGUUUAUCAGCGACGGUUACUGCGGGGGCAGAACAUUUGAGUUAUUUGAUACAACGAGACUAGGCUUUUCGCUUCCAUUCGUGGAGGUGUAAUGAUUCUCGUCGAACUUUGUUAGUAGUUCCUUCUUUAUGAAUGAGAUGAAGCAAAGCUUUUGCCUCCGUUUCAAAAAAAACACGUCAAGAGGAAUUUCUUUUAUAGUAGAGCCGAUAAUGGAGUGAAGUCCAUGCGUGCAACGCCACAAGCUACAGAGUAGUAGUAGAGCACUUUACAUACAUAGCCAUAUUGCACAGUUCCCAAUGCCCCGCCAGGCUUUUCCGGCUCCUCGGGCUUAAUUGGGAGGCUCUAGUUUAAAUAUGCUACUAGCUGAUGAGGAAGCUGCAAGCGAGGUGCGGCUAGGGCGAGCACGCGAGCCACGAGAUGCUGGGAAGGAAAACCCGUUCACGUGGCUAGGCUAUCCAGUGCACCCAGAUUGUGGUGCCACACGUUCGUUUGACUUCAAAACUCAAACUACCCGUGUAAAAUAUUGGCUCGUAGCGAAGUUACUAUUUAAAAAAAGGCCGCCGUGCGUUCGGCCGGGAUCGAACCCACAAAACGAGGUAUACACUCCCGCGACCACUAGUAGUACUCAUUGGAGUACAACACAACCUAGAAUCGCCUUUUGUCGCUAGUAGUACAUUGUUCCUUACAAGAAACCCCUAAUAAUGCAAGAAACCACUAAUAAUGCCAAGAAACUACUACCACUUGCAUACGUGGCAGACUUAAGAUAAGACUACCUUAUCAACCAUUGUACAUGCUCUUACCAACCAGCCCUACCAAGAAACAACUACUCUACAAAGUGCCGUUAUAGGCACGUUUCAACCCAUGGCCCUGUUUGGAUACAUUUGUUGUCAAUCUAACCCUGCCAUCCAAACACCACUUUAGUUAGAGUUAGUUCAGGGUUAGAACCUAACCUCUGUAUCCAAACAGGGCCCAUGUCGCCCAUUAAGUCAAUGCCUUCUAUUCGACCGGGCGUUAUGACUUGUGGGACCUACAUGUCAGUCUGCACAAAAAUCCCCGAGUGACCUCCUACCUCCGGCCCGUCCACCUAGUCAUCCUCGGCCAUGGGACGCAGCUACCGCCGCCGGCAGAAGGCGAGGUCAAAACCGCCGGCGGUGCGGAUCCCAUCUUGCGGCAGCCCGGAUGCCAGCUCCGUCCGGUGCUCGCGGCCGCUAGCUAGCCAAGAUAGCUCCGUCCAGCUGCUUGUCUGCAAGGUUUGCUAGCUAGAUUGGCACGGCGGCGUGGCGGCUUGCUCGUGCGCGCCGCGCUAAGGCCAGCCAUCUGGCUCGAGCGAAGGCCAGCGCGCGGCUUGCUCGCUCGUGAGUCAUGCUCGGACCAGCCUGCCAACCCGUGCGGAGGCCAGCGCGGCGUCCGGCCCAUCCGACGGAGCGGCGGCCAACUCGCUCAUCACCGGCGCCACCGACGAACACGCACCAGUACUGUUUGAAGUAAUGUUCAGGAAAAAUAAUGAUUUGAGGGGGAAUAACAGGAUAGAAGGUCAGAUGUGGGUCCCUCGUGUCAACGGUCAAACAAAAUGUGUUGGUUUAAGCUGCCUCGUCAGCACGGACGUGUGGGCCAACCCUGUCAUAAAUGGGUUUAAACUAACCUAAUCGGUAGGUAGUAGUUUUUGGCGUGGAUUAAGAAAUUUUGGAUAUGUUUUUGCUAUUUUUUGUACAAUAGAUUCUUCCUAGAGCUGGUUGAAAGUGGUAGUUUUUUGUUAAAUACUCUACAUAUUGUAAGUAGGAGUGAAAGUUAAGCUUUGGAACCCAAUAAGCAAGGCUAGUUACAUAGUGCAUAUGUGUACAUGAUUGAAAGUAAAUAUCAACCAUGAGUGACUAAUAUCUUGAUGGAAAACUCGAAACUAUGGAAUACUAGGGAAAAAAUUGCAUGGUUGGAAAUACUAGCAAUGUUCAUGUGCAUUGCAACGAAUCAUAAUUAGAAUAAUACUUAUUCAAAAACUUGAUACAAAACACUCUAAUUUUGAUAUACAUAUAUCACUAGAGAUAUAUUAUGUUUCAAUUAGAAUAUAUUCCUUGGGCUGUUUUGGUGAGGUCAGGGAGGGAUGUGGUUGGUUUUAAGAUACUAAUUAUGGGUUUUCUGCAAAUUGGUAGACAAGUGGGAUGUUUGUAAGAAAAGGCAACAACUUACCUCACGGUCGUUAGAUGUAGAUCUAAUGGUCACAAACGACGGAUGGCAGACACACCAUCAUCACCAACUUAGUCUUCUGUACGAGUACUAGCAAGAUCCGUGCAUUGCACGGAACAUCAAGAUGCAUUUUUUUAUAAAAACACUCGUUGUGAUUGACCCAUGCGGGAGUAAUCCCAUGUGUAAAAACUAAUGAUAUCUCGAGAAAUAGGAGAUAAGGUGAAGAGGAGUGGGGCGUGGUGGUGAUUGGUGGUCGGACUGAGCGGAGGCAUGGGGAUUGACGACGUCGGCAGCGGCCACCAGGCCAGUUUGUUCCAGAGGCUUCCUUUCUUAAUUGCUCAACAAUGAGGUUGUUGGAGAUAAGGAUGAACGAGGGAAGGCCUUGUCUGCAAAUGUGGAGAGGGGUGCGGGUAUCUUUUAGUUUAAUUUCCAUCAGUCAGAUAUAGAUCGGACGGUCUAUAUUGCAAGAUGGCACGCGUACCAUCAUCACCAACUCGGUUUUUUAUAAGAGAAGAAAUAUAAGUAUGGAGAUACAAACGUAUUAUCGAUACUUGUUUCCGUAAACUAGCAUCUACAUUCUAUUCAAUGCCUCAGCAUGUGAGGCCUUAGCACAAUGACUUCUCGACUGUGUAAAACAAAGGUUUUCCCGUCGCCGAUAAGGAGGGGGUGACGGCGGCGCGCUUUUUGGCUUGCUCUAGUCCUAGUAGUCAUACUAGGUAGUCUAAGCACGUGUAGAUUUAUUCUUUUUCACGUCUCGUGUUCACCGUACUGCCACGACUGUUGAUGAAUAGACGGUAAAUUAUUCACGAGGAAACCCUUGUUGAGCAUGUUUGCGAGAGAGAGAGAGAGAGACAGUGUGCGUGUGUGAUAUGUCUAGAGACUGAGGCAAUGAUAACAUAUUCUUUGUGUCUAUGUGUGUGGAGGAUAGAGAGAGACAUGUACAAGGGGCUUUGUGUUGUGUAACGUGGAGACACAUAUACAUAAUUAGAGAGUGAGUGUGCGAGAUACACAUGCGGACAUGGGGAGAGAUGAGGAUCCAGAUUAAUGGGUGUUUGUGCAUGUCUGUGUGUGUUUGUGCGCGCGUUUGUGUGUGAGAGGGAGUGUGUGUAUGUGGAGUAGAGAGACCACUAAUGAUGUAAACCUAGUAUAAGGGAAGGGUGAGGGAGUCCUGGACUAAGGGGUCCUCGGGCGUCCGGCCUGUUAUCUGUUGGGCCGGACUGAUGGGCUAUGAAGACAUGAAGGCUGAAGACUAUACCCGUGUCCGGAUUGGACUCUACUUGGCGUGGAAGGCAAGCUAGGCGACCGAUUAUGAAGAUUUCCUCCUAUGUAACCGACUCCAUGUAACCCUAGAUCUCUCCGGUGUCUAUAUAAACCGGAGGGCAUUGUCCGGAUAGGACAGAUUCAUUACCAUAUACUCAUAGGCUAGACUUCUAGGGUUUAGCCAUUACGAUCUCGUGGUAGAUCAACUCUUGUAACACUCAUAUUCAUCAAGAUCAAUCAAGCAAGAAGUAGGGUAUUACCUCCAUAGAGAGGGCCCAAACCUGGGUAAACAUUGUGUCCCCCGUCUCUUGUUACCAUUGAUCCUAGACGCACAGUUCGGGACCCCCUACCCGAGAUCCGCCGGUUUUGACACCGACAUUGGUGCUUUCAUUGAGAGUUCCACUGUGCCGUCGACAUAAGGCUCGAUGGCCCCUUCAAUCGUCGGUAAUGGCGUUGUUCGGGGAGAAACCUUUCUCCCCGGACAGAUUUUUGUAUUCGGCGGCUUCGUACUAUAGGCCAACUCACUUGGCCAUCUAGAGCAGGUCGAUAGCUACGCCCCUGGCCAUCAGGUCAGAUUUGGAAGCUUGAACUACGUCAUGGACAUCCGUGGAGACUUGAUCUUCGAUGGAUUUGAGACCACGGCGAUCUCUCCCCUUCUCUCCGAUGAACAUGACUCAAAUCUGUCACCGGAGCACACCCAGGAGAUGGAUCCUGUUGUUGCAACGGCCCCAGUACCUAAGCAGAUAUCCCCUCCGAGGCCAUAAAGUCCGCGGCGUUGGAGCCGCACACGGACUCGACAUCCUGCAAUGCUUGCGUCAAUGGAACUCCGGACUCGUGUCCGGCUACACGUCCCGGAUCAAGUGCGCUUGCGGACACCGAGCUGGAUCAGUUAUCAAUUUUCGAAUUUAGCGCCGCAGACAUCUUCCAGCGUCCGCCUUUGGGUGAUGUACUAAAUUCUUUGAAGAACUUGUCCUUGGAGGGUGACUCACAGCCGAACUAUGUUCGGUUCGAGUUAGAAGCGGACGACGAGGAAUUUUGCUUCCACCCGCCACCCACUUCAUAGCCACUGUCGACGACUUAACCGACGUGCUUGACUAUGGCUCCGAAGACAUCACUGGUAUGGACGACGAUGCCGACAAUGAGCAAGGCCAAGACCCACCAUUCACUGGACGUUGGACGGCCACCUCUUCGUACGACGUGUACAUGGUUGAUACACCCAAAGGAUCUGGCGACGACAAAGAAGAGCCGGAUAAGAACAAACCCUCCGAGACGCAGUCCAAGCGCCGCCGCCCCAAACACCGUUCUAAGCCUCGUCGCUCAAAGGAUGGCAACACCGGCACCGGAGAAAAUAGUACUCCGGGCGACGCCGAAGACAAUGACCCUGUCGGCGCUGCAUCCGAACAGGAGGAACAUGACAACACGCAAGACAACCCUGAUGAACAGGCCAUAGAAGAUAACUCGGAGGACGAUAGUUACCAUCCACCCUCCGAAGAGGAGACAAGCCUCGGCAAUGAAGACUUCAUCGUGCCGGAGGACCCUCUGGAGCAGGAGCGCUUUAAGGUUCAGCUCAUAGCCACUGCAAGGAGCUUGAAAAAGAAACAGCAGCAGCUUCAAGCCGAACAAGAUCUGCUCGUCGACAGAUGGACUGACGUCCUGACAGCAGAAGAAUACGGCCUCAAGCACCCAGCCAAGAGCUACCCGAAAUGCAGACUGCUACCCCAAUUCGAUGAGGAGGCACCAGAGCACAUAUCUCCCUCGCGUAAGGCGGAACGACCACCAUGUGGUCGAGACAGGGCGGCCGACCGGCCACCACGCGGUCGGGAUAAAGCGGCAACUCAGGCCGAGCAGCAGCCUGCCCAACCGCCCCGCAAAAAUAAAGUCAGAAGAGUUCGGGGUCACACGUAUGACCUCCGGCAGACCCUGGACAAGAGAGCAGGACAUACAAGAUCGAUCUACGGAUCGCGAGGACGGCUACCUAUUCGGACGUGACAAACCUAACCACGUCCGGUCCGAAUGCCGCAGCGACACGGCCCGGUACAGAGGUGCCGCACACCCUCUCUGCUUCACAGACGAGGUACUGGACCACGAAUUCCCCGAGGGAUUCAAGCCCGUCAAUAUCGAAUCAUACGACGGCACAAUCGAUCCCGCAGUAUGGAUCGAGGAUUUCAUUCUCCACAUUCAUAUGGCUCGAGGAGAUGACCUCCACGCCAUUAAAUACCUCCCACUCAAGCUCAAAGGGCCAGCUCGGCACUGGCUUAACAGCCUACCUGAAAAUUCUAUCGGCAGCUGGGAGGACUUGGAAGAAGCUUUCCUAGACAACUUCCAAGGAACCUAUGUCCAGCCACCAGACGCUGAUGACUUAAGCCACAUAGUUCAACAACCCAGAGAAUCAGCCAGAAAAUUCUGGACUAGGUUCCUAACCAAAAAGAACCAGAUCGUCGACUGUCCGGAUGCCGAAGCCCUAGCGGCCUUUAAGCAUAGUAUCCGGGACGAAUGGCUCGCCCGCCACCUCGGCUAAGAAAAACCGAAGUCCAUGGCAGCCCUGACAGCACUUAUGACCCGCUUUUGCGCGGGGGAAGAUAGUUGGCUGGCCCGCAGUACAAAUACGGCCAACGAAAUGAGUCCCUCCGAGGCCAAAAAUAGCGCCGGCAACCUCCGGCGCAACAGAAACAAACGCCGAAGCAAUGGCGAUAACACCGAUGACACAACAGUUCACGCCGGAUUCAGUGGCUCUAAGUCCGGCCAACGAAAGAAGCCCUAUAAAAGGAGCAAUAGAAAACCAUCCAGCUUGGACCGCAUACUUGAUCGUCCUUGACAAAUACAUGGUACCCCAGACAAACCAGCCAGCCAUACUAAAAGAGAUUGCCGGGUCUUUAAACAAGCCAGCAAAGUAAAUAACAGAAGCAAAGAAGGGGAAUCAUAGAGCAAAGACGACGACGAAGAGCCCUGGCAGCCGAACACUGGGGGGCAGAAGAAAUUCCCCCCCCAAAUCAAAACGGUGAACAUGAUAUACACUACACACAUCCCCAAAAGGGAGCGCAAGCGAGCACUCAGGGACGUCUACGCGGUAGAGCCAGUCGCCCCACAGUUCAAUCCGUGGUCAUCAUUCCCAAUCACUUUCGAUCAACGAGACCACCCAACUAGCAUCCAGCAUGGCGGUUCAGCCGCACUUGUCCUCGAUCCAAUCAUCGACGGAUUUCACCUAACUUGAGUCCUAAUGGACGGCGGUAGCAGCCUCAACCUGCUCUAUCAGGACACAGUACGUAAAAUGAGCAUUGACCCUUCACGAGUCAAGCCCACGAAGACUACCUUUAAAGGAGUCAUACCAGGCGUAGAGGCCCGUUGUACGGGCUCAAUAACGCUGGAAGUAGUACUCGGUUCUCCGGAUAACUUCCGAAGCGAAGAGCUAACCUUCGAUAUCAUCCCAUUUCGCAGCAGCUAUCACGCACUGCUCGGAUGAACCGCAUUCGCUAGAUUCAACGUGGUGCCACAUUAUGCUUAUCUCAAGCUCAAGAUGCCCGGACCACGUGGCGUCAUUAUAGUAAAUGGAAUCACGGAACGCUCCCUCCGAACAGAGGAGCACACUACCGCCCUAGCAGCAGAAGUACAACGUGGCCUUCUCAAGCAGCACUACAAUCCGGUUGCCGAGCCCCUGGACAGCAUUAAGAGGGUCCGAACUAUACUGCAGCAGGACAGCUCAGCUCGUCACGGGCCAAAAUAGCAAAAUUCGGCCUCCGUCCAAGCCCAGACGAGGCAAUGGUAUUAGCACCGCGAGCACAUAAGCUACGCACUCAUGGGUACUAACGGAGGCACAACUUGCUCACAAUCCACAGUACGGCUUGAUAGACCCUGGGAUUCGCACGCUACUACUUUUUCUUUGUACAAGUCUUCUUCUCUUCUCAAGGGCUAUACGGACGACCUGCUUGCAGAACACUCCAAGGAAGCAAGGAGCUCCGGCGUACUAAAGAACCCCCAGGUGGUUUCUAAUAAAUGAUUCAUCUACUUGUUUUACAUACCCGCAUGCAGCCCGCCCUUGGUUACGGCAUUUUCAAUAGCCUUACUUGCUUAUUGCAUUACUUGUACAAAGUACGCCUUGACGUACCGAUCACAUAACAACGGUGAAUAAAUAGUGGCAUCAGCCCAUUACUUCAUUUUUUCCGUUCCCUCAACUCAGUAUUUAUUACUCACUGCACACGUACACCAUGGUACGUACUAAUACACCAGGGGCUUAAUUACGCCCCGCAUCACGGCAAUAAAAGUCUGAACACUUUUACAGUACAAUUCGGCACCCCGAACUUAUAGCAUUAUAUGCAUUGGCUCCGAAUCAUGUCUUUGGUCAAUAGUUGGGUUGCCCGGCUCCUGUGCUUACUACCUUACGUUCCGCUAUAUCGGCUAGGGUAGUGAAGGGAGAACUACUACGAUUGUGUCCCGGUUCUUCCGGACGAGCACCUUAGUAGAGAAAGUCGAAAACUGACUGUCAUGAUGCGGUGAGAGCCGGUCAGCUGUUCGUGAGGUUCCAAAUCGUUGGAGAUUUUCCUCGCUUCUUGCGAAGAAUCGGUUCUUCCGAUUAGGCGUGUAUAGCGCCCCUAAUUCGGCCUUCCGAACACCAGGGGCUUCGCCGACUUCAUUAAUUGUCAAACUCCUAUGGCUAAGUGGGGGCGUUAAAGGCCGCAUAGUCUGAUUGCCUUGUUCGCUGCGCUAAACACCUCCUUUAAGGACCAGAAUGUGGAGUAAAGAGUGUUUAGAUUUAUCCUGAACACCCCCGUACUAUCUACGUGGGGGCAGAAGCCGACGACUGGUCAUCCCUCAGAUUUAACAAACGGCCGCAUAGGAGGUAAAAUUAAAAAAUCACAUAGAUAACAUCUUCGUUCCAUAUUACAGGGCAAGAUAAUACACAUGUUCUUACGGGAAUAUAAUAUCCUUCGAACAUUGCUCCGCCGCAAGGCGGGACCCCUCCAGGACACCAUCAAAAUAAUGCUCGGGUCGACGAUGCUCCUUGCCCUCCGGCGAUCCCUCGAUCGUCAGCUUCUUGGCAUCCAGCUUCGCCCAAUGCGUCUUGACGCGGGCAAAGGCCAUGCGCGCACCUUCAAUGCAGACCGACCGCUUUACGGCUUCGAGCCGCGGACAGGCACUCACAAGCCGCUCACAAGUCCGAAGUAGCUGCCAGGCAUUGGAUCGGUAGGCCACAGCCGGACUAUAAAUUCCCUCAUGGAUAGCUCUGCCAACCUGUGCAGCUCGACCAACUGCUUUAGCUGGUCGCUGAAGGGCACCGGAUGUUCGGAUCCCAGAUAUUGGGACCAGAACAGCUUCUCCGUAGACAUCCCUUCCUCGGCUCUAUAAUGCUCGGCCGCAUCCGAUGCACUAUGCGGCAGACUUGUAAAUGCCCCUGGAAAACCAAAAAUAAAGGAUAAGUACAAGGGACGUUGCUUCUACACGCCCGCUCUGCAUGGUGAAGAACUUACCCGACGCAAUCUUCUGGGCCAUCUCGACUUCUUGGAGGGCGCCCUGGGCUUCGGCUCGUGCAUCCUGUGCACUCUGGCGAGCCUUCAUCAAUUCGGACUCUUGCGCCUUACAAUCGCGCUCCAGGGCCUCAAAUCUCUCUAUCGCGCCCUGGAGCUGUUGCUGCGCCUCGCCAACCCGGGCCUCGUGCUUUUCGCGCAAAACACGCUCUUUGGCCGCUUUGUCCUCGGCCUCGGCUAGCACCUUCUUCAGGGUUGCCACCUCGACCGUGGCCCCUAGUAAAGUUUAUGAUGUUUUAGACAAGUCGGACUACUCAUUUUUUUCGAAAUGUACCUACAGGUUAUUGCAUACCUUGGCUGUCCUCCAACUGCUUCUUCACAUGGCCGAGCUCCUCCUCGGCCCGCUCUAGUUUCUGCUUCAGUCCUGAGACCUCCGCAGCAUGAGCAGUGGUAGCCUGCAGGGAUACCUGCUUAUUCACAUAGACAACUCACGUUAGACUCCUGCAAUUUUUUGAUCCUCUGUUCGGCUUUUCUUCCCGAACACCAAACAGAGUAUCAGGGGCUACUGUCUACACUGUGAUACUUUUCCUCCAAUCACAUUACUUACCUCAAAGCCUGUUAGAAGGCUAGUGCAGGCUUUGGUCAGUCCGCUUUUAACGAGCUGAACCUUCUCUACUACCAUGUCCAUAAGGACACGAUGUUCAUCCACGAUAGAGGCGCCUCGUAGCGCCUCCAGCAGAUUGUCCGGUGCCUCUGGCUGGACAGAGGUCACCGGUGGAACGGGCACACUCCCUCCUCGCGGGGAGUGCUGUUCGCUGGACCUCGGAGAUGUGUAGAUCUCCGGAAGGGUAUCCAGCUGAGGGCCGAAGGAAACUCGGGCCCCAUCACCAGUCCCCAUGGGGGCUUUCUCCCCCAUGUGUCCGGCGUCCGAGGAGUCAUCCUGGGGCGUCACCCCGAUGAUCUCCGGAACCCCCCGGCCUGGGAAGGUCUUUUUGGACACCACCUCGUCAUCACCCUUGGGUGAGAGGGAAUGAGAAGGUGGCGGAGACAUGCUAGCCAUCUCCUCCGUGUUUAGCGAAUCCUCUGUCGAGGAUCGCGGAGAGCCAUCGCGCACCGGACUGCAAGGACAAGGUUUACAAUAUGUCAAUAUCACAAACCAGAAAGGCCAGAUAUUCGCAAAUUCUGAUACUUACGAAGCGGCCCGAGGCUUGGUCCGGCAAGGCCGUUCCGGACUGCUGUCGACAUCCCAUGCGGAACUAUCCGCGAGGGAGCCUCUAACCCUCUUAGGCGUUUUCGCCUCCGGGCUUGCGGGGGCCGCUCUCUUCUUCCUUCCCGCUUCAGGUGGGGAGUCGUUUUCUUCUUCCUCGUCAUCGUCAUCGUCAGAGGACGAAGAGGAAGUCUCGCUUCCGGAUGUCUCGUCCGGAACGCUUCUCCGGCGAAGGCCCUUCUGGGCCCCUUGGGCCGCCUUCUUAGCCGUCUUCUCCGGCACCUCAUAAGGUGCAGGGAACAACAUCUUCUCCAAUAAUGGAAAUUCCUGGUCCUCGGGUAGCGGAGCCGGACAGUUAAUCUUCUCGGGCAACUUAAUCCAGGCCUGAAAAUAGGGGAAGGAAGCUUAAAUUUCCCCUCAAAAUAUGCUAGUAGGGGAUACUCCUUGAAAACAUUAAAGGAACUGACCGGGUUGGGCUGGCGCUUUAAGCUAAGCCCGCGGUCUUCGGUCACAGUUGGUGUGAUGUCUACUACACAACCUUCUUCUUGUAGAUGUUGUUGGGCCUCCAAGUGCAGAGGUUCGUAGGACAGUAGCUAAUUUCCCUCAAGUGGAUGACCUAAGGUUUAUCAAUCCGUGGGAGGCAUAGGAUGAAGAUGGUCUCUCUCAAGCAACCCUGCAACCAAAUAACAAAGAGUCUCUUGUGUCACCAACACACCCAAUACGAUGGUAAAUUGUAUAGGUGCACUAGUUCGGCGAAGAGAUGGUGAUACAAGUGCAAUAUGGAUGGUAGAUAUAGGUUUUGUAAUCUGAAAAUAUAAAAACAGCAAGGUAACUAAUGAUAAAAGUGAGCUAGGAAACAAGGCCUAGGGUUCAUACUUUCACUAGUGCAAGUUAUCUCAACAAUAAUAACAUAAUUGGAUCAUAUAACUAUCCCUCAACAUGCAACAAAGAAUCACUCCAAAGUCACUAAUAGCGGAGAACAAAUGAAGAGAUUAUGGUAGGGUAUGAAACCACCUCAAAGUUAUUCUUUCCAAUCAAUCCGUUGGGCUAUUCCUAUAAGUGUCACAAACAACCCUAGAGUUCGUACUAGAAUAACACCUUAAGACACAAAUCAACCAAAACCCUAAUGUCACCUAGAUAUCCAAUGUCACCUCAAGUAUCCGUGGGUCUGAUUAUACGAUAUGCAUCACACAAUCUCAGAUUCAUCUGUUCAACCAACACAUAGAACCUCAAAGAGUGCCCAAAAGUUUCUACCGGAGAAUCAAGACGAAAACGUGUGCCAACCUCUAUCAUAGGUUCAUGGGCGGAACCCGCAAGUUGAUCACCAAACCAUACAUCAAGUGAAUCACGUGAUAUCCCAUUGUCACCACAGAUACGCACGGCAAGACAUACAUCAAGUGUUGUCAAAUCAUUAAAGACUCAAUCUGAUAAGAUAACUUCAAAGGAAAAACUCAAUCCAUUACAAGAGAGUAGAGGGGGAGAAGCAACAUACGAUCCAACUAUAAUAGCAAAGCUCGCAAUACAUCAAGCUCGUGCCAAAUCAAGAACACGAGAGAGAGAGAGAGAUCAAACACAUAGCUACUGGUACAUACCCUCAGCCCCGAGGGUGAACUACUCCCUCCUCGUCAUGGAGAGCGCCGGGAUGAUGAAGAUGGACACCGGUGAGGGUUCCCCCUCCGGCAGGGUGUCGGAAUAGGGACCCGAUUGGUUUUUGGUGGCUACAGAGGCUUGCGGCGGAGAAACUCCCGAUCUCUUCUGUUCCCCGAUCAUUUUAGGGUAUAUGGAUAUAUAUAGGCGGAAGAGGUACGUCAGGGGAGCCACGAGGGGCCCACGAGGGUGGAGGGUGCGCCCAGGGGGGUGGGCGCGCCCCCUGCCUCGUGCCUUCCUUGUUGCUUUCUUGACGUGGACUCCAAGUCUCCCGGUUGCUUUCCUUCCAAAAAUAACUUCUCCAGAAGGUUUCAUUCCGUUUCGACUCCGUUUGAUAUUCCUUUUCUUCGAAAUACUGAAACAAGGGAAAAAACAGGAACUGGCAUUGGGCUCUGGGUCAAUAGGUUAGUCCCAAAAAUAAUAUAAAAGUGCAUAGUAAAGCCCAUAAAACAUCCAAGAUGGAUAAUGUAAUAGCAUGAAUACUUCAUAAAUUAUAGAUACGUUGGAGACGUAUCAGCAUCCCCAAGCUUAAUUCCUGCUCGUCCUCGAGUAGGUAAAUGAUAAAAGAAAUAAUUUAUGAAGUGUGUAUGCUAGCAGGUGCACAAGUUUGAUCAAUGAUAAUUUCAAUCACCUUUUCUAGCAUCAUUAUAUGUCAUAACAGUAGCUCAACUCAUAGAACUUUGCAUGAUCAAGUAACAAACUAUUCACAUGUUAAAGUAUAGAACAUAAACUUUCUUGAAAACUAACAAACUAUGUUCUUAGUCAUCAAACAAUUGCAAUUCAUCUUAUUUUCAGGAAGAGUCUAUGUUAGAGCUUUGAUUCAGCAAACUUCACAUACUCAACUAUCAUUUAGUCUUCCAUGGUUGCUACCACUCAAAGCAUAUUUUUAGGACAAAUAGUAUUCAUCGAACACAGAGAAAGAUAGGGGCUUAAUGUUUCGCCUCCCAACCUUUUACCUCAAGGGUAAUGUCAACAAUAAUAAUUCAUGAUCAAAUAUAUUUGAAUGGCCAUAUAUGCUUAGAUCUUUCCAUCACAUGAUGCUUGCCAACUAAAGAGUAGGUUGGAAUGAGAAGGAAUACUAUUGACUCUUGCAUAAAAGUAAAAGAUAGGCCCUUCACAGAGGGAAGUAGGGAUUUGCAGAGGUGCCAGAGCUCGGAGCAAAAACAUAGAUGAAACUAAUUUUGGGAGGUAUGCUUUCAUUGUCAACAUAACGAACAAGAGUUCCCAAUAUCUUCCAUACUACAUACAUUAUAGGCGGUUCCCAAACAGAAAGGUAAAUAUUUUUACUCCCCCUCCACCAACAAUCAUCAAUCCAUGGCUUGCCCAAAACAACGGGUGCCUCCAACUAACAUCAAACCUGGGGGAGUUUUGUUUGCAAUUAUUUUUGAUUUGAUUUCGAUCUUUUGAUCAUGGGACUGGGCAUCCCAGUUACCAGCCAUUUUCUCGUGAAUGAUGAGCGGAAUCCACUCAUCGUGAGAAUAACUCACCUAGCAUGGAAGAUACUGCUAACCCGUAGUCGCUACAUGAGCGAUUCGGGCAUACAAAACAGAUUAUUAUUUGAAGGUUUAGAGUUGGCACAUGCAAAUUUACUUGGAACGGCAGGUAAAUACCGCAUAUAGGUAGAUAUGGUGGACACUCAUGGAAGAAACUUGGUUCAAGAAUUUUGGAUGCACAAGCAGUAUUCCCGCUUAGUACAGAUAUUUUGGCUAGCAAAGGAUUCUAAAUAGCAAGCACCACAUGUUAGAGGAUCCAAAACAAUAUAACUUAUACAAAUAUACCCAAGCAUAACUCAUUAUGUUGUCUUCCUUGUCCAACUUCAACUAAUUUGCUCAGGAUUGAAAAUAAUUAAUGGGGAUCACAAUCAUAGAAGAUGUCCAAGAUAGUAUAUUUAUAUGUGAAAUCUCUCUUCCUUCAAUAUUCUUUCAUGAAUUGUUCAAGUGACCAAUACAAAGUUUGCUAACCUUAAAUAAAUUUACUACCUCUACUUAUUAUAUGUGAAGGCAUUACUCCCCAUGGGAAAGGCAGAUGAAACAUAUAUAAUUUCAGAUUUAUGACAUUCAAAUCAUUCAACCAUUUACUCAUAGGAUAUAAGUGAAGCACACGAGUAAAUGACAAACUACUCCAACAAGAUAUAAGUGAAGAUCAAUGAGUAGUUAAAAUAAUCAUGUAGCUAUGUGAAGACUCUCUAUCAUUUAAGAAUUUCAGAUCUUGGUAUUUUAUUUCAACAGCAAGAAAAACAAAAUAAAAUAAAAUGAUGCUCCAAGCAAAACACAUAUCAUGUGGUGAAUAAAAAUAUAGCUCCAAGUAAAGUUACCGAUGAACGAAGACGAAAGAGGGGAUGCCUUCCGAGGCAUCCCCAAGCUUAGGCUCUUGGUUAUACUUGAAUAUGACCUUGGGGUGCCUUGGGCAUCCCCAAGUUUAGGCUCUUUCCACUCCUUAUUCCAUAGUCCAUCGAAUCUUUACCCGAAACUUGAAAACUUCACAACACAAAACUUAACAGAAAACUCGUGAGCUCCGUUAGUGAAAGAAAACAAAACACCACUUCAUGGUACUGUAAUGAACUAAUUAUUUAUUUAUAUUGGUGUUAAACCUACUUUAUUCCAACUCCUCUAUGGUUUAUAAACUAUUUUACUAGCCAUAGAGUCAUCAAAAUAAGCAAACAACACAUAGAAAACAGAAUCUGUCAAAAACAGAACAGUCUGUAGUAAUCUGUAACUAACGCAAACUUCUGGAACUACAAAAGUUCUAAAAUAAAUUGGUGGACCUAAGGAAUUUUUCUAGUAAUCAUCUGGAAAAAGAAUCAACUAAAUAGCACUCUCCAGUAAAAAGUUUUAGCUAAUCUCGCGAGCGCUAAAGUUUCUGUUUUUUUACAGCAUGAUCAUAAAGACUUCACCCAAGUCUUCCCAAAGGUUCUACUUGGCAAAAACACUAAUUAAAACAUGAAACCACAUGUAAACGGAAGCUAGAUGGAUUAUUUAUUCCUAAACAGAACCAAAAAGCAAGAAACUAAAAUAAAAUUGGGUUGCCUCCCAACAAGCGCUAUCGUUUAACGCCCCUAGCUAGGCAUGAUGAUUUCAAUGAUGCUCGCAUAAAAGAUAAGAAUUGAAACAUAAAGAGAGCAUCAUGAAGAAUAUGACUAGCACAUUUAAGUCUAACCCACUUCCUAUGCAUAGGGAUUUUGUGAGCAAACAACUUAUGGGAACAAUAAUCAACUAGCAUAGGAAGGCAAAACAAGCAUAACUUCAAAACUUUAAGCACAUAGAGAGGAAACUUGAUAUAUUAUUGCAAUUCCUACAGGCAUAUAUUCCUCCCUCAUAAUAAUUUUCAGUAGCAUCAUGAAUGACUUCAACAAUAUAACCAGCACCUAAAGCAUUCUUUUCAUGAUCUACUUGCAUAGAAAUUUUACUACUCUCCACAUAAGCAAAAUUCUUCUCAUUCGGAAUAGUGGGAGUAUCAUAAGAGACUUGAAUACUAUAAAUUGUUUCCACAUUAAAUGAGUAAUGUUCAGAAAAAGGGUAAUCAUAAUCAUGACAAGUUUUAUAAAUAUAAUCACCACUACUUUUUAUAGCAUAAGUUUCAUCACAAUAAUCCUCAUAAGUAGCAACUUUGUUCUCAUCAUAAUCGAUUGAAACCUCUUCCAAGAUAGUGGAAUCAUUACUAAAUAAAGUCAUGACCUCUCCAAAUCCACUUUCAUAAAUAUUAUAAGAUUCAACAUCCUCCAAAAUAGUGGGAUCACUACUUCCUAAAGUUGACACUCUUACAAACCCAGUUUCAUCAAUAUAAUCAUCAUAGGUAGAAGGCAUGCUAUCAUCAUAACAACUUUGCAUAUCAAAACUUGGGAGGCUAAAAAUAUCAUCUUCAUUAAACGUAGCAUCCCCAAGCUUGGGACAAACAUUAAUUGCAGCAAAUAUAUGUUCUCAAAAACAUCAUCUUCAUCAAACAUAGCAUCACCAAGCUUGGGCCUUUUCAUAUCAUAAGCAUAAUCACUCUCAUCAUUAAUAGUAUGGAUAGCACCAAUAGUAUAGCAAUUAUCAUAUUCUUCCAAGCAGGUGCCAAAAAGAUUUUCAAGAUCAUAAGAAGUAUUAUUAUCUUCCCAAUCAUAAUCAUCACAACAAGCAAUAGGCAUAACGAGAUCAUCAUCAAGUGCAUCAUCUUCCACAAUUAUUUUUGAUUCAUUUUCAUGAGGCACAACAAUAAUAGGAGCAACUUUAUUUGGGAGAGAUAUCUUUUUACCUCUCUUCCUUUUUCUUUUCUUCUUCUUCACCACAUCAUGUGUGGGUUCAAUCCUCUUUUUGGAGCUCCUUAUUAAUGAGAUUGGUUGAAUAGAAGGCUCCUCCUCGUUACCUGAUUCAUCAUAAGAAAUAAUAGGAGGAUAUUGGGAAGCCUCUUCCCUUUCAUUAGUAUUCUCUUCAUCCUCUAUUUGUUUUCUUUUCUUUAUGUAAUUGGCAAUAUAAGGAUUUUCAAUGCAAUUCACCGCGUAAUACAUAUAAAUUUCCUCUAGAACAAAAUGAAGAAUUCUAUCAAGGGCAAAUUCUGGAAUAUCCUUAGUUAUACGUUUCAUUUCUUCAUAACCCAAGAGCAAACUAAGUUCAUUAUGAUGUGCAAGGGAAAUCAAGUCAUCACAAUUUUUGGACACGAUACGAUCAUGAAACAAUUUGCAUUGGGUACUGAAAUGAUCACGUUCAUUGCAAAGUUCACAAGUAUGGCUAAGAAAGUUUAAAUUUUCAGCAAACGCAUCUAGCCUUUCUUGCAACCAUUUAGUUUCUAAAUGCUUAUGCCUCUUGCAAUAUCUAUCUUCUCUAUUUGGCGUGUACUUGCAAACCCAAUACACUCCACAAAAUUCACAUGCUUAUAGGAGAUAUUUUCAUCAUGACUAGUGCAAUCAUCAUUAGUACUAUGGAUAUUCAAGGAGUUCAUACUAACAACAUUGCAAUCAUGCUCAUCAUUCAAAGAUUUAGUGCCAAAAUUUUUAAUGCAUUCUUCUUCUAACACUUUGGCACAAUUUUCCUUUCCAUCAUACUCACGAAAGAUAUUAAAAAGAUGAAGCGUAUGAGGCAAACUCAAUUCCAUUUUUUUGUAGUUUUCUUUUAUAAACUAAACUAGUGCUAAAACAAGAAACAAAAAGAUUUGAUUGCAAGAUCUAAAGAUAUACCUUCAGGCACUCACCACCCCGGCAACGGCGCCAGAAACUAGCUUAGUUGACGGGGUGUGAGUGCCGCUUACCUAGCCUCCCGGGCAACGGCGCCAGAAACUGCUUGAUGUCUACUACACAACCUUCUUCUUGUAGACGUUUUUGGGCCUCCAAGUGCGGAGGUUUGUAGGACAGUAGCAAAUUUCCCUCAAGUGGAUGACCUAAGGUUUAUCAAUCCGUGGGAGGCAUAGGAUGAAGAUGUUCUCUCUCAAGCAACCCUGCAACCAAAUAACAAAGAGUCUCUUGUGUCCCCAACACACCCAAUACAAUGGUAAAUUGUAUAGGUGCACUAGUUCGGCGAAGAGAUGGUGAUACAAGUGCAAUAUAGAUGGUAGAUAUAGGUUUUUGUAAUCUGAAAAUAUAAAAACAGCAAGGUAACUAAUGAUAAAAGUGAGCACAAACGGUAUUGCAAUGCUAGGAAACAAGGCCUAGGGUUCAUACUUUCACUAGUGCAAGUUAUCUCAACAAUAAUAACAUAAAUGGAUCAUAUAACUAUCCCUCAAAAUGCAACAAAGAGUCACUCCAAAGUCACUAAUAGCGGAGAACAAACGAAGAGAUUAUGGUAGGGUACGAACCCACCUCAAAGUUAUUCUUUCCAAUCAAUCCGUUGAGCUAUUCCUAUAAGUGUCACAAACAGCCCUAGAGUUCGUACUAGAAUAACACCUUAAGACACAAAUCAACCAAAACCCUAAUGUCACCUAGAUACUCCAAUGUCACCUCAAGUAUCCGUGGGUAUGAUUAUACGAUAUGCAUCACACAAUCUCAGAUUCAUCUAUUCAACCAACACAUAGAACCUCAAAGAGUGCCCAAAAGUUUCUACCGGAGAAUCAAGACGAAAACGUGUGCCAACCUCUAUGCAUAGGUUCAUGGGCGGAACCCGCAAGUUGAUCACCAAAACAUACAUCAAGUGAAUCACGUGAUAUCCCAUUGUCACCACAGAUACGCACGGCAAGACAUACAUCAAGUGUUCUCAAAUCAUUAAAGACUCAAUCCGAUAAGAUAACUUCAAAGGGAAAACUCAAUCCAUUACAAGAGAGUAGAGGGGGAGAAGCAACAUAAGAUCCAACUAUAAUAGCAAAGCUCGCGAUACAUCAAGAUCGUGCCAAAUCAAGAACACGAGAGAGAGAGAUCAAACACAUAGCUACUGGUACAUACCCUCAGCCCCGAGGGUGAACUACUCCCUCCUCGUCAUGGAGAGCACCGGGAUGAUGAAGAUGGCCACCGGUCAGGGUUCUCCCCUCUGGCAGGGUGCCGGAACAGGGUCCCGAUUGGUUUUUGGUGGCUACGGAGGCUUGCGGCGGCGGAACUCCCGAUCUCUUCUGUUCCCCGAUCGUUUUAGGGUAUAUGGAUAUAUAUAGGCGGAAGAGGUACGUCAGGGGAGCCACGAGGGGCCCACGAGGGUGGAGGGCGCGCCCCCCUGCCUCGUGCCUUCCUUGUUGCUUUCUUGACGUGGACUCCAAGUCUCCCGGGUUGCUUUCCUUCCAAAAAUAACUUCUCCAGAAGGUUUCAUUCCGUUUCGACUUUGUUUGAUAUUCCUUUUCUUCGAAACACUGAAACAAGGGAAAAAACAGGAACUGGCAUUGGGCUCUGGGUCAAUAGGUUAGUCCCAAAAAUAAUAUAAAAGUGCAUAGUAAAGCCCAUAAAACAUCCAAGAUGGAUAAUAUAAUAGCAUGAAUACUUCAUAACUUAUAGAUACGUUGGAGACGUAUCAUGGUGGCGUUUCGCCGGCCUUGAAGAGCACCUUCCAGAUUUCUUCGUGCGUCGUGCCGAAGAGCUCCAGUAGCGUCUGGUGCUUGGCCGGCUCAAACUCCCACAGAUUACAAGUUCGGUGUUGGCACGGAAGGACCCAACGAACAAGCAUGACCUGGACCACGUUGACGAGCUUGAUCUUAUUUUCUAUCAUGUUCUGGAUGCACGUGUGGAGCCCAGUCAGCUCGUCCGGGGGACCCCAGGUUAGGCCCCUCUCUUGCCAGGAGGCGAGCCGCAUCGGGAUUCCGGAUCAAAAUUUGGGGGCCGCCAACCAGUCAGCGUGGCGUGCCUCGGUGAUGUAGAACCACCCCGAUUGCCACCCCUUCACCGUCUCCGCAAACAAGCCUUCGGGCUAGGUAACAUUGGGCAUCUUGCCCACCAUAGCGCCUCCGCACUCUGCUUGUUGACCGCGCACUACUUUUGGCCUCACAUUAAAAGUCUUCAGCCACAAGCCGAAGUGAGGUGGGAUGCAGAGAAAGGCCUCACAAACAAUGAUAAACGCCAAAAUGUUGAGGAUGAAGUUGGGGGCUAGGUCAUGAAAAUCCAGCCCAUAGUAAAACAUCAACCCGCGGAUGAAUGGGUGAAGAGGGAACCCAAGCCCACGGACGAAGUGUGUGAGAAACACAACCCUCUCAUGGGGCUCGGGAGUGGGGACGACUUGUCCCUUGGCCGGGAAUCGAUGAACGAUCUCUUUGGCCAGAUACCCGGCCUCCCGGAGCUCCUUGAUAUCCUUCUUCUUGACGGAGGAGGCCAUCCACUUGCCUCCAGCUCCGGAUCCGGACAUCUUUGGAGUACUAUCUCGAGCGAGGGAAAAGCUGAAAGCUUGGGCGCUAGAGCUUGAAGAUGGAAGGGCUGAGGAGGAGAAAGGGCGUGGGCGAAAGAGGGGAAUCCUUACGUCCUUAUAGAGGCUGCGAAUGUCAAGCGCCUCCCCGCUCGCCUUGAACUCGCCUAUUCCCAACGGCCGUGCAAACGGCGCGGUUAGGUUACCCAUGCCCACAUUGAUGAGAAUCCCGCAAUAGGGGGGCACGACCUCUGCAUCGACAAGACGUGCCAAUAGCAACCGCGUUUUGAAACGUGGGAUGGCGGAUAAAAAAAAUGGUUCGAGAUUAUGGCCGAACAGACAUAAUGUCGUGUUGUAAAAAGCUGUCAGCAGAUGGGACUUGUGUAAACAUAUGUAUAUAUUCUCUCUGCGGUUGUGCAUGGUGUGUAACAGGUCCGGAUACAAUCAUCGCAUCCGAAGACUAUCUUGGAGUUCGGAAAAGGGGGAACCCGCCUUGCAAUGCCGAAGACAAUCUGCGCGCCGGACUCCUCGUCAUUGAAGCCAGGUUCAGGGGCUACUGAGGGAGUCCUGGACUAAGGGGUCCUCGGGCGUCCGGCCUGUUAUCUGUUGGGCCGGACUGAUGGGCUGUGAAGACAUGGAGGCCGAAGACUAUACCCGUGUCCGGAUUGGACUCUACUUGGCGUGGAAGGCAAGCUAGGCGACCGAUUAUGAAGAUUUCCUCCUAUAUAACCGACUCCAUGUAACCCUAGAUCUCUCCGGUGUCUAUAUAAACCAGAGGGCAUAGUCCGGAUAGGACAGAUUCAUUACCAUAUACUCAUAGGCUAGACUUCUAGGGUUUAGCCAUUACGAUCUCGUGGUAGAUCAACUCUUGUAACACUCAUAUUCAUCAAGAUCAAUCAAGCAGGAAGUAGGGUAUUACCUCCAUAGAGAGGGCCCGAACCUGGGUAAACAUUGUGUCCCCCGUCUCCUGUUACCAUCGAUCCUAGACGCACAGUUCGGGACCCCCUACCCGAGAUCCGCCGGUUUUGACACCGACAANNNNNNNNNNNNNNNNNNNNNNNNNNNNNNNNNNNNNNNNNNNNNNNNNNNNNNNNNNNNNNNNNNNNNNNNNNNNNNNNNNNNNNNNNNNNNNNNNNNNNNNNNNNNNNNNNNNNNNNNNNNNNNNNNNNNNNNNNNNNNNNNNNNNNNNNNNNNNNNNNNNNNNNNNNNNNNNNNNNNNNNNNNNNNNNNNNNNNNNNNNNNNNNNNNNNNNNNNNNNNNNNNNNNNNNNNNNNNNNNNNNNNNNNNNNNNNNNNNNNNNNNNNNNNNNNNNNNNNNNNNNNNNNNNNNNNNNNNNNNNNNNNNNNNGAGAGAGAGAGAGGAAGAGAGGGGGCGAGAGAGGGGGCGUUUGUGUCCAUAAAUGGCGUAUAGAUAGGGAGACAAUGUUGAUGUUGUUUGAAAUUGGCCUAUGUACAGAGACGCAAGGGAAGCGAGUCAUCGUGUGUGUGAUAGGGACUUCAUGAGAGAUCUAGAAUAGAUGGUGUAGAGAGCAAUGUGCGAGAUCGAGAACGAUGAUACAUUAGGGAGAUAUGGAAAGAGUCACGACAUAUAUGUAUACAGGGAGGAGCUGGGGCGGGUCUGCAUGUGGGAGAGAUAGAAAGAGGAGAGUGGUGCACAAGGAUACAAAGUGUGCUUGUUUUGCAGUGGGGGUGGUGUGUGAGGUGAGUGUGUGAGAACCACAUAACUAGGGAGAUAGACGUUUGGGGGCGACGUUUUGUGUGUAUGGGAAAGAUACACUCUACAUAGUGCAUGUGCUUGGGAAAGAGAGAUGCCGGGAGACCUAGCUAGAGAGUGGGGGAAGAGAUGUGUGCAUGCCCAAGAGACAAAGUGAUAGAGACCUAUAUUGGGGUCCGGACUUUAGAAGAGAGAGGGGUGUUAAUGUGCUCGUGUGUUGGUGUUUGGGGGNNNNNNNNNNNNNNNNNNNNNNNNNNNNNNNNNNNNNNNNNNNNNNNNNNNNNNNNNNNNNNNNNNNNNNNNNNNNNNNNNNNNNNNNNNNNNNNNNNNNNNNNNNNNNNNNNNNNNNNNNNNNNNNNNNNNNNNNNNNNNNNNNNNNNNNNNNNNNNNNNNNNNNNNNNNNNNNNNNNNNNNNNNNNNNNNNNNNNNNNNNNNNNNNNNNNNNNNNNNNNNNNNNNNNNNNNNNNNNNNNNNNNNNNNNNNNNNNNNNNNNNNNNNNNNNNNNNNNNNNNNNNNNNNNNNNNNNNNNNNNNNNNNNNNNNNNNNNNNNNNNNNNNNNNNNNNNNNNNNNNNNNNNNNNNNNNNNNNNNNNNNNNNNNNNNNNNNNNNNNNNNNNNNNNNNNNNNNNNNNNNNNNNNNNNNNNNNNNNNNNNNNNNNNNNNNNNNNNNNNNNNNNNNNNNNNNNNNNNNNNNNNNNNNNNNNNNNNNNNNNAGAUAAAGAGUGAGGUGUCUAUAUUUGAGAGACUUUAGCGUAAUUGAGAUAUACAUGGUCAAUAGUGUGUGCACUCAAGGUUGAUCAAUUUGUUUCACAGUUUGGACCAUGAGAUAACGAUACUUUUGAACAUGCGUGAUAUACUUUGAUGUACCAGAAUUACAAACCUAAGAUUGGAAUUUUGGAAUUCGACUCCAUCAUUAGCUUUUGUAAUUCAUUUAAACGGAGGUACAUUUUUAAGCCGAGAUUUCGUGAUUUCAAAUUCAUAUAUCAAACCUAGAGAUAUACACAUAUGGGCAUGUUCAAACUUUAUAAUCAUCCACUUUAUUCAUACACAUACACAUUUUUGCUUUUGUCAUCAUAUUUAGGAUAAACACAUUUGGAAUUUCAUUUGAAUUGGACCAUAUGAUGGUAUUUGCUUGUAGUAGCUCUAUGAUCCAUAUUUGAAUUGAAUGGACAAUCUAAGUUUCGAGUUGGAGACAUUGAUUUUCAAAACUUGCACUUUUUUUGCAUGCAAAACAAACAAAUUCUCGGCCAUGAUAUCAUAGUCGGCCGUACAAGAGCAGAAUAUAGUUUCAGGCGCCAAAAGCUUUCAAACUUCCCGCUCACAUCGAAAUAUCUCGCGCCCGAAAGUUUAGCCCUGCGAUAUUCCUGUUUUACCCCUGCCACAUGAAAGGAAAAGGGCUGCUUUGGUAACUCCAUUGUUUUCCCCUCUUUGCCCCCAACAUUCUUCCCCAGAGCCCCUCCCCUUCCCCUCCCCGACCCCCAACCAUGGCAAGCCGCUGAAUCUAGUCCUCCGCCGCAGCGGUGGACCUCGCACCCCGACGGAUCUACCUUCCGCACCUUGGAACGCCCAACUGCCAACUCACCACUUCACCGGAGCCGCUUCAGCGACUGGCUUGUAGACCGCUCCAAAUCUCCUUGACCGCCAUCAUGGUCCACCGCACCAGAUCUGCUUAACCGGCGCCCUCGUCCACCACAGUGUAGGCCCUUCACUGACUCCCUCGUCCGUCCCUUCGCUAGCCCUUCAUACAAGCCCUCGUCCACCGCAACAGAUCCGCCUCACCGAAAGCACUGUACAACGCGCCCGCCGAAGCCUUCGUCCACUACACCGGACCCGCUCCACGGAUGCCAUAUUCAACUGCACCGGCCCUGCUUUACCGACGCCGCAACCUCAUCAGGUUAUUUUGAUCUGUACUCCUUUUGUUUUUCUCUUUAUCUUGCAACUGUUCACUUACCAUAGAUGAGCUUUCUUGUAUGUCGACAGGCACCGCAACCGUAGCACCGGAGCCGCUUCAGCGACGGCGACGGCCGGCCCAAACUCAACCACAACACGAGCACCAUCGACGAUCCUUAGCUAUCAAGUAUGCCAACGAUACCCAUACGCCGCCGAGAAUCAGGUACUAUUAUCCAACUACCGGCGCCUACGUUCACUUUCUUAGCAUAAGCACCGCACCUUUGAAUUUCUUCAGGGCAUCAUUCAGUUUUUCAUGAGACGCGUUAUUCUGCUUGCACCUGUAGGGCCAUACUUCUAGCAGUGAACAUGUUACAUGUGCUAAAUUACAUACCAGUGCACAUAUAGUUAAUAUGCUUUAGUUUUGUCCUAAGUAUUACUAUACUUCCUAGAUAUCACUGCCUACUAUUUUACUUCUUGCAUGCUAUAUUUAUGAUAAUGGUGUUGUUCUGAUGCCACCUGUUGGUUCCGUCAGACUGCUUCCUGUUCUCUAUGCUUAAUUACACAUCAGCAAACUAGCAUGUGGUUCCGCUGGUUUUUGUUCAUUUUACCCUACAUUUUCUGAUGCUAGCUAUUACAUCACUGCUACGAGCCUUUGUUCAUUACUUUUUUGUGUGUUCUUGAUCUUCCCAAGUUGCAUGACUAAUUUGAUGCUUCUAUUAAUUAUGGAGCUGCCAACCCCAUCAAGUAAAAUAUUUGUUCUUUUGGGGCUGGCACCUCGAACAAGCAUAAAAAUAGAGGGAAGCAGAUAUAUUGUCGUGUAUGCACACACGCUUCUUUCAUUAGUUUAGAUGAACCAUUGAUGAUAAAUUUGAACCAGUGCAUGCAAUUAAAAUUAAUUUUACCUAAAUAGAGGGUGCAUAAUAAACUACAACAAGUAGAUUUGCAACCACGGGAUGCUGACGAUAUCUUCAAAAAACAUUGCAACAGCAGCGAGGCUUCACAGCAACAUAUGGUAAGCCAGUGUGUUUUAGUACAUGUGAAAUGUAAUGCGUGUGGGCUGCUUUUUUGGCUUGUGCCCUCAACCUGUAAUCCUACAGAAUAACAAAUAGUUCAGUUGUCUGCUUUGCUGUAUUGCUUGAUUCGAAUGCUUGUUUGUUACUUGUUACGCUAUACCUGAGUUGGCCAAUAUGUUAGCAGUGCCUGUUGUACUAUCGUAAAGAAAUGCAUGCCUAGUUCAUUUGAGUCCUUAACUUUCCCUCUGAACUUCAUCACAAGACUGUCUUCAUAGUUUAUAUGAGGCCACACUGUUAAGUGCUUUCUCAGAUUAUUUCAACUGCUUAGAUGCCUUGGCAACUUAAAUAUAGCGGUGGUACACUCCCUUUCAACUAGGGAUGUCAACUGGGCCCCGUUUAAUCCCGAUUAAAGUCCACUAGUGGUAUGAUAGUUCAAAAGAGUUUUUGUUUUUUGAGGAAAAUGAACCAGGGAGCUAGCAAAAACUAACUAGAUGGGACUGGUGGAUGUCGUUUAUUUGCCACUUACAUCCCUAGUUUCAUCUUACCAUUUUAAUUUCUUUUCGGCUGAUGCUGCUUCGAACCAUUUAAAUAUAGCUUGCCAUGCUCGGCAAUAAUUCGUAUGUCGUUUACCAUGUAAGCUUACUGCCUGGAUCAUGCGAUAACUAUCUCUUACUUAUGUCCAGCGGAAACCUUUCAGGAUGCCGUUCACACUAGGAAACAAUGUACAACCUCAGAAUCUAUUUGUGGAAGCAGUGCGCCAUCCAUGUUACCAGAUGGUAGCAGUUUAGAGGCAACACCGCCGGAGAGCAGUCUGAGCACAGAUAUUAUAGUUCUUGAGGCUCUACUAGAGGCAGAAAGAGAUGGUGUGGCUGCCAUGAACGAGGUAAUCUCGAUCUUGAAGCUGGAAAUUAUGCAAUUAGCUGCACGCAUUAUGCAAGCAACCCAAGAAUUGGAGGAAGUAAGAAUGUUGCAUUUGAAGACGGAGGAGGUCCUGCUGCUUCUGCUAUCUGAAGCCCAGGGUAAUCCCAGUUCUUCUUUAGAUAGUAGUUGAAAUUGUCAUUAGAUUAUUGUACUUGCAUGUUGUGUCAUGUCUCUGAAUGGAUUAUGUUGUAAGACCCCCUAUGUUGUCCAUGUGUUGUAAUGAUCCGAAUUUUUUAGGCGAGGUAAUCCUCAGUACUUGUAUGAUUGACAUAAGGUGAACUAUUUUUCGUGUGAGCAUAUUGUAUUGGAUGAAAUAACUGUUUGACUCAAAGUGUAUCCAACCUACUGAAUUCGAUGAUCACGACAUUUCUAAAUCAUAAUCAUAUAUAAAGGUGGAAUACAUCUUUGUUGUGGUUUUGAAGAAAUAAAUAACAAAACGUAGAAUUAUUUGUGGAUAUUCGUAAUCGAAUAAAAAUUGGAUUUGGAUUUAGUUGCCAGGGCCCAGGGCAAACGUGAAUGCUAAUUCUCCCAAGUUUUGAACGAAGCGGCUAAACACCCACUAUCAUUUGUGGGCUGCCCGAAGCAAGUGUUCGCGAGAUGGAAAUUACUGUCUACCCCUGACACUUGACAUCCUUAUCGACCGGAUUUACACUGCUGUCGAUAUGGGUAGACUAGUAACUUCAAUCAGAUGUGACACGACGGCCUCUGAGCCCAUUCAGACACGGUGGGCGCCAAACGUGGGCGGCAAAACACAUUUGAUUCAAGCUCGUCCGAAAGACAUGUGUUUCUCCCUCCAUUUCGCCAUUCAUCCACGGUGUGCGGCAAAACAAACUCUCCUCCUCCGAAACCGAUGUAGGCUAAUAUUUUAAAUAGGGGCAGAUGUGUAACUUCCCUCAGACGUGACACAACCGCCCUACAUGUCAGCCCCGUUCAUACACCGUGGGCGCCAAAACACCCUCUCCUCGCCAGAAAUCGUUACCAGCAAAUAUUUGGGAGAUGCGAGAUUACCGUCCUAUCCCCAACCGACGUGUUGUCCGAAAUUUUAAACGGGGGAUAAGUUCGUAACUUUCCCACAUUUCAGACAAGCGCGUCCCAAAGUUUGAGAUCCCCCUCCCCCUCCAUUUCCCCAUUCAUACACCGUUGGCGCCACGACAACCUCCCCACUGCGGCCAGCCUCCUCCGUCCGCCACCCCAUCCUCCACCUUGCCGGAGCCGCUACCCCUACCCCGUCGUCCACUUCAAGAGAUGGACGUCUCUCAUCCACGACGCCGGACUAGGAUCCUUUCAUCGCGUCGUCUCGCUUCAUCGGCGCCGUCGUCCACUUUGCCGUUGCCGCUCCUACGACCGCCUCGUCCACGGCAACAUGAUUUAUCCCCCGACCCAGCCGUCUGCCAUCUAAAGUCUUCUUCCCCGCCGCCGACAGCCAUUGCACCCGCAGCACCCUCAACGUAUCAGCAGGGGCCUACACGGUGUCGCAAGAGAGGUGGUACUCUUCCAUAUGUGCUUAAGUUAUUGAUCUCACCCGAAAAAUAGAUCUUAAAUUGUUUACUGUACUUUUCUUGUUCGUACCAAAUCGUAGUGGCUAGUUGAAUGCAAACAUUGGUUGUGAAGUAGCUUUGUCCGGUUUGCACCUUCAGUUCCGCCAUGUCACGGUCACUAUACUUGUAAAGCUUAUGUUUCCCCCCUUUAUAUUCACUACCAUCAUCGUAGGUGCUUCACUGCUUCAUGUCGUGCUAGCACUGCUCCUCAAUACCUCAACCCAUCAAGCGAAACAACAUGCCACUCAUAAUUCCAAAGCUUAUGUGUUGAAAUACGAAUCUGAUAUGAUGCUCAUAUUACUAAAACAGAGAACGUUUAAUUGGUCACCUAAUGUUCCUAUAUUCAUUUCGAAAAGCAUGUGCGCCACCCACUGGUCCAGCUAGUUCCACUUUCCUGAUUUUACUCUUGAUGCUUAGGGUUUUCCCCUUUUAUCUACUCUACUAUGAUCUACGUAGGUGCUUUCUGUCAUACUAGCAUUACUCCACCCUUCAAGGUAAACAACACAACACUCAAAAUUCCAAAGCUUAGUUGUUCAAAUAUGAUUGUGAUAUGAUACUGAUAUUAGUUAACAGACACAUUUAAUUGGUUAGCUAAAGGUCCCACUUGAGUUUCCAAAUGCAUGUCGCGACAUAUAGAGAGACAACAGAAUUGCAUUUCUUUGUCACUUGUUGACUGUACUUUCUUGUCCAUACCAAAUCUUAGUUGUUAUUUCAAAGAAAAUAUCGGUUGCUAACUACCCUUUGCGCGGUUUGCAGCUUCAGAUCUGCCAUCCCACUGCCACGGUCAACACUAUACUCAUCAUGCUUACGGUUUCCCCAUUUUAUGAUGACCACGAUCAGCCUACUUGGUUCGUGUAGUAAUAGCACUGCUCCACCCAUCGAGCUAAACAAGCUUAGUUGUACAAAUUCAAAUAUGAUAUUAUGCUGAUAUUAGUAAAACUGAGAGAUGUUUAAUUGGUCAGCUAAAUGUUCCUACUUUAGUUUCGAAAUGCAUGUGAGCCACAUAUGGAGAGACCGGAAGGAAUAGUAUUUCUCUGUGCGCUCUGGUUCAUCAUGGGUGGCCAACCGACAUUGUAUAGAAAGACUUGUAAUAUCUUCAAUCUGCUUGCUCUUCUGCUCUUCUUUAAGAUGAUCCUCUUCUCUUGCGGUCGACUGGUCAGGUCGAGUUAUUCUCCCUUAGUAUAUUUUGAAUCUGUCAGGUCAGGUCGACUUGUUCUUCUUUACUAUAUGUUGAAGCUGUCAUCUGCGAAGUAUCAUCACUUCUGGAGCUCUCAUAUUUUGAGUAGUAGGCCACAUUAUAUUAAUGCACACACCAAAUUACAGCAUGCAUGGCACCUCUUAGAAGAAUUGCAGAGAUAGCACAAAGGGGUUUACAAGGAGGAAGUAUUGGAUUAGAAUCACUUCUGCAUUACAAAGAUAAUCUCACUUGUUUUUAUGUUUUCAUGCAUGUCAGGUAUUGAACAUUAUCAAAAUGAAUAUGAGAAUGGGCGCACGAGAGGAAUAUUGCGGAACAAUCCACUGGCUAACAAACUUGGCAUGGUAGAGGAUGGCCUAUCUUAUUCACCCAUCAAGGUGCAUGCUCUAACUUGGCAAGGCUGUAUUGGUCGCACAUAUUUUGCAUCUGAUCUCUUGCAUUACUUCUACUUUGUUACACCAUCUGCUUAGUUUAAGCAUCAUAUAUGAGUAUAUGCCAUACCUAUCCAUUUUCUGUACCUAUUCCAUGUGUCGUCAUACUAUAUUUUUCCAGUCAAUUGUUGUUCUUUCGGAAUAGAUGUCCAAAAGGAAGAGGGUGAUUGCAGAUCCUCAAGGAGUACAAACUAGGUAUUUGGAAAAGGUAGUGAUACCUGUUAAAUCAGAUAGAUCAGUAGCCACAGAAAACACAGGCCCAACUGUAACAGACUUUACCCCUACUCCAGUGGCCAUACCCCUAUUAGAACUGCUGAUAGCCCAACGUCAGGUACUGUCUAUGAUAUCAAUUCAAAAUUUGAACUCCUAAAUUUCUGCAUGUGCCUUACCUUCUCUCUUGUAUGAAAACUAAUUUCAGAUGAAUCUCCUUGCUCAAAGGAUCAUAGGAUCUCACGACAAUACUGGGCUCUGCAUUGCUCUUGUCAGUACCUCUUGCCCUUUGUCAGCAUACUUACACUCAUUGCUGUUUGAUUAUGUAGCAUCACUGUAAAUGUUCGCUUCUUUAUCCUCCCUUUGCUUGAAAUUAUAAGGUAUAUAUUUACUCUUAGAUAAAUGUAAAAUUAACACAAUGGUUAUGAAGUUUUGGAUUGCUCAUGUAAGUACCUGUUGUCAUGUACUCCCUCUGUAUCGAAUUAAUUGUUGAUCAAUUGGAUGUAUUUAGAACUUAAUAGUGCUAGAUACAUCCACUUGAGCAACAACUAAUAACGGACGGUGGUGGUAUUACUGUACAUGCAUCGCGAGAUAGUUGAUUGUCUAGCAUUACUCUGCAUCUUAUAUGCCCUGCCCUCCACUUUCUCCAAAAUAUCAUAUCUACAUUUACUCUUACCAAAAUGUUGAAUAAAGCCAAUGCCACUGCACACGUUGAUUUCUGCAUUCCUCUUGUCAGUACCUUUUGCCUUGUAACGCUGUACUUAAUUAAUUGCUAUUUGAUUAUGUAUCAUCAGUCUGCACCUGAGCUUCAUUAUCCUCUAUUUCUUCCAAUAUUAUUUGAUCUAUAUUUACUCUUUGCAAAAUGUAGAAGAAUGGCAACGCUUAUAAAGAAUUUUCUUUGGGGAAUUUAUUGAAUUAUCUUUCCAUCAACAUGGAGAAGGGCUUUGUCCAGCCCGUGUUAACAUGUAAUGUAAGUUCACCCUUCUCAAGCCUUCAAACUUUGUUCUAGUAUAGAUUUGGAUAGGCAUCAUUUCCUCCACUGCUGUUUACAUUUGAUUGGAUGUUUGCAACAACUACCAGUUUUAAAUUGUAGUUGUAAAAACAUGUUCCUUAUGCAGAACAUAUCCAUUUAUUUGCUUAUAUAAUUGUGAAAAACCUGUUACGUGUCUCCUUGUUUCUCUUUCAGAGUCGUAUCUUUUAUGCCAGGCAAAACUUUAGGAAAGAUAGUGAGCCAAAUCAUCUUGAGGACAGCGAGAUGACCCCAAGGUCCUGUCUUGAUGAAGACAGUGAGUUGAAGCUACUCACCAGCAGGUGUGAGACAACCUCUGUGUAGUCGCUGCCUCAAUCAGUUCGACUUAUUCAGUCUCAAUUUAAAGCGGAAAGGCUUGCUUCAGCUCAGCUCCGACUUGAAGUCAAAGAUGUAAUGAAGAUGUCAGGGGACUGCCUUGCGCACUAUGGUGCCAUACAACUAGGGAUGAAGCAUCUAUCGUUGACACAACUGAGGUCUCAUCAGCUUGUUCGGCUGCUUGCGGGGCCCGAGCUUGCUAGGUCUAGUGCCUUCCGAAGUGCUCUCAGUUUUGUAUAUUCUUUUGUCGGCGCGUUUAUAUGCACUGGUGGCGACCUUUGAUGCCCAAUGUAUGUAAUCCGCGGUCAUGUUGCGCUUUAUUAUCACCGGUAGCGAACUUUGAUUCCCAGUGGAUGUAAUAUGCCGUAAUUUCUGUAUUGUAUAGUCUAGGUUUAUUCUUUGGUCGGUAUGCUGUAAUUUAGGCCGGAAGGUUCAGUGGAUCUCAGUGGUGUCGGUCUUCAGGCCGGCCCGUUACUCAUAUGGGCCAAAACGUGGGCCUAUAAUCAUCUUGGGCCAUUAGCAGGUCUAAACCUAUAGUAGUUUCUCGCCUUUAACAGGCCAUGGGCUACAUAUUUACUGUAGUGACACUGGGCUUCGUACGGGCCGUAGAAACAAUGGGCCUUCUACGGGCCAUAUCAUCAAUGGGCCUUAGACGAGCCGUAUGAUCGAUUGGCCAAACAUGGGCCAAAAACAGACCGCAUUAUGGCCGUAAACAUGCUAGAGUUGGAGUCGUCCAUUCAUGGCCCGACCAUAACAGGCCGUAUUUGAUGACGCUAUGAAAACGGCCCAACGUAUUAACGGGCCACAAACGGGCCGACUGUAACCACGGGCUGAAUUUGGCCCACAAGCAGAAAAUGGCUGUAACGGGCCGUAAGUAACGGAAUGCUGGAAAUGAGCCCAAGAAUAGAUGGGCCCUGAGAAGGCCGAAAGAUAACAUGGGCUGCAAACGGCCCAAUGGAUUAAUGGGCCGUUAAUGGGUAUAAAGUGAUACACUGUUCAUUACGGGCCAGUUUCACCACGGGCCGUUAAUGGGCCAAGAGUUACAAAGGGACUCAUAUGGGCCGAAAGACGUCAUGGGCCAUACAUGGGCCGAAACUUAAAAUGGGCUGGAAUCAUAUUGGACGGCCCAGAUGACGCUACUGGGCCUAAUUCAGAUAGGUCGUAACGGGCCCUGGGUUAGCGGGCUGUAAAUGGGCUAUAUGCGAACAGCCGUUAACAGGCUUUCCGUGGGCCGGCCCGCCACCUUUUGACCAAGUCAAACGGGCCGGCCUUUUCACAGGAAUGGGCUUCUGUUCGGCCGUGCCACGUGUCGACGUAUCAUAGGCGCCUUUGGUCCAAUGAGUGGAUGACAUCUGUCCCAAUGGUGAGCCGACACGUGUUUCCUCAAGCCAAUGAUGAUUUUACAUGUGGAAAAUCCCCAUUGGUCGGGGCUGUUAGCGGGUUAUCGGAUGCAAAACCGGACCCGAUAGCUUAAUGGCGUUCCGUUACGGUGGAUGCCACGUGUCGGUCACCCUUGACGAAAGCACUUCUGUGACGCGCGAUUUAUCGUCAUGGAAGUGGACACUUCCGUGAUGAUAAUUUUGGUAAUGUCAUGGAACACUUCUACGACAACACAGGUAUGACUAUCUUGAUUCUGUCAUAAAAUUGUCAUGGAUGUACAUGCAUGACAAAAAUGCGACCUACUGUGACAAACACGUAUCAUCACGAAAGUGUAUUUUUUUGUAGUGAACAAACACCAACUUGCACCCAAUGCGAUAAAGGGGUUGUCAAUCCCUUCACGGUUAUUUGCAAAGUGAGAUCUGGUAUAGAUGGAUGAACGGUAAAGUAAUAUUUUUGGUUUAUGGAACGGAAAGUAAAAGACUGCAAAUAAAGUAAAUAGGAAACUAGAAUUGUAGAUCGGAAACUUAUAUGGUGGAAAAUAGACCCGGGGGCCAUAGGUUUCACUAGAGGCUUCUCUCAAGAUAGAAAUUAUUAUGGUGGGUGAACAAAUUACUGCCGAGCAAUUGAUAGAAAAGCGCAAAGUUAUGACGAUAUCUAAGGCAAUGAUCAUGAAUAUAGGCAUCACAUCCGUGUCAAGUAGACCGAAACGAUUCAACAUCUACUACUAUUACUCCACACAUCGACCGCGCUAUCCAGCAUGCAUCUAGAGUAUUAAGUUCAUAAAGAACGGAGUAACGCCUUAAUCAAGAUGACAUGAUGUAGAGGAAUUAACUCAAACAAUAUGAUGAAAACCCCAUCUUUUUAUCCUUGAUGGCAACAAUACAAUAUGUGUCGGUUCCCCUCCUGUCACUAGGAUUGAGCACCGCAAGAUUGAACCCAAAGCUAAGCACUUCUCCCAUUGCAAGAAAAACCAAUCUAGUUGGCCAAACCAAAUCGAUAGUCCGAAGAGACUUGCAAAGAUAUCAAAUCAUGCAUAUAAGAAUUCAGAGAAGAUUCAAAUAAUAUUCAUAGAUAAGCUGAUCAUAAAUCCACAAUUCAUCGGAUCUCGGCAAACACACCGCAAAAGAGUAUUACAUCGAAUAGAUCUCUAAGAACAUCGAGGAGAAGCUUGUAUUGAGAAUCAAAGAGAGAGAAGAAGCCAUCUAGCUACUAGCUAUGGACCCGUAGGUCUGUGGUAAACUACUCAUGCUUCAUCGGAGAGGCAAUGGUGUUGAUGUAGAAGCCCUCCAUGAUCGAACCCCCCUCCGGCAGGAUGCCGGAAAAGGCCCCUAGAUGGUAUCUCACGGGUACAGAAGGUUGCGGCGGUGGAAAAGUGGUUUCGUGGCUCCCCUGGAAGUUUUUGGGGUAUUUGAGAAUAUAUAGGAGGAAGAUCUAGGUCAGGGAGUCACCAAGGGGCCCACAAGGUCGGGGCGCGCCCUACCCCCUGGGCGCGCCCUCGACCCUUGUGGCCGCCUCGCGGCUCUUCUGCCUUGCACUCCAAGUCUCCUGGGUCUCUUCUGGUCCAAGAAAAAUCAUCGCGAAAGUUUUAUUCCGUUUGGUAUUCCUUUUCUGCGAAACUCUAAAAUAAGGAAAAACAGAAACUAGCACUGGGCUCUAGGUUAAUAGGUUAGUCCCAAAAAUCAUAUAAAAUAGCAUAUUAAUGCAUAUAAAACAUCCAAAACAGAUAAUAUAAUAGCAUGGAACAAUAAAAAAUUAUAGAUAUGUUGGAGACGUAUCAACAUACAACGGGUGCAAGACAGUUUUGCACAAGCUGAAUACUCGGGUUAAACUUGACGAGCCUGGCAUGUACAGACGGCCUCGGAACACUAGAGACCGAAAGGUCGAAUGUGAAUCAUAUAGUAGAUAUGAUCAACAUAGAGAUGUUCACCAUUGAUGACUACUCCAUCUCACGUGAUGAUCGGACAUGGUUUAGUUGAUUUGGAUCACGUAUCAUUUAGAUGACUUGAGGGAUGUCUAUCUAAGUGGGAGUUCUUAAGUAAUUUGAUUAAUUGAACUUAAUUUAUCAUGAACUUAGUCCUGAUAGUAUUUGCAUCUCUAUGUUAUAGAUCAAUAGCUCACGAUAUAGCUCCUAUAUUUUUUUGAUAUGUUCCUACAGAAAAGUUGAAGGAUGAUAGUAGCAAUAAUGCGGACUGGGUCCGUGAUCUCAGGAUUAUCCUCAUUGCUACAAAGGAGAAUUAUGUCCUUGAUGCACCGCUAGGUGACAGACCUAUUGAAGGAGCAGAUGCAGAUGUUAUGACCAUUUAGCAAGCUCGAUAUGAUGAGUACUUAAUAGUUUAGUGCGCCAUCACUACAAAAAAAGACACAUCCGUGACAUUUUGGGCCGAACGAAUUUUUUUCCCGUCAUACUUAUGACACUUCUAUGACGAUAAUUGUGACAAAACCCGGUAUCAUCAUAGAUGUGGUGGGGUCCUACUUCUAUGACAAAAAAUCAUGACAGAAAAUGGGCUUUUCGUCCUGGGCGGGCCGGAGACGCAGCUGCAUGACAUUUUUUGGGCCGUCCAUGACAGAAAAAACCGUGGUAGAAGCGAGGGCGAGGAAAAUAUCGGGGUGUUCCCGGUUACGGUUGGUGGUCGGGGCGGAGCGAUGCACAUUUCUCUCGUACACGCACGCGCGUGGGUGCGAGGCGUUGGGCUCUAACUGAACCCGAGCGAGGCGUUUGGCUCUAACUGAACCCGAGUGAGGCGUUGGGCUCUAACUGAACCCGAGCGAUUGCACUGCAGGCUACGCGUUACUGAACCAGAGCGAUCGAUCGAUGGCUGUUAACUGAACCCGAUCGAGCGAUUCCUUCACUACUGCUGCUAAAUAAAGCCGAUCGAUGCUGCCUCUGGAUGAAUAGUGAGCGUUGCUGGGGGUUUGGAUGAACAGUUCCCGGUGGGGGUGGAUGAACAGGACCCCGUGGUGUUGCCUCUGGAUGAACAGGACCCCGAUCGAUUGAGCCGGUUGGGGCUGGAUGAACAGGACCCCGUGGAGGGCUGGAUGAAUAGGACCACCCCGUGGAGGGCAGGAUGAACAAUAGAUGGUGGAGGGCUGGAUGAAUAGUAGCUCGUGGAGGGGUGGUUGAACAGGAGCCCGUGGAGAGGGCUGGUUGAACAGUAGCCGGUGGAGUAGCGCGCAGUGGAGACUGGAUGAACAGGAGCCCGUGGAUGAACAGUCACAGGUGGAGGCUGGAGGAGGUCGACGGUGGAUGAACAGUAGCCCGUGGAGGCUGGAGGGGGUCGACGGCGGAGAUGAACAAUAUGUCGUGGAGUCUCGUUUUGCGGUACGCCACACCCCUCCCGAUGAACAGGACCCCCGUUUCGACCGUAGCGCUCCAACACAAGUCCGUUUCCUCCAUUUUGCGGCACGCCACAGCCAUCCCGAUCAACAGGACCCCCGUUUCGACCGUAGGAGGUCCGUUUCCUCCGUUCUGCGGUACGCCAGACCCCUCCCGAUGAACAAGAUCCCGUUUCGACCGUGGCCGGUCGAACACAAGGCCGUUUCCUCCGUUCUGCGGUACACCAGGCCUCGUUUCCAUCGGCUAUUCCGUCCAAGCCGUUUGGCUCCCACGCGUUCCGUUGCCUCCCGAUGAACACGACGUAUUCCGUUGCCUCCCCAUGAACACGAUGACGUUGUUUCUCUGUUCCGACCCAGCCAUGUACACGAGCCCUGGCUGUAAGUAUGCGCGAGUAGGCGUUCGAGACCCUGCCCGUAUGUACGUACGUGGCCGUAUUUGCUUUCUUGCACACUGGCCGCUGUACGUACGUGUACAUGCUACGUGCGCGCCUCUACUACGACACAUGCGCGCCUCUACAUCGACCAGUAUGUACGUACACAUUCGUGAUCAGAAUGAGAACGCUACGUAUGCUUCGACCAGGUGGGUCCCGACUGUCAGGCACUUCCUUGCCUGCGAAGAUGUAGCUGGUGGGUCCCAGCAGUCAGGGGGGCGAAUCGUUUUUUUUGCCUGGACGCACUUCCUUGCGUGUGAAGAUGUAGCUGGUGGGUCCUAGCAGUCAGGGGGAACAUUUUUUUCAUGAAAUACGGUGGCCCGUCCGGUGGGUCCCUGCUGUCAGGUGGAGGAAUAAUUAUUUUGCACGUAAUAAGGAGGCACUUCCUUGCGGCCGCUGUGGACCCAGCUGUCAGCCUUUCCACGUACAGUACUCUUCCGAUGGAAGUCAUUCCUUGAGCAUGUUGACCACGCCGCACCGAGAGCACCAGGGCGGUGGACGACGACGAGGCCUAGGAAGGGGACGACGCGGAGCCGGGGAAGACUCGAUAGUGGAAGCCCGCGCGGAGAGGAGUACGAGGGUUCACUGGUUCGGCUGCGGUGUGAGGCUACCGUCGCUGCUGGGCCUGGCCAGCGGUGGGAAUAGUAGGGGGCGGUGACGCCUCCACGGCAGCACAGCCAGCCACGGGAGGCAGGAGCAUGCGGCACGACCGGCGCUGCUUUGGGCGGCUCGAGCAAGAAGACCAGAGGUUGAAGAAGCACUACGGCCGUUGGAUGGACAUCGUACGGUCACUGGAGCUAGAAUCGUUCAUAUUGACUAAGUUGACAAAAGCACUCCGUCCCCAUCAACUUAGUAGGCCCACAAGUCAGCCUCCCACCAAGGUGGGUCCCAACUAGCAGGGGGAGUAUUCAUUUUUUUGUGCGUAAUAAGGAGGCACUUCCGGUGGGUCUGAGCUGACAGCGGGGGGAACGUUUUUUUCACGAAAUAUGGUGUCCUGUCCGAUGGGUCCCAGUAGUCAGGGGGAAACGUUUUUUUCGCCAAAUACGGUGCCCCGUCCGGUGGGUCCCUGCUGUCAGGUGGAGGAAUAAUUAUUUUUCGCAUAAUAAGGAGGCACUUCCUUGCGGCUGCCGUGGACUCAGCUGUCAGCCUCUCCACGUAUAGUACUCUUCUGAUGGAAGUCGUUCCUUGACCACGUUGACCACGCCACGCCGAGAGCACCAGGGCGGUGGACGACGGCGAGCGGCGAGGCCUAGGAAGGGGAUGACGCGGAGCCGGGGAAGACGCGACUGUGGAAGCCCGCGCAGAGAGGAGUAUGAGGGUUCACUGGUUCGGCUGCGGUGUGAGGCUGCCAUCACCGCAGAGUAACAGGGGGUGUGGGUGAGUGGAGGGAUGGCCUGGCCAGCGGUGAGAGUAGUAGGGGGCGGUGAGGCCUCCGCGGCAGCACAGCCGGCAACGGGAGGCAGGAGCAGGCGACACGACCGGCACUGCUUUGGGCGGCUGGAGCAAGAAGACCAGAGGUUGUACGGCCGUUGGAUGGACAUCGUACGGUCACUACAGCUAGAAUCGUUCAUAUUGACUAGGUUGACAAAGCCCUUGGUACGCGUCAACUUAGUAGGCCCACAGGUCAGCUUCCGAAAUGGUGCGCCCCAGAUGUCAGGGGGAGGAAUCAUUUUUUGGGCGGAUGAAGCUAGAAUAUCCGAGAUUGAAGAAGAAGCACGGCAUCCGUUGGAUGGACAUCCAACGGCCACUGCUGCUAGAACCGUGUGUUGACUAUAAUAAGUUGACAAAGCCUUGCAUACGCAUCAACUUCUUUUUUUAGGGGACGCGUCAACUUAGUAGGCCCACAAGUGUGUGGCAGAGAACUUAUAGCCCAUUUGCAAUUUGUAAGAAUGUACAACCCAUUUUUGAAUUCUAAUGGAAUUUACUACAACCCAUUUACAGUUUGUUAAAAGUAUAGCCCAUUUUCUAGCUAGGACAACGUUUAAUAAUUUCAACCAACCGUUCAAGACAGAAUUCAAUAAAAUUUCCCACAUUUUGAUGGGAUCCGAAAUAUUUUUAUCCCAAAAUUUCUAGUUAGAUUAAAUAUAAAUUUGUAUUACGUAAAAAUAUAACGAAACAUUGCGUGCGCAACAAUUAAAAAUUAAGAUUUUCAAAAUCCAUAAAUAAUAUUUUAUAGACUAAUUUCGUGCUUGGUGCAUUUUUUAUAGUUACUGCCCAUUUUUUAUAAUUACAUCCCAUUUAUUAUUUUUAAAGCCCAUUUUCCUGUUAAGCCUAAUGCAUCCCUCCUAGGAAAGAUUUGCAGCCCAGCGGGGCGGAGAAUAACAAGUUGACCUUGCCUGGGUAUUCCUCAAAAAAACGUAUAGCUGGGCUAGCCAUUUUCAUCUUGAAAAAAAAUUAUAUCUGGGCUGGAUAUCUGUCCUGGGCUAGACGGGCCACAACCCGCCCAGUUAAUACCCUGCUCUCCUCUGAACAACAAUGAAAACAUCGCCAAGAAAAACUCUGCAGUGCUCACGCCUCAAAAACACAAAUACUACUCGAGCUGCUUGGUCCCAGCUGUCGGCUGCACCUUGUGCAAUUCUCUCGUUUAUAUUGACUACAUAGGUUGACAAUGGUGUGGGACCGUGAUGUCAGGAAACCAGGAGGAAGAAAAAAUAAAUAUAGUUGUACAUAAUAAGGAGGCACUUGCGUACGUACGGCUAUGGCCGUAGUGGGUCCCUACUGUCAACCAGUCAAAAUAAAGUCAUCUCCUGAAUCCUCAUGUUCAUUGACUAUGUUAACAAUGCUCGGCGCCACGGCGAGCGCAACAACUCGAAGGACGACGGAGAGGGCCUCGCGGGCCCUACGGAUGGUCUGAUACAGCGCCCGCUGCUCAUCCUGGAAGCCAGGAUCAUCGGACACCUAUGAGCACCUUCGAGAGACUGAGACGGCAUGAAACGGUAAGGCCGCGCUUGGGAGCUCUGGUUUAUUUCACACCUGUAUUAAGAUACAAGUGUAAUUUACUCGUCAUUGAAAACAACGUGUAAAAUACAUGCAUAAUGAAACCGAGGGCCCGAGGUCUGUAAGUAAAACCGGCGGGUCACGCGUGUAAUUUGAGAGACCGAUGUAUAUUUUACUAGUCGAAAUCGACCAACCAAGCGCUUCGCCCGAGACCAUAUGCUUUUAUUUACAAGCGUCAGCUUUACAAGCGGUCUUGGUUGGAAAACGAUGAUCCAAUCACGGCCUAAGAUGAUGAGUUGGUCGGAAGAUCAUACGGUUUCACGUCUAACCUACCCGACUUGUCGUAUAGGCUAUGAAUGAAACAUAAGACGAUGAACUUCUUAAGCACAGAAACAACAGAAGAGGAUGAUCUUCCUAACAAGCAAAUCACUGUCAUUAGAUCGACAUGCAAAACAAUACGAAGCAUUAUUCUCAGGAGGCACGGUGAACAGCUUGUGAUGCCGCAUGCCACAACAUUCCAAGCUCAACUUUGCAAUCAAACACAAGGCCUGUCAUUACAUAGACAGUAUUCAGAACAAACUCUUAAAAUAUCUUACAUAAGUCAACAUUCAUGUGACUAUGCAUCUCAGCAGAGUAAAUAUUUACUUCUGAACUGAAGACAGGAAUAGGAAAAAACGAUCGACGUUGCUCACAGCAAAGGGCCUCCCACUCAAAAAUAUCAAAUGAUGUCUUCUGGCUAACAUCAAUGAGAAAAAAUUGACAAGGUUUUCCAAUUUCGAUAUAUUAAACUAAUGUCAACUUUGACAAGCUUUUCCCAUUCAAAAUAUGUAAUGCCUAUGAUUGUGGAACGGGCAGGGUUUGUCAUCAGUUUGUCAUCUGAUAGUCCGGAGGCU